rnacentral:lncRNA from 1 species
GAGGGGUUCUCAAAGGAAAAAAAACUCAAAAAUCUUUUACGGAUGGAGUACCAACAUAUACAGUAUACAAAUAAAUAGCUAGUGCAUGUAUUAACCGCAAAGAGACGAAAACAGCCUCCAAAGCCAGUGACCCCAUGACAUCACUGACAGUGGGACCCGGAACGCCACUGACACAUUAUUGAAGCCAACUGAGAACGACACACAUACGACUGCUAGCUAGACCAUGUACGCAGCUACGUGACGUACAUUGCGCACCCACGCGACGACGAUCAACCACUCACGAAAUACGCCCACACAUACGGAUCCAAUAAUAAACGAACUAAGGUACCGUGCCAUGGCAAUGCCACGGCACGCGCACGGCGAAGCCAGGCAAAGGCUAGCUCAGGAGCACGAUCGCACCCGCGCGCAUCAACUCACUCGGCGGCCUUGUCGGCGGCGGCGGCAGCCUGAGCAGCUGGUGCCUCUGCCGGCACCGCCUCGGCNNNNNNNNNNNNNNNNNNNNNNNNNNNNNNNNNNNNNNNNNNNNNNNNNNNNNNNNNNNNNNNNNNNNNNNNNNNNNNNNNNNNNNNNNNNNNNNNNNNNNNNNNNNNNNNNNNNNNNNNNNNNNNNNNNNNNNNNNNNNNNNNNNNNNNNNNNNNNNNNNNNNNNNNNNNNNNNNNNNNNNNNNNNNNNNNNNNNNNNNNNNNNNNNNNNNNNNNNNNNNNNNNNNNNNNNNNNNNNNNNNNNNNNNNNNNNNNNNNNNNNNNNNNNNNNNNNNNNNNNNNNNNNNNNNNNNNNNNNNNNNNNNNNNNNNNNNNNNNNNNNNNNNNNNNNNNNNNNNNNNNNNNNNNNNNNNNNNNNNNNNNNNNNNNNNNNNNNNNNNNNNNNNNNNNNNNNNNNNNNNNNNNNNNNNNNNNNNNNNNNNNNNNNNNNNNNNNNNNNNNNNNNNNNNNNNNNNNNNNNNNNNNNNNNNNNNNNNNNNNNNNNNNNNNNNNNNNNNNNNNNNNNNNNNNNNNNNNNNNNNNNNNNNNNNNNNNNNNNNNNNNNNNNNNNNNNNNNNNNNNNNNNNNNNNNNNNNNNNNNNNNNNNNNNNNNNNNNNNNNNNNNNNNNNNNNNNNNNNNNNNNNNNNNNNNNNNNNNNNNNNNNNNNNNNNNNNNNNNNNNNNNNNNNNNNNNNNNNNNNNNNNNNNNNNNNNNNNNNNNNNNNNNNNNNNNNNNNNNNNNNNNNNNNNNNNNNNNNNNNNNNNNNNNNNNNNNNNNNNNNNNNNNNNNNNNNNNNNNNNNNNNNNNNNNNNNNNNNNNNNNNNNNNNNNNNNNNNNNNNNNNNNNNNNNNNNNNNNNNNNNNNNNNNNNNNNNNNNNNNNNNNNNNNNNNNNNNNNNNNNNNNNNNNNNNNNNNNNNNNNNNNNNNNNNNNNNNNNNNNNNNNNNNNNNNNNNNNNNNNNNNNNNNNNNNNNNNNNNNNNNNNNNNNNNNNNNNNNNNNNNNNNNNNNNNNNNNNNNNNNNNNNNNNNNNNNNNNNNNNNNNNNNNNNNNNNNNNNNNNNNNNNNNNNNNNNNNNNNNNNNNNNNNNNNNNNNNNNNNNNNNNNNNNNNNNNNNNNNNNNNNNNNNNNNNNNNNNNNNNNNNNNNNNNNNNNNNNNNNNNNNNNNNNNNNNNNNNNNNNNNNNNNNNNNNNNNNNNNNNNNNNNNNNNNNNNNNNNNNNNNNNNNNNNNNNNNNNNNNNNNNNNNNNNNNNNNNNNNNNNNNNNNNNNNNNNNNNNNNNNNCCGGCGCUUUGGCCUCGACGUCGGCAGCAGCAGCUGGUGCUUCUGUCUCUUCCACGGCUGCUUCGGCUGCCACGGCAGCCUCCACAGGUGCCUCCGUAGUUGCUGCUUCCUCCUGCACUGCCACAGCGGCCUCCUCCUUGGCCGGUGUCUCCUCUGCCACCGGCUCUUUGGCCUCGGCCUCGGCAGCGGCUGGCUCUGCCUCUUUGGUCUCGGUCUCGGCCGGAGCAGCUUCUUGCUCUGGUUCCUUGGUCUCGGUCUCGGCCGGAGCAGCUUCUUUCUCUGGUUCCUUGGUCUCGGCCUCAGCCGGUGCUGCCUCACGCUCCACCACUUCGGUCUCUGUUCCCUCGGCAGGGGCAGCUUCCGGCUCUUUGGUCUCGGUCACUGUCGGCGUGACAGGGGCCUCCUCAGCGGCGGCGGCCGGCUGGACAACCUCUGUCUCGGCCUCCUUGGUCUCCGCUGGAGCUGCCUCGGGCUCUUUCGCCAGCUCGGUCACGGCCGGCGCAGCAACUUCCUCCUUCACGGCCUCCUCGGCAGCGACAACGGCCGGCUCGACAGCCUCAGCCGUUGCCACCUCGACUGUGUCGACGGCCGGCUCGACAAUCUCCACUGCUGCCACCGUAGCCUCCUCGACCGCGACGACGGCCGGCUCGACGACCUCCACCGCCACGGUAGUAUCCUCGACAACGACGACGGCCGGCUCGACAGCCUCCACCACCGCCGGCGCCGGAGCCUCCUCGACGGGCAUGGCGUGGGUUGCGGCGUGGACCUGCGUUUACAUUGAUGCACGCCUUCAUGUCAGAGAAGUACCAGUACGCAGCGUACGUGUGAUCAGGUUGCUCGUGCCAGAAGAGAUCGAGGUGGCAUGGCACCGUGGCAGCAGGUCAAAAGCUACAUGAUCGAAACGCAACGAAGCAGUAUUGAGCAGUCUACCUGGACGGCGGCCAUUGAUGACGAGUUCCGAGUCGACCGGUCCGAACUCCGACGAGCUGAUGCUAUAGCUCGGUUUGGUGCGACUGAUCAGAUCAGAGUAUGCGAUCGGCUGUGUUGUGUGAAGCAAAUGUGCUGCGGUAGAGGGGCUUAUAUAGUGGCUCUGGAGGGCAAAACGGUCACAAGAUUCACAGCUAGGACGCAAAAGCGAGCAGCCCUUUUGCGUCACGCAGGAAAAUAAAAUGAAAUCGAGGAAUCAAAACACUGAUCUGCAUCAUUCUGAUCUUGGUUGGGAAUAUACUAUUGCAAAACUAUAGUACUGGUACGUACUGUAGAUGCAAGCAAGUUGCGUACGGUGAUCGCUGUAUCGAAAUUAGGGUGGUGGCCACGCAUGCACGGAGGCUAAGGUCCAAACUGCUAUGUUUACGGGUUUGGUUUUCUUUGAUAUGUUUGGGGAAAAGGGCCAAGGGAGAGGGCUGGCAAGGCCACGAGGGCAAGCGUACCUUUGGCGUUGUAAAGAGGGGGCCAUCGCGCUGAGUCACACGCAUGCAUGCACCGACCUGAUCAGUACAUGUGUACAUCGCGUCACGUCCAUGCACGUUCUAUAGUGCCAGCCUUGUAUCCUAGUACCACUAUCCUGCUGUCUGCCCUUGGUCCAGAUCGGUGCAAAAAUAAAUGCUGGGCUAGAAUCUAUUAGUACUGUUAUUUUAUUUCCCCCCCCCCCCCCCCCCCAUUUUAGUUUGGUUCUUGGAAUGGCUAGAGACAUGACCAAACAUUUUAUCUAAUAAAACCUGUUGGAAAAAUCAUCAUUCGAUUUGCCUCUUGAUUAAUCUCAUCAUUUCUCAGCUGAUCACAUCUCUUAUUCUUCUACGCAAAUUAAACUACUCCCUUUAAUUCAUUUUACUUGCCGUCAUGGUCUGAGCUCUCCAGUCUGUGAAUUAUAGCUAACCCUAGUCCCACUGAUAGUGCUGUUUUCUUUCUUUCUUUUCACUGAUGGCGAGGCCUUCUAAUGAUAAUACACACCAUUUCUUUUUCUUUUCUCAUUUGUUCUUGUUUUUAUUUGUAUGCUUAAUUUUUUUUUCAUUUUCCUCUUCUUGCCCGUAAAAUACUGGAAAUCUAAACCGUGAUCAAUGUGUCUUCUAAACCGUAACGGAGGUAGUAUUGUUAAUUCAUCUCAUGUGUGCCCUUUUUCCAAUUGAGACACUGAUAGUCACAACAUCGUCCCCGUCUCCAACGAGGUCCUCAUCCGGAGUCAACGCUUGUCACUGCGGCGUUGUGUGGUUGUGUUGUCCUCACCUUCAGACUUAGAGGAAGUAGAAUUGAUUAUACUCCAUUUACUUUCACCGUUUCUAAAUAUAAGUCUUUUAAGCGAUUUCACUAAAGGUCUACAUACAGAGCAAAAUGAUUCAAUGUACACUCUAAAGUAUGUCUAUAUACAUCCGUAUAUACUCUAUUAGUGAAAUCUUUAAAAAAACUUAUAUUUAAGAACGAAGGGAGUAUAUCAUAAUAAUUAUUGUUAAGGAAAAACAUAAUAAUUAUAGUUGAAAGAACUAGUUUACUAGUUUUCUUGCACUAUAAUUAUUAUGAUAUGCAGGAAGUAAAAAUUGCAGGCACUUCAUCAUUCGCAAACAUGAAUUAUUAUUUAUUUAUGGGGAUUGCAAAAGCGGAGAUAUCAGGGAGAUCGCUAUAUCUCGGUUUUCUACGGCGCACUCGAUGGUGGCGUAGAGACAAUGCAACUUGAGCCGAAGAAUGUGCGCUCGAAUGCCGCCAUUGAAGGCCGUGACAUGAUCCCUAUAGAUCGAGUGGUGCAUAUCUUCUUGGUAGAUGAUCGAUAUGCAGUAGAAAGGGGCGCAGCCACCUAGAGCUAUGUGUAAAAAAGGCCGUGCGUGUUUGUCAAAGUGUGAUGGCACGGCAGUAUAUUUGGAAUUUAGUUAACAUUUUCUUCCUCAUCUGAAGUAGUACCACUAGCUACUUAGGUGUAUUCUCUGCCUUAGAGCAUCUCCGGACUCCUCAAAUCCGAUCUUUCAAACGUCCGCAGACGAACUACUACGUCGACGCACACACAUUGUCCAGUUACUCCAUCAUUGUUAAACAUGUCAUCGGACUAUCAAAAUUUUACAUGUUUGGCUAUGGUGAAGAUCAUCUACGGCUGCCUCUGUUCUUCCCGACACCCUUGCCGUCUUGUCGUGGAAGUACCGGUUGAAGACGCAGUACGGAUCGAGCCGGAUCUUCUCGUCGCCACAACUGUCCUCAUCGCCGCUCACCUCUUUCUCCACCUUUGGUGGUAGUCCGGCCAUUCCCCAAAGGAGCCGAGCACCCUUUGUGCAGAUGCUACAGAGUCGCGGCGGACAAAUCCUUCUGUCGGUCAGGCGCUGUCCUCGCGCGAGCGGCGGAGUGCAACGCGAACCGCUAUUGCCUCCUCCACUCUGCACGGGACGACCCCCCAGUCGACGGAUCCGGACUGGUGAAGACAUUGUUGGGAUUGACUGGAAGCAAAGAAACCACUCAAGAUGAGGCUCGUCAUAGUAGAAAAUAACUUGCAUUAGUAGCAUCCAUAUGUUAUUAGUCCAUAUUAAUAACUUCAUAUUAAAUAAUAUUAUAUGUAUGAUAUUAUGCAAGUAUUUUUUUUGACCGGCUACUGUAGGGAANNNNNNNNNNNNNNNNNNNNNNNNNNNNNNNNNNNNNNNNNNNNNNNNNNNNNNNNNNNNNNNNNNNNNNNNNNNNNNNNNNNNNNNNNNNNNNNNNNNNGCAAGUAACAUACCGAAGGACAAAGGGAAUGACAUACGGGAUUAUACGAAUCCUUGGUACUGAGGUUCAAACAAUAAGAUCUUCGUAGAAUAUGUAGGAUCCAAUAUGGGCAUCCAGGUCCCGCUAUUGGAUAUUGACCGAGGAGUCUCUCGGGUCAUGUCUACAUAGUUCUCGAACCCGCAGGGUCUGCACACUUAAGGUUCGACGUUGUUUUAUGCGUAUAUGAGUUAUAUGGUUGGUUACCGAAUGUUGUUCGGAGUCCCGGAUGAGAUCACGGACAUCACGAGGGUUUCCGGAAUGGUCCGGAAACGAAGAUUGAUAUAUAGGAUGACCUCAUUUGAUUACCGGAAGGUUUUCGGAGUUACCGGGAAUGUACCGGGAAUGACGAAUGGGUUCCGGGGGUUCACCGGGGGGGGGGGCAACCCACCCCGGGGAAGCCCAUAGGACAUAAGGGUGGCGCACCAGCCCUUAGUGGGCUGGUGGGACAGCCCAAAAGGGCUCUAUGCGCCAAGGAUAAGAAAUCAAAGGNNNNNNNNNNNNNNNNNNNNNNNNNNNNNNNNNNNNNNNNNNNNNNNNNNNNNNNNNNNNNNNNNNNNNNNNNNNNNNNNNNNNNNNNNNNNNNNNNNNNGACGUUGUUGGGCCUCCAAGUGCAGAGGGUUGUAGGACAGUAGCAAUUUUCCCUCAAGUGGGUGACCUAAGGUUUAUCAAUCCGUGGGAGGCGUAGGAUGAAGAUGGUCUCUCUCAAGCAACCCUGCAACCAAAUAACAAAGAGUCUCUUGUGUCCCCAACACACCCAAUACAAUGGUAAGUUGUAUAGGUGCACUAGUUCGGUGAAGAGAUGGUGAUACAAGUGCAAUAUGGAUGGUAGAUAUAGCUUUUUGUAAUCUGAAAUUACAAAAACAGCAACGUAACAAAUGGUAAAAGUGAGCACGAACGGUAUUGCAAUGCGUGGAAACAAGGCCUAGGGUUCAUACUUUCACUAGUGAAGUUCUCUCAACAAUGAUAACAUAAUUGGAUCAUAUAACUAGCCCUCAACAUGCAACAAAGAGUCACUCCAAAGUCACUAAUAGCGGGGAACAAACGAAGAGAUUAUUGUCGGUUACGAAACCACCACAAAGUUAUUCUUUCUGAUCUAUCUAUUCAAGAGUCCGUAGUAAAAUAACACGAAGCUAUUCUUUCUGUUCGAUCCAUCAUAGAGUUCGUACUAGAAUAACACCUUAAGAUCCAUAUCAACUAAGACCCUAAUGUCACCUAGAUACUCCAUUGUCACCUCAAGUAUCCAUGGGCAUGAUUAUACGAUAUGCAUCACAUAAUCUCAGAAUCAUCUAUUCAACCAACACAUAGUACUUCAAAGAGUGCCCCAAAGUUUCUACCAGAGAGUCAAAACGUGUGCCAACCCCUGUGCAUAGGUUCCCAAUGUCACGAACCCGCAAGUUGGUCACCAAAAAAUACAUCAAGUACUCACAUGAAUCCACGUGUGCCAACCCAUAUGCAUAGGUUCCCAAUUGUCACAAACCCGCAAGUUGAUCACAGCAGAUAGACACGUGCAAGACAUACAUCAAGUGUUCUCAAAGACUCAAUCCGAUAAGAUAACUCCAAAGGAUAAACUCAAUUCAUUACAAGAAGGAGAGGGGGAAGAACAUCAUAAGAUCCAACUAUAGUAGCAAAGCCCAUGGUACAUUGAGACCAAGACAUCUCAAGAACACGAGAGAGAGAGAUCAAACACAUAGCUACUGGUACAUACCCUCAGCCCCGAGGGAGAACUACUCCCUCCUCGUCAUGGAGAUCGCCGAGAUGAUGAAGAUGGCCACCGAAGAUGGAUUGCCCCUCCGACAGGGUGCCAGAACAGGCUCCAGAUUGGUUUUUGGUGGCUACAGAGGCUUGCGGCGGCGCAACUCCUGAUCUAGGUUUCUUUUGGGGGGUUUCUGAAUUUAUAGGAAUUUAUGGCGGUGGAAUUACGUCGGUUGGGCCCACGAGGAGGUUACAAGCCUGGUCGGCACCACCUAGGGGGGUGGUGGCGGCGUCAGGGCUUGUGACUCCCUCGUGGCUCUUCUGGCCUUCUUCCAAAGCUUCGGGGGUCUCUUUCGGUCCAAAAAAAAGCAUCGUAAAGUUUCAUUCCAUUUGGAGUUCGUCUGAAAAUGGGCCAAAAACACGGAAACAACAGAAACUGGCACUCUGCAUUGAGUUAAUAGGUUAGUCCCAAAAAAGAUAUAAAAUAGCAUAUUCAUGCAUAUAAAACAUCCAAAGUUGACAAGAUAAUAGCAUGGAACCAUCAAAAAUUGUAGAUACGUUGGAGACGUAUCAGCCAUCACCUGUUCCCAGACGCUGCCGACGCCCUGAUAAUCCCCAAGUGCAAGGAAUCAUCGUAGCAAUUUCAAAAGGUGGAAAUGAUAAGUAUGGAGCGUCGAACCCACAAGGAGCUAAAGGUAAGAGCAAUAUUCUCUCAAGUUCUAUCUGCCACUGAUAUAACUCUACGUACGCCGAACGUUUGCUUCCAACUUGGAACGAGAAAUAAAACUACAUUGUGGGUAUGAAGAGAAUAGCUUUGCAUGACAUCGGAGAAAUAAAAUAUAAAAAUAGGUGUUGUUAUCAUAAAGUUAGAAUAUAUUACAAAUAGCGAGUGUGGAAUAGUGAUGGGUCGGUGUGCGGAAUUGUCCUAGGCAAUUGUUAACAAGAUCAGUAAUCAUUAUUGCAAUUUUAUAUGAGGGAGAGUUAUAAGCUAACAUACCUUCUCUACUUCGAUCAUAUGCACUUAUGAUUGGAACUCUAGCAAGCAUCCGCAACUACUAAAGAUCAUUAAGGUAAAACCGAACCAUAGCAUUAAAGCAUCAAGUCCCCUUUAUCGCAUUCGCAACAACCCACCUACUCGGGUUUAUGCUUCUGUCACUCAAACAACCCACUAUAAGCGAAUCAUGAACGUAUUACAACACCCUACAAAGGGAAUCCCUCAUGCUUGCUAGACACGGAGAGAACCAUAGGACAACACCAAUAAUAAAGCAUGCAAGUCAAACCAAUCUAGAUCAUCAAUCAACCCAUAAGACAAAGGGAAUCUACUCAAAACAUCAUAGGAUGGCAACACAUCAUUGGAUCAUAAUAUGUGGCAUAGAGAACCGUGUUCAAGUAGGUGAUUACAGCGGGGCGCGGGGGAGUGGAACGCUAAAAGAAGAUGGGGUUGGUGAUGAAGAAGGUGAUGUUGAUGAAUACGAUCACCGCGGCGAUGGUUCCCCCGGUGGCACUCCGGCACCACCGGGAGAGAGGGGGAGAGGGUCUCCGCCUUGUUCCUCCUCCUCCAUGGCCUCCCCCAAGGUGGGGAGAGGUUCUUCCUCUAGUCCUUGGCCUCCAUGGUGAUGAUGGCCCCUCCAUCUUCCUCCUCAAUGGUCUCCGGUGAUGGUGACCCUCUCCGACAGGGUGCCGAAGAGGGCCAAGACUGGGUUUUCAUGGCUCUGGAGGCUUGCGGCAGAGGAACUCCCGAUCUAAGUUUCUUUUCGGGGGUUUCUGUUUUUAUAAGAAUAUUUGGCGUUCGAACCACGUCAGGGGAGUGCUUGAGGGGCCCACAAGCCAAGGAGCGCACCCUAGGGGGGUGCCCUGGUGGCUUGUGGUUGCCUCGGGACUCCUCUCUGGUAUCCUUUUGCUCCAGUAUUUUUCAUAUUUACCAACAAUAUUCUCCGUAAUUUUUCAGCCCAUUCCGAGAACUUUUAUUUGGGCACAAAAACAACAACACGGUAGUUGUGCUGAAAAAAGCAUCAGUCCGGGUUAGUUAUAAUAAAAUCAUACAAAAACCAUAUAGAAUUAUUGUAAACAUGGCAUGAAUACUUCAUAAAUUAUAGAUACGUUGGAUACGUAUCAGCAUCCCCGACCUUUAUUCCUGCUCGUCCUCGAGUAGGUAAAUAAUAAAAGAAAUCAUUUAUGAAGUGUGAAUGCUAGCAUAGUGCAUAAAUUUGAUCAAUGAUAUAUCCAAACACUUUUUCUAGCAUCAUUACAUAUCAUACACAGUAGCUCAUCUCAUAAAACUUCUCAUGAUGAAGUAACAAGCUAUUCACGUGUUAAAAUGUAGACCAUAAAGUUUCUUGAAAACUAACAAAUUAUGCUUUCAGUCACCAAACAAUUGCAAUUCAUCUUAUUUUUGGGAAGGGUCUAUGUAAGAGAUUUUAUUUAGAAAAUUCCACAUACUCAACUAUCAUAUAGUCUUCCAUGAUUGUUGACGACACUCAAAGCAUAUUUUUAGAACAAAUAGCAUCCAUCGAACACAAAGAAAGACAGGGGCUUAAAGUUUUGCCUCCUAAUUUAUUUACCAUAUAGAUAAUUGUCAACAAUAAUAAUUCAUGAUCAAAUAUAUUUGUAUGGAUAUAUAUGUUUGCAUCUUUCCCCACCACAUGAUGCUUGCCAACUAAUACUUUGAGGUUGGAAUAAGAAGUUAACUCAACAAGAAUAGUAAAUAACAUGAAAGUAAAUAGAUUGGCCCUUGAUAACCCACAAGUGUAGGGGAUCGCAACAGUUUUCGAGGGUAGAGUAUUCAAUCCAAAUUUAUUGAUUCGACACAAGGGGAAGCAAAAGAAUAUUCUCAAGUAUUAGCAGCUGAGUUUGCCAAUUUCAACCACACCUGAAAGAUUAGUGUUUGCAAGCAAAGUAUAAGUAGCAAAGUGGUAUGAUAGCAACGGUGUCAGAAAAAGAUGUGUUGACGGCAGACUAUUCCUAACUUGUUGUAUCAAUGGCGCCAGUAAAUACCACGUGGAAGGGGGACUAUUCUUCCCCGGCAACGGCUCCAGAAAAGUCUUGCAACAAGUAGCAGCAAAGUAACAGCAGUAGUGACAGCAGUAGCAAGCAACAUCAACAACAUCAGUAGCAAGUAACAACAGAGUAACAGCAGUAGCGACAACAGUAGCAGCAAAGUAACGUAGCAAGGACAAGUAGUAAAAGAAUCGUAGGCAAUGGAUCGGUGAUGGAUGAUUAUACCGGAUGUGAUUCAUCAUGUAAUAGCUAUAACACGGAGAGAUAAGUAACUAGCUCCCGUUCGUCAAUCUAAUGUAGGAAUGUAUUCCGUAUGAAGUCAUACGUGCUUAGGGAAAAGAACUUGCAUGACAUCUAUUGUCCAUCCCUACCGUGGCAGUGGGGUCCUAAUGGAAACUACGGGAUAUUAAGGUUCUCCUUUUAGUAAAGAACCGGACCAACGCAUUAAAACUCGGUGAAUACAUGAACUCCUCAUACUAUGGUCAUCUCCGGGAGUGGUUCCGGCUAUUGUCACUCCAGGGUUGCCGGGUCAUAACACAUAGUAGGUGACUACAACAUGCUAGAUAGGAUCUAAAACACACAUAUAUUGGCGACAACAUAAUAGGUUCAGAUCUGAAAUCAUGGCACUCGGGCCCUAGUGACAAGCAUUAAGCAUGGCAAAGUAGUAGCAACAUCAAUCUCAGAACAUAGUGGAUACNAUCUCAGAACAUAGUGGAUACUAGGGAUCAAUCCCCGUCAAAACUAACUCGAUUACAUGAUAUAUCUCAUCCAACUCAUCACCGUCCAGCAAGCCUACGAUGAGAUUACUCACGAAUGGUGAAGAACAUCAUGGAAUUGUCGAUGGAGGAAGGUUGAUGAUGACGAUGGCGAUGAUUUCCCCUCUUUGGAGCCCCGAACGUACUCCAGAUCUGUCAUCUGGAUGAAGAACAGGAGGUGGCGGCGCCUCCGUAUCGUAGAACGCGAUGAAUCCUUCUCUCUGAUUUUUUCCGAGCGAGACGGAAUAAAUAGAGCUGAGUUUGGGGGCGGUGGUGCCACGUGGGUUCCACAAGGCCUCACGGCGCGGCCUAGGGGGGGGGGGGGGUCGCAGCCCACGGGCUUGUGGCCCACUGGCACACCCCCUCCGUUGGAUCUUUGCGCAGGUAUUUUUCAUUUAUUUUAGAAAAAUUCUCCGUAAAUUUUCAGGACAUUCCGAGAACUUUUAUUUCUGCACAAAAACAACACCAUGGCAAUUUUGUUGAAAACAACGUUAGUCCGGGUUAGUUCCAUUCAAAUCAUGCAAAUUAGAGUCCAAAACAAGGGCAAAAGAGUUCAGAAAAGUAUAUACAACGGAGACGUAUCAACUCCCCCAAGCUUAAAGCCUUGCUUGUCCUCAAGCAAUUCAGUUGACAAACUGAAAGAGACAAAAGAAAAACUUUGACGAACUCUGUUUGAUCUUGUUGUUGCAACUAUGUCUAACUCAUAACCAGAAUUUCAGCAAGAUCACAAGCAAACCACAUAAGCAAAUGACAUCUAGGUCUCACGAUAAACUCAUAUCAAUGGCAUAAUCAGCUAGGGAGCAAAUAAUAAUAAGCCUCAAAUGUCAACACUUCAAUCAAAACAACAUGAAGCAGUACGAAUAGAUGGUAUCUCGCUAGCUCUUUCGGAGACCGCAAAACAUAAAUGCAGAGCACCUUCAAAGACCAAGGGCUGACUAAACAUUGUAAUUCUAGCCAAUGAAGAUCGAGUCACAGUCAUACUCAACACAGUUAAAAGCAAAGCAUAAAAAUGACAAAGGUGCUCUCUAAUUGGGUCUUGUUGUAAGAGGAGGAUGACUCAACAGGAACAUAAAUAGACAUGCCCUUCGCAGAGGGAAGCAUUAAUUUGCACAGGUGCCAGAGCUCAAGCUUUUAAAACAGAGAUAAUAAUUUUGGGUGGCAUGCUUUCAUUGUCAACGCAAUGACUAAGAGUUCUCAACAUCUUCCACGCUACACAUGCUAUAGGCGGUCCCCAAACAGAAAAGUAAAGUUUUGACUCCCCCACCACCAAUCAAUCACACUCCACGGCUAGCCGAAUCCUCGAGUACUGUCCAUACCAACAUCAAUCCUGGGGGAGGUUUGUUUGCAAUUAUCUUUUCGAUUUGAGCAUGGACCUGGGAGUUCCAAUUACCGCCCCCUUUCUCGUGAAUGAUAGUGAAUAAACACAUAUCGAGGAUAACACGCCUAGCAUGGAAGAUACCAAUAGCCCCCUAUCACCACAUGAGCGGUUCGGGCAUGCAAAACAGAUUAUUUCUUGAAGGUUUAGAGAGUGGCACAUGCAAAUUUACUUGGAACAGCAGGUAGAUACCGCACAUAGGUAGGUAUGGUGGACUCAUAUGGAACAACGUUGGGUUUAUGGGGGUGGAUGCACAAGCAGUAUUCCCGCUCAGUACAAGUGAAGGCUAGCAAAAGACUGGGAAGCGACCAACUAGAGAGCGACAACAGUCAUCAAAAUGCAUUGAGAUUAACUAACAUUGAAUGCAAGCAUGAGUAGGACAUAAAUCACCAUGAACAUGAACAUCAUAGAGGCUAUGUUGAUUUUGUUUCAACUACAUGCGUGAACAUGCGCCAAGUCAAGCCACUUGAAACAUUCAAAGGAGGAUACCAUCCUAUCAUACUACAGCACAGUCAUCUCAACAUUCAUGUGGGCAUCCAAGACAAACCAUUAUAAGCUCCUAGCUAAGUAAGCAUGGCAUAAGCAACUAUGAUCUCUAAGUUGUCAUUGCAAACAUGUUUCUCUCACAACAAAGCUGAAUCAGGCAUGAUGGGCUAGUCAUAUUUACAAAAACAAAAUAGAUCGAGUUCAUACCAUCUUUUCCAGGCUCAGUCACUUCAUAUAUCGUCAUUUUUGACUUUCACUUGCACGACCGAAUGUUGUGAACAAUAAUAAGCGUGCUCGUGUAGUGGACUAAAGAUGGAAUCUGCAGGAAAACACAAAUGAGAAACACCUACUCCCCCAAGCUUAGGCUUUUGGCCUAAGUUGGUCUACUCCCAAGGAGGGAAAUAACCAGCUCCGGGGUACUCCGGAGUGGACUGAGGAUGCCACUGCUGUGUGAGCUCCUCUGGCUCCCACUGAUAAACUGGCGUCUGGUACUCGACUGCUAGCUCGGGCACGGGCACCUGUGGUUGGGCUAUGCCCCAAUAUGUGUAGAUGUCCAAGGGCAUAAUAAUGUACCUACCUGCAUGAAGAUUGAACAAAGAAGGAGCAAGCAAAGUAAUAGUCUCACGAGUACCCUGACUAAAUACCAGGUUAUAAAUCAUCCUUCUAUUUAUAUCUCUAUCAAAAAAGUCAUGGCGAACCAUGCUAUUGUAAUAUAGAUAUCUCUCAGGAAGAAGAAUCUCUUCUUCCUCGUCCAGUCUAAUAGGUAUCUCAAAAUGUAUAGCAAGACGAGUAGCAUAGAUACCUCCAUAGAUAACGCCUUUAGAACGGUUCGUGUUCAACCGUUGAGCUACUAUAGCGCCCAAGCUAUAAGUUUUAUCGUUAUAAAGGGCUUCGCGCAAGACCGCAAGAUCUGGGGAACUAAGUGACCCAGCUUUCCCACGGCCAAUCAAACAUUUUCCCACAAAUAAUGAGAAGUACCGAAGCACGGGAAAAUUAAUGCUAGUAGCUCUAGCGCAAGACACUCCUCUCUCCUCUCCUACAACAAUAGUAUCGAUGAAAGCUUCCAAGUCCCGUGGACGAGGUUCAUGAAUAUCCCCAACAUAAGGUAAUUUGCAAACAUUGCAAAAAUCUUGGUGUGACAUGCGCUGGGGGAUAUCAUAAAUUUUGAACUCAACCAUAGGAGGAUUCUUCCUCGGAUAGAAGUUAAAACUUUGUAUGAAGAUAUUAGUGAGGAGGAGGUAUUGCGGACACUUAUCUUCAACGAAGGCGGUAAGGCCUGCGUUAUCCACCAAGUGAUAAAAGUCCUCAUAAAUUCCAGCGGUGCGUAAGAACACAUCGCUUGGCCACUUGCACGCUCGAACUUCUGCGACUCGAGGGACCAGAUACUUGGGCUUCUUCUCACUCCCAUCAUCCUUGGGGUCACGGCUUGAAGAGCCUCUUAAGAACCUCCUCAUCUUUUCCCUUUUCUAUCUUUGAAAUUUUCUGAAAAUUUUAGUGAUUCUAAGGAAAAGUGAACAAGGCUCAAUGAAACUCAUAGCAACUACUCCAACAAAUGCCUAGAGGCCAUAUUACGCAUCAAAACUACUUGGGACCAGCUAGAAUUAGCAUGCAAAGCUCAAGAACAUGGUCACCAAGGCAGAAAAAAUACGCGGAGUAUAAGGCACUAGAGCAAAAAAUAAUUGGACCAAUGGAGGAGUCACUUACCAAGGAGUAAUUUCCCCAAAACAGUUCGGAGAACGGUGAUUUGAGCAAAGAGAUCGAAAAUCCCAACAAGAGGAGCGAGAACACGGGUUUGAGCUGCGGAACAAUUUUUUCUGGAGGUAGGAGAACCAGAUAAGAGCAAGAAUGAGUGGAGGGGGUGCCUGUGGGCCCCACAAGCCUGGGUGGUGCGCUCAGGGGGGGUGCCCGCGCCCCAAGCGCUUGUGGCCCACUCGUGCAGCCCCCCGACAAGCUCUUUGUCUCAGAAUUUUUCAAAAAUUCCAAAAAAAAUCAUACUUGAUUUUCAGGACGUUCGGAGUACUUUUAUUUUCAGGGUACUUUUCCACCGAGCGCUAAAACAGAAAACAGGGAAAACUAAACUAAAUCUAUCAUUUUUCUUCUAAGCAAUAGAAGGUGAAAGCUUGGAACAGAGGUUUGUGACUCCUCGAUUCAUCCAUCUCAUUGUCAUCAAAAGAAAUCUGUCAGUGAGGUUGAUCAAGCCUCUUUGACAAACUUUUUCGAAUCACAAAAGAUAAUGGAGAAUUUCCGAAUAAUCACUAGGUCACCUCAAUGGGGAUGUGUAUCUCCCCAACAAGCAAAUCAUACUUCAUCUUGACACGAGGUAUAGGGCAUUCAAAGAUCCCAAUAAAAAUUGAUGAAGUUUUUUCGAUAGCAUUGAUGCAAUGUACUCGAUAUUGUUUCUUCGGAAAGUGCACUGUAUGGUCAUUACCGUUGACAUGGGAAGUGACAUUGCCUUUGUUGCAAUCUAUAACAGCCCCUGCAUUGUUUAAAAACGGUCUUCCGAGGAUGACCGCCAUGGCAUCGUCCUCAGGAAUAUCCAAGAUAACAAAGUCUGUUAAGAUAGUGACGUUAGCAACCACAACAGGCAGAUCCUCGCAAAUGCCGAUAGGGAAAGCAGUUGAUUUGUCGGCCAUUUUGCAGAGAUUUCAGUGGGUGUCAACUUGUCCAGUUCAAGUCUACGAUAAAGAGAGAGAGGCAUAACACUAAUACCGGCUCCAAGGUCGCAUAACACUGGUCUAACGUACCUGCCUUUAAUGGAGCAAGGUAUAGUGGGCACACCGGGAUCACCUAGUUUCUUAGGAGUUCCACCCUUGAAGGUAUAAUUAACAAGCAUGGUGGAAAUCUCAACCUCAGGUAUCCUCCUCUUAUUAGUUACAAUAUCUUUCAUGUACUUAGAAUACGGAGACAUUUUGAGCAUAUCUGUCAAACGCAUUUGCAGAAAGUCAGGUCUGAUCAUUUCAACGAAUCACUCAAAAUCCUCAUCAUCCUUUUUCUUGGAUGGUUUUGGAGGAAAGGGCAUGGGUUUCUGAACCCAUGGCUCCCUUUCUUUACCAUGCUUCCUAGCAGCAAAGUCAUUCUUAUCAUAUCUUCUAUUCUUAGGCCGAGGGUUAUCAAGAUCAAUAGGUUCAAUCUCCACAUCCUUAUCAUUGCUAGGUUGAGCAUCUUCAUGAACAUCACUAUUGAUAUUAUCAUUAGGCUCAUGUUCAUCACCAGAUUGUGUUUCAGUGUCACAGACAGAGGCAUCGUUUGGACUCUCAGGUGUAGCAGCAACAGGGUUGCUAGCGUGCAGGUUCCUAUCAUCUUUCUUCUUCUUUCUAGGAUGACUAGGUGCAUCAGUGCUAACUCCUUGAGAAUCUUGUUCAAUUCUCUUCGGAUGACCCUCGGGAUACAAAGGUUACUGGGUCAUUCUACCGCCUCUAGUAACAACUCUAACGGAAUUUUCAUUCAACUCAUCGAGCAAGUCAUUUUGAGCUUUAAGUACUUGUUCUACUUGAGUAGUAACCAUACAGGCAUGUUUACUCAAAAGCUUAAGAUCAUUGACAUUUCUGUCCACACAAGCACUUAAAUGACUAAGCAUAUGAGCAUUCUGUUCCAAUUGUCUGCUAACAUAAUCAUUNNNNNNNNNNNNNNNNNNNNNNNNNNNNNNNNNNNNNNNNNNNNNNNNNNNNNNNNNNNNNNNNNNNNNNNNNNNNNNNNNNNNNNNNNNNNNNNNNNNNUAGGGCGAAUUCAAUAUCUUUCUUCAUAAAGGAACCAGCACAAGAAGUGUCGAGCAUGGAUUCAUCAUUACGAGAGAGCUGAGCAUAAAAAUUUUGAAUAAUAAUUUCUGUCGAGAGCUCGUAAUUGGGGAAUGAAUAUAAAAUUGGCUUAAGCCUCCCCCAAGNNNNNNNNNNNNNNNNNNNNNNNNNNNNNNNNNNNNNNNNNNNNNNNNNNNNNNNNNNNNNNNNNNNNNNNNNNNNNNNNNNNNNNNNNNNNNNNNNNNNNNNNNNNNNNNNNNNNNNNNNNNNNNNNNNNNNNNNNNNNNNNNNNNNNNNNNNNNNNNNNNNNNNNNNNNNNNNNNNNNNNNNNNNNNNNNNNNNNNCUCCCCCAAGCUUGAGAGAUUCUGUCUCCUUCACGAGGCCAAAAAUUAUAAAUAUAAUUUCGAUCAUCAUGAACCAGAUGCAUAGGAUAAAACUUCUGAUGAAAUUCCAAUUUCAAUCGGUGGUAAUUCCAUGAUCCAAUAUCAUCACAUAGCCUAUACCAUGUCAACACCCUUUCCUUAAAAAAUAAAGGAAAGACCUUCUUCUUGACGUCAUCCUCGGGCGGACCUGCAAGCUUUAAUAAUCCACAAACUUCAUCCACGUAGGUUAGAUGCAAAUCAGGAUGUAGUGUUCCAUCUCAUGCAUAAGGAUUAGCUAGUAUUUUUUCUAUCAUACCCGAAGGAAUUUCAUAAUAAAUAUGUUCAAUAUGUGCAGCAGGUUGAGGAGCAUCUCUUUUUGCUUCCGGUCGGGGUGAAGAUACCCCAAACAAGCCCCUCAAAGGAUUAUUUUCCAUAGCGACAAGUGAUAGUAAAUUUCAGCAGAAUAUAUAAUUUUUUCCUUACCAAGUUCCACUUACCAAAGGCGCUUCACUCCCCGGCAACGGCGCUAGAAAAGAGUCUUGAUGACCUACAAGUGUAGGGGAUCUAUCGUAAUCCUUUCUAUAAGUAAGAGUGUCGAACCCAACGAGGAGCAGAAGGAAAUGAAAAACAGUUUUCAGUAAGGUAUUCCCUGCAAGCAUUGAAAUUAUCGGUAAAAGAUAGUUUUGUGAUAAGGUAAUUCGUAAUGGGUAGCAAGUAAAAAAUGUAACAAUGGUGCAGCAAGGUGGUCCACUCCUUUUUGUAGCAAAGGACAAGCCUGAACAAACUCUUAUAUAAAGAAAACCGCUCCCGAGGACACAUGGGCAUUUAUGUCAAGCUAGUUUUCAUCAUGCUCAUAUGAUUCGCGUUCAUUACUUUUAUAAUUUGAUAUGUGGGUGGACCGGUGCUUGGAUGCUACAGCCCACUUUUGAUUAACCUCUCUCACAAGCAUACGCAACUACGAAAGAAGAAUUAAGAUAAAUCUAACCAUAAAAUGAAACAUAUGGAUCCAAAUCAGCCUCUUACGAAGCAGCACAUAAACUAGGGUUUAAGCUUCUGUCACUCUAGCAACCCAUCAUCUACUUUUUACUUCCCAAUGCCUUUACCUAGGCCCAAAUAAUGGUGAAGUGUCAUGUAGUCGAAGUUCACAUGACACCACUAGAGGAGAUACAAUAUACAUCUUAUCAAAAUAUCAAACGAAUACCAAAUUCACAUGAUUACUUAUAACAAGACUUAUCCCAUGUCCUCAGGAACAAAUGUAACUACUCACAAAGAAUAUUCAUGUUCAUAAUCAGAGGAGUAUUAAUAAUAAUUAAGGAUAUGAACAUAUAAUCUUCCACCAAAUAAGGCAACUGGCAUCAACUACAAAGAGUAAUCAACACUAUUAGCAACCCACAGGUACCAACCUGAGGUUUUGAGACAAAGAUCGAAUACAAGAGAUGAACUAGGGUUUGGAGAGGAGAUGGUGCUCAUGAAGAUGUUGAUGUACAUUGACCCUCUCUCGAUGAGAGGAUCGUUGGUGAUGACGCUGGCUUCGAUUUCCCCCUCCGUGAGGGAAGUUUUCUCGGUGGAAUAGCUCGGCUGGAGCUCUAGAUUGGUUCUAUUGCAAUUCUGCCUCGAGAUGGUGGCGCCUCGUCCCAAAAGCUCUGAUAUGAUUUUUUUUUCAUGUCAAAACCCUUCAUAUAGCAUAAGAUGGGCACAGGAGGUCUGCCAGGGGGGCCACAAGCCUGCAGGGCGCGACGAGGGGGUGCUAGGCUACGCCCCCUGGUUUGUGACCUCCUACUGGGUCCCCUCUGGUAUUUCUUUCGCCCAACAUUUUUAUAUCUUCCAAAACAAUUGUCCGUGACUUUUCAUGACUUUUGGAGGUGUGCAGAAUAGGUCUCUUAGAUUUGCUCCUUUUCCAGUCUGGAAUUCCAUCUGCCGGCAUUCUCCCUCUUCAUGUAAACCUUGUAAAAUAAGAGAGAAAAGGCAUAAGUAUUGUACCAUAAUGUGUAUUAACAGCCCAUAAUGCAAUAAAUAUUGAUAUAAACAUGAUGCAAAAUGGACGUUGAUACGUCUCAAACAUAUUGACAUUUCCAAACACUUUUGCUAUUGUUUUGGCCUCAUUCUUGCAUGAUUUGAAUGAAACUAACCCGGACUGACGUUGUUUUCAACAGAGCUGCUUGUACGGUUUUCUUGUGCGCAGGAAAAUGGAUAUUUAGACGUCAUGGAAAAUUCCUAUAAAAAUAGAGAAAAUCCACACACCGGGAAGAACCAUGGGCCGGAAGAUGGGCCAGAGGGGAGAUACACGCCCCCCAGGCGACUUGUGGGCGCGACCUGCCCCCUCGCCGCACCGGAAGGCCGGCUGGGUGGGGCCCACCCCCUCUGGUGCCCUACUUUGGCUCCUAUUUUUACCCAUGAUGCAGAUAUCCCAGAACAGAAGUCAUCUCGUAAGUUCUCGACGCGGAGCCGCCGCCACCCUCGGUCUUCUUCGGGAGAGCUAAUCUGGAGGUUGUUUUGGCCUUCGGAGAGGGGAAAUCGUCGCCAUCGUCAUCACCAUCACCACUCCCUCAUCCUCCCAUGGCUUCCCCCAUCAUGUGCGAGUAAUUCUCUGCUGUAGGUGAAGGGGAUGGUACGGAUUGGAUGAGUUAUAUCAUGUAAUAGUUCGCCGGAUUGUUGGGGGCAUGUUGCCUAUCAUCUACUAUGGUGUUUAUCAUCUUUUCUACUACUUGUUACUCUUAAUGCUUGUCACUUUGGGACCGAGUGCCAUGAUUUCAUAUCUUAAUUCAUUAUGUUUUCAUGAAUAUAUUUGUGUUCUAGAUCCUAUCUAUGAGUAGUAUGCACCUAUUAUAGUCCGGAAUCGGCGAUCCCAAUGGUGACAGCUUGGGACACCAAAGGGGAUAGACUAUAGUAUGAGGAUUCAAUGUAUUCACUGAUUGUUAAUGCUUUGUUCCGGUGCUCUUUGACAGGAGCACCUUAAUCUCCAUAAGUUCCUUUUGGCCCCGUUGAUAGCGGGAUGGUAGGACAAAAUAUGUUCUGCAAGUUCUUAUUGCAAGCACACACGACUACCUAAGGAUACAUGCCUAAUGUUUGAUAUAUGCCUAGAUGAUCAUUACUUUUCUAUGUGCCUUGCCCCCAAGUUAAAUACAUGAUAUCUCUCAUCCAUGACCAACCAUCCAUCUCCCUAUCCUACAGUGUUUUAAUCCCGCUGGUCACAAGUCACUUUACUUUCCCUGUUUUACUUUCGUUGCUUUAUCACUAUUAUUUCCGUUGCCACCAUCACUUCCAUAUCACCGUUGCUAUUAAUAUUUCAUUGUCAAGCGAGUAUCUUUCAGGUGCGGUUGAAUUGACAACUCAACUAUUAAAGCUUAUAAAUAUUUUUGGCUCCCCUUGUGUCAAAUCAAUAAAUUUGCUUAUCUUACCCGUGAAGACUGUUGUGAUCCCCUACACUUGUGGGUUAUCAAGACCAUUUUCUGGCGUCGUUGCCAGGGAGCAUAGCUUUAUUUACAAGUCUACUUCGAGUUAUUUUGCUUGCUGCGAUUUAUUCACUAUGGGUAAGAAACGAGACCCCAAGGUUCCAAUUUUACCAUCCACUACGAGAAAAGGUAUUGUUCUUAGCACUAGCGCUACGAUUGAUUCACCUUCCGUUAUGAGUAAGUUUGCUUCACCACCACCACAUGUUGCUUCUACCGAGUCUGUCACUAUGCCUGGUACAUUUGACGAUGCUGCUACUACUAUUGAUGAGCCUAGUUUACUUGGUUAUUUUAUUGAGUCUCAGAUUGCUAAGGCUGCAAAGCAGUCUGGAAUUGAACUUCCUGUUACACGCUACCCCAUUGGUAGAUCUUUAGGUUACCCACACUUGAGUGGUCUCAAGGAAAAAAUUCUUGAUCAUGAUUAUAUUGAACUUGAUGAUGAUUUAUGCAGGGAACUUACCGAGUGUGCUCACUCUGACCCUACUUCUGUUAAGAAGUUGCUUGAAAAGCAUUCUAUGAAGAACAAAUUUACUCCUGAUCCUAAAUUUUCGUCAUCUCCUAUUUGCAUUGAGGAUGCUGAUUUUGAUUUCUCUAUUGAUCUUUCACUUAUCUCCAGAGUUGAAGCUAACCCCUUCUAUGGCAGAGAAAAUGACGAUGCUAUUGCACACCUUACCAAACUCACUGAGUUGGGUGGCUUAUUCACUAUAGAGGACAAGAAGAGAAACUAUUAUGUUACUAAGCUACUUCCUUUCUCUUUGAAGGAAGAUGCUAAAGCAUGGUAUGAUUCACUACCAUGUGGGUCCAUUACGAGUCCUCAAGAUUUAGCUCAAUCUUUUGUUGCUAAAUAUUUUCCUGCCCAUAAGGAACAUGCUGCUUUACAAAGAAUAUAUAACUUUAAACAGUUGCAGGAUGAGCACCUCCCUAAAGCUUGGGGGAGGUACUGCACUUUACUCAAGGCUAGACCGGGACAUGGAGUCCCGAAGAAUGAAUUGCUUGAUAUAUUUUAUCCUGGUCUAACCGAUGAAUCUAGAACCUAUCUGGAUAGUUGUGCUGGUUGUGUUUUCAGGGAAAGAACACCUGAGAUGCUGAAGAAUUAAUGGGUAAGAUAGCUAAGAAUCAUGAUGAUUGGUACAUUAUUGAACCACCUCCAUCACCAAAGAAGAGGGGUAUGCUUUUCUCGAGCCCCGAAGUUAUGCAAGAAGCCAAGAAGUCUAUGAAUGAGAGAGGUAUUCAAACUGAAGAUGUGAAGAAUCUACCUCCUAUUAAGAAAUUAUGUGAGCCUACCACUCACCGACCUAUGGUAGAGGUACACUCUAUUUUAGAAUUCAAUGCAAGUGACAUCCCUCAUGGUAAGCCCCUUGAUCAAUGUUUAGAUGAGCUUGAUAAUUGUAUUGUCAAGCAAAAUCACUUUAAUGAGAGGAUUCAAAGCCAAUUUCAUGAUAAUUCCCUUGCUAUCAAAAGUUUGCUUGAUGUUUUAAGUAGAACUGUUAAUGAUGUUAAACGUCAUGUUAAGCAUUUUUCAUAUGGUUCAAACUCAGCUUGAACAAAUUUCUAAUGUGCAAAAAGAUUUGCUUGCUAACAAUAUCAAACAAGUUGAUGCGCAAGCAUAUGGUAUAAAGACCCGAGGUGGUACACACACCCAUGACCCCCUCUAUCCGGAGGGGCAUCCAAAGAGGAUCGAGCAAGAUUCUCAAUUGCAAGAAGAAGACAUUGUCAGCUCCCCGAAGAAGAAGAAGAAACACAAGGAAGCUGACAACUCCAAUGAUCCCAUAAUUGAUGAAGAACCUAUUAUUGACCCUAAUAGUAUAUCUAUUUCCGAUGCUAAAACUAAAGAUGGUGCUAAACCUGAUAAAGAUAAUGAGAAGAUUGAUCCUCCUGAGAUACGAGAAUAAGAAGCACCCGACAAGCGCAAGAGAUAUACUCGAGAAGAUUUUGGUGCAAGAAAACAUGGGAAGGAAAGAGAACCGUGGGUACAGAAAUCAAUGCCCUUCCCAGGUAAGUCUUUCAAAACCAAAAAGAAGAGCAUUACAAUAAAUUUUGUGAAUGGAUGAAACCUCUUUUUCUUCAAAUUCCUUUGACCGAUGCUAUUAAGUUGCCUCCGUACUCGAGGUAUAUGAAAGAUAUUGUUACUAACAAAACAAAAGUUCCUAAUGAGGCAAUAUCCACUAUGGUUGCUAAUUUCUUUCAGUGGCAAGAUUUCCGAGAAGCUUGGUGAUCCAGGUAUACCCACCAUUCCUUGCUCCAUAAAAAUAAUUAUGUCAGAAUUGCUUUAUGUGAUCUUGGUGCAGGAGUGAGUGUUAUGCCUUUCUCUCUUUACAAAAGGCUUUGUCUAGAUAAACUAAUCCCUAGAGAUAUCUCUCUUCAAAUGGCUGAUAAGUCAACAAACGUUCCCGUAGGUAUUUGUGAGGAUGUUCCCGUUGAAGUUGCUAAUUGCUUGAUCCUUACUAACUUUGUUGUGCUUGACAUGCCUGAGGAUGGGAGCAUGUCUAUUAUUCUUGGUAGACCUUUUCUUAACACCGCAGGUGCUAUUAUUGAUUGCAAUAAAGGAUAGGUGACCUUCAGUGUUAAUGAGAAGGAGCAUACGGUAUAUUUUCCGAAGAAGAUUGAUAAAAGGCAUGGCCUUAAUUCUAUUGAGAAUAUUGAGACCGUGAAGGUUGGAGAGUGGGAUUGUCCUCUACAUAUGCACCAAAAAUACAAAACCAUUAUGGUGGGGACAAUAUCCAUUGAAAUAAAGGUACCAUGAUUGCUUUAUAAGAAGUGAAACUUUUUGCUCAAAUAUAACACCUGUUUGGUAGUAAGACUUGAUCAACCUUACUAACAAAUAUGAUUUAUAUGAGUAAAAAGAGAAGCUUGUUAUGUUUUCAUUUCCUUUAUCUUUCAUCCUCUUUGUUGUACCAAAGCAUUAUGUUUUUGAAGCCUCAUAUGUUUAACCUUUGUUUUGAGCUUUCUGCAAAUUUUGCAGCUUUCGGUACUUCGAUUUUUUUUCAAAAGUGAAGUUUUCAGAAAAAUUCCAGAAAAAUUAAAUGAAAAAUUUCCAUGAAAAAAGAGACGCAGGGGCACCUGGAGACAGCCAGGGGGGCCACCCUUGGUCCAGGCGGCCAGCAGGCGCGACCUGCCCCCUGGUCGCGCCCACAAGUUGUCUGGGCCCACGUGGUCCCCUUUCCAGGUACUUCUUCUUCCCUUCUCUCUUUCUCACUCCUAAAAUCCCGAUUUUUCUCCUGGAGCUCGAGUUCUUGCUGCUCUUGGUGGCAAAUUUUGAUCUGUCUCUACAGCCCAUCAUUUGCAUUGAGAAUUUGGGCAUUUGAUCCUUGGUAUGUGACUCCUCCACUCCUCCAAUUAAAAUUUUGAUUGGUGGUCUUAUUUGUGAGUAUUUAGUAGUUCUUGGUGCUAUUCAUAUGAGCUUGCAUGCAUGUUUAGAAAUUUAUUUGUGAUGUUUUGAUACAAGUUUAUGCAUCAGGGAAGUGAGUAGAAUAGUUUGAUCCAACUCAUUUUUGCUUAAAUCUCCAUUUUUGUGAUGAACCAAAAAAAUUAGAAAUGAGUUUGUUUGGAAAAGCAAAAGGAUGGCUUGGGAAGAAGAGACCUGAGCCUACUGAUAGACUAACUAGAGCUGCAGCUUCAUCCUCUACUGUGAGGACAAGUUACAAUGACGAUAUCGUGCCACCAGAGUUGUUCCACGAGACGGACACGGCACGUGCCAUGGCAUACCCGUGUUCAGAUUUCCUGAUGGCGGCAGGUAUUAAAGAUGAGUUUGAUAACCUCUGUGCAGCUGUAGGUUUGACACAUCUCGUAACACGACGUGUGCAACAAUAUCCAAAACUCACAUAUUAUUUUGUCAACUGGUUUAGAUAUAAUGAUAAAAUUUCCAUGAUUGAAUUCAUAUUAUAUGAGGAUGUCUUUACCAUGUCUUUGGCAGAAUUUUUUGAUGUUAUAGGUGUGCGGAAUGUCGGGAUGAUGACCAAAAUGAAUGUUCAUCCCUACGAGCUGAAAUCCCUAUUCACUUCCCUUUUGCAGUAAGGACCCGCGAGUAAUUCACUUGGGGGAGAUCUCCAGCAUCUUGUUUCCCCACAUCAAGUAUUUCGCAUACUAUAUUGCUCGAGGGGUGCUAGUUCGUGACAACACGAGUAACAUUUCGGAUCCGUACCUUGCUAUCUUGGCAUCCUCCCUCUUAGGAGAUUACACGUAUAAUAUUGGUGCGUUCAUUGUUCAUUGCCUCAUUGCUAACAGCGACAAAGGGCCUCACUUUGGUGGCAUUUAUGCCAGGCUUAUCCUCGAGCACCUCAGGCGCAAUGUGCGGACGAAUGAUACGCCUUUUUCAUUCAUAAGCUUUGAUAUUACCGCUAUGAAGAGGCAUGAGUUUGUUACUAGGACUUCCGAGUUUGGUAACCUUAUUUAUAUUAUGAGGUUUGGCGAGCUUACUACUCGCGAGAUCCGUCUACAUGCACCACUUUUGUUUGAUUACACUAGAAGGAAUGGAUAGUCCUUCACCUCGAUUGAGCUAGACGAGUUCGUGAUCCAGCAGCAGUUCCACAACCCCAUGGAGGGGAUUGUUCCCGAGGUAGAAGAGCCUUCUAAUUGGGAGGCCAGACGGGCAUCAGUGUAUGCGCCCGAGGCCUCGUAUCAUUCUUGGAGCCACCCAUACCACUCCGGAGCCAGAGGAAGCUCCUGGAGCCCUCAAUAGCCGAGCUCAACUUAGGCGAAAAGCCUAAGCUUGGUGGAGUACGUAUCCUUCUCACCUUUCAUUGUAUCAUCCGUAGUUUCCUUUUUAAUCUUUUCGGAGUUUUUGCCCGUUCUUCUUUGUUCUUUCUUUGCAAAAACAACAAAAAGAUUUCUCUUUUCUUUUGCUUUCGCUUAACCUUUGGAAAACCCAAAAAGAUUUCUUUUCUCUCUUUAGUUUGCUUUGUUUGCAGAGUUCAGCUCACGUCCAUGGUUGCAAUUGCACUUGAUUAUAUCUUUCUACGUUCGAUCGUGCAAGUGACGAUGCAAUAAUGAAGAAGAUCGACAGAAGGAAUGCAACAAGGAAAGUCGGUAUGAACUCUAUUUGUUUCUACUUUUGUACAUAUGCAUGUACUUAUGAUCUAGAGACUAGCUUAUAGCGACAUAGUACUAUGAUUACAAUGAUUCCCAGUAGUUCAUGCUUUCUUUGUGACUAGUCUCAAAUAGUUGGAGUGCAUAAUGUGUUAUUGAAAUGAUUAGCAUGCAUUGCAUUGUUCAUGGUUUGGCAUAUUGGAGUGGUAUUUCCCUUCGGAGAAUUUCUGGAUUGACUUGGCACAUGCUUACACAUGUUUAUGACUAGAAGUCUAUCAAGCCUUGAUGAUCUUUUUAUUUCAGAAUAGUUAAAUCGCUUUCAUGCCCGAUUCAAAGUUGAUUUGUCGCUCUACAUGAUUAUGACCAUUAUUGCUCUCUAGUUGGGCGCUUCCCCAUCUUUCGCUAGCCUUCACCUGUACUAAGCAGAUUGACUGCUUGUGCAUCCAAAAUGCUUGAAACCAGUUGCGCCAUAUGACUCCGCCAUACCUACCUAUAUGCGGUACUUAUGUGUCGUCCUAAAUAAAUUUGCAUGUGUCAUAUUCUUAACUUUCAAAUAAAUAUUUUGUUUUGUAUGCCCGAAUCACUCAUGUAGUGACUAGGGGCUAUCAGUAUCUUCCAUGCUACGUAGGUUAUUCUCAAGAUAUGUGUUGAUUCACUAUCAUUCACGAGAAAGUGGCUGGUAACCAGGAUGCCCAUUUCCAUGCUCAAAAGUCAAAUCAAAUUUAAUGAAACAAAACUCCCCCAAGAUUGUUGUUUGUAUGGACGGUACCCGUCGAUUCGUCCCGCCGUGGAGUGUGAUUGAUUGGUGGAGGGGGUAAAAACUUUACCAUUCUGUUUGGGAACCGCCUAUAAUCUAUUUAGCAUGGAAGAUAUUGAGAUCUCUUAGUUGUUAUGUUGACAAUGAAAACAUACCACCCAAAAUUUUGAUUUAUGUUUGUUUUAAAGCUCAAGCUUUGACACCUCUGCAAAUCAAUGCUUCCCUCUGUGAAGGGCCUGUCUAUUUUACUUUAUUGUUGAGUCAUCCUCUUCUCAUAAAAGCACCAACUAAGAGAGCAUAAUUGUCAUUCUCAGUGUAAUGUGCAUUGUCCCAAAGUACCACAUUGUCUUCUGUAUGAUUGUGAUAUUACUUAUUCUGAAAUAUUUAUUUCUAGUCUCCUUUAAGACUCCGGAGGAGCGUUUGCAUUUAUGUUCUGCUUCACUCAUGGGAGCUAGCGAGAUACCACUCUAGUAUAUCCAAGUCAUGUGCAUUGUGAUCUCGUUAUGAUUUUCAGUUACAUAUUAUUCAUUCUUAGUUGUUUGAAACUCUUCACAUGAUCGAAGGAUUGCUUCGUGCAUUGUCUUUGUAGCAUUGCUUCAAUACUUGUUGGGCUUGUUCGUAGUGCAUGCUUAUAUACAUCUGAUGAAGCAAAAGAGUUUGUCAAAGUUUUCUUUGUCGCGUUCAGUUUGUUGAACUGAAUUGCUUGAGGACAAGAAAUAUGCUAAGCUUGGGGGAGUUGAUACGCCUCAAACGUAUCGACUUUUCCAAACACUUUUGCUAUUGUUUUGGUCUCAUUCUUGCUUGAUUUGAAUGAAACUAACCCGGACUGACGUUGUUUUCAGCAGAGCUGCUUGUAUGGUUUACUUGUGCGCGGGAAAAUGGAUAUUUAGACGUCCCGGGAAAUUCCUAUAAAAAAUAGAGAAAAUCCACGCACCAGGAGGAACCAUGGGCCAGAAUAUGGGCUAGAGGGGAGCCACAGGGCCCCCAUGCGACUAUGGGUGCGGCCUGCCCCCUGGCCGCGCGGGAGGCCGCCUGGGUGGGGCUCACCCCCUCUGGUGCCCUACUUUGGCACCUAUUUUUACCCGUGUUGCAGAAAUACGAGAACAGAAGUCAUUUUGCAAAUUCUCGACGCGGAGCCGCCGCCACCCUCAGUUCUUCUUCGGGGGAGCUAAUUUGGAGGCUGUUUCGGCCUCCGGAGAGGGGAAAUCGUCGCCAUCGUCAUCACCAUCACCACUUCAUCAUCCUCCCAUGGCUUCCCCCAUCAUGUGUGAGUAAUUCCCUGCUGUAGGUGAAGGGGGUGGUAGGAAUUGGAUGAGUUAGAUCAUGUAAUAAUUCGUCGGAUUGUUGGGGGCAUGUUGCCUAUCAUCUAUUAUGGUGUUUAUCAUCUUUUCUACUACUUGUUACUCUUAAUGCUUGUCACUUUGGACCCGAGUGCCAUGAUUUCUCAUCUGAAUUUAUUAUGUUUUCAUGAAUAUAUUUUUGUUCUAGAUCCUAUCUCUGAGUAGUAUACACCUAUUAUAGUCCCAAACCGGCGAUCCCAAUGGUGACAGCUUGGGACACCAAAGGGGAUAUACUAUAGUUUGAGGAUUCCAUGUAUCCAUUGAUUGUUAAUGCUUUGUUCCGGUGCUCUUUGACAGGAGCACCUUAAUCUCCAUAAGUUCCUUUUGGCCCCGUUGAUAGUGGGAUGGUAGGACAAAAGAUGUUGUGCAAGUUCGUAUUGCAAGCACGCACGACUACCUCGAGAAACAUGCCUAAUGUUUGAUAUAUCCCUAGAUGAUCAUUACUUUUCUAUGUGCCUUCCCCCAAGUUAAAUACAUGAUAUCUCUCAUCCAUGACCAACCAUCAAUCUCCCUAGCCUAUAGUGUUUUAAUCACGCUGGUCACAAGUCACUUUACUUUCGCUGUUUUACUUUCGUUGAUUUGCCACUAUUAUUUAUGUUGCCACCAUCACUUUAAUAUCACCAUUGCUACUAAUAUUUCGUUGCCAAGCAAGUAUCUUUCAGGUGCGGUUGAAUUGACAACUCAACUGUUAAAGCUUAUAAAUAUUCUUUGGCUCCCCUUGUGUCGAAUCAAUAAAUUGGGUUAUCUUACCUUCGAAGACUGUUGCGAUCCCCUACACUUGUGGGUUAUCAGACGUAUCAAGGGGGGAGUUGUAGGCGUCGGGGAGGCGACGGUGGCAGCCAACACCGCACCCAUGUUGGCUCGGGUGAGUAGGAGGAGGACGGUGGGGCUAGGUGGGCUAGGCCGACAGUGUAACGAGUAGGCUUUAGUGUAGAGUACCGCUUGGACCCUUCCAUUUCUUUUUUUUCUCUUUGUUUUUUAUUUAAUUCCAAUAGUAAAUUACUUUUGUAAAAUAUAGUGUUUGACCCAAUCAUUAACUUGCAUUUUUAGGUUCAGCCACAAAAAUUUUGGGGCGCAUUUGUAAGUUUGGGAAUUUUCAUAAUUCAAAAAGGUAUUUAAGUAAUUGUUCCGGCCUCUCCUAUAAUUAUUUUGAGGCACCAAAUCACUUGAUAAAAUGUUGGUUCAUAUUUUAUAAUUACUAGGUGAAUAUUUGCCAAGCAACCAUGAUUUUAGUUUCAGGUUUGUCAAAAUAUUUAAUCCAUUUAUUAUUUUAAUUUUGAAUUUCAAAAGGGAAUUUCAAAUAAGAUAUGAUUCUAAGAUUGAUCAAGCAGUGUUUAGCAAACGCAUUAGCUUAAUCUUGGCCAUAACUGUAGCCUAAUUAUAGUGAUCACUAUAGCUUAAUCCAGGGGUGUCACGUAUACUUUUUGGGUAUUUAUUUACCAAUUUAUAUUAUUUUAGAGCACUAACCUAUUAACCCAGUGCCCACUGUGAGUUGUUGUUUUUUGUGUGUUUUUGGCUUUUCAGGUUUACGGUAGCAAACGAAGUCCAAUUGCCAUGAAACUUUUUAGUGAUUUUUUCUGGACCCAUUGGGGCGGACGCGCCCACAACUUAAAUUGAUGUAUCUUAUAUUUUGCCAAACAACAAAAUAUACUCUUGUCGCUGGUAUUAACAUGGCAUGAAAUUUCAAUUUUUCUCGAUAUAUCUAUUUAUUUGUACUGCUUUUCUCUACUUCAAUACCUGCUCGAUUUAGAUUGGGAAAAUCGUACAGAUUUUAUGAAACCUUAUCAUUUUUUUACUGAAUAUUUUGCAAACUAUCUCAGUUCCUUAAAGUCUACAGGUGGUCACGUACUGUGACUGAAAGUUUACAAGUAGUCAAGUAAUUUGACCAGCCAAGCCAAAAGAGAUGUGUACCAACCUCAUGAGAAUAAAUAAGUAUGUCAAACGGUGAGCACAUCAUACACCCUCAUUAGAAUAAAAAAGUACUAUGUCAAAGGGCACUCACUAGCUGGCACCGCCCAGCUCGAGGAGGCACGUCAAGGUCGCGUCCCAACACCUAGUUACCAAUACUAGUCGUCGACCCCGUGUAAUUGCACGGUCUAAUUAUUUAGACAAUAGCUUAGUGGACUUUUGUAAAUAUUGGUUAUACUUACAAAAAUAUAAAUGGAGAGGCUUUAUGUUGAGCUCUUCAAAAUGUACUUUUUUUAUGAUGAGGGGCGUUUUGGUAACGAUACAUUCAUAUAUAACAUUUACAAGAAGUUCUUCAUUUGUUAACUCUUCGAAGUAUAUGGAAAUUACAAAUAAAAUCAUGGAACAAACAAUAUUCCAAUAAAACUAAUAAAGAAAACUGCUCUUUACUUUCUUAAAUUUGGUGCAUAAUGAUAGUGCUAGAUAGAGUACGUAGUUUGGUGUAUAUAAUCAUGCCAUCAUUCCAAACAACUAAAAAAACAUGAGCACAUGAUACAUUGAAAAACAUAUGAUUUCUUCAUGUGUACUGAUCAAAAUAAAUUUACUUUUAUACAUCGUAGUACCCUUGAAAGUGGUAACUAUGAUAAGAAAUCAGGAUCGCAAAACUGAUACAGUAUUGUACGAAACCUAAUUCAAUUAUGAAAAGCUUUAGUACAGAAUAAGAAAUGUAAACAAAUCUUCUUGACAUAUGUCCACAUAUAUUACCUCUUCUCUGAAUCCACCAGCCAAUUAAAUUAUUUCUCUUCACUUAGAGAUCAAGUGGACUGUCAGAAUAAUAUAAUUAUUUCUGUAUAAAGGGCAUCUAUAAUGAAGUGAAAUUAGACUAGUAAUUUGAGAAAGAAUUUUGUUUUUUUUUAACAUGCACACGAACACAUCUAAUAUUUUAUUAGGGAAAUAAAAGAAUAUUUGGAUGUACCCAAUAUGUCUGGUAAGGAUAAAUGUCACCUUGCUUUAUAAUUUCAAGAAAGAACCGUCUGAAGUAGAGAUAGAGAAAAAUGUACCCAGAAGCAACUCCUCGAGAGAUAAAACUUGUUAUAUCCAGUUCUAUCAAGUGACUCCUAGUCUAGAUUUGCACUUUCUGGUGUGAUAUUGAUGAUUCCUGCCAAGAAACGUAAUUAGUAUAGUUGUGGAGUAAUUAUGAAGAGUGGAAAAGGUAAUUAGUAUUUAUUGGCUAGGCAUAUAAUUUUAUAUAGUGACGGAGGUGUAGUAAGAUAUUUUUUCGGCGAAAAGAGGUAACAACACAAUCAUAUUAGAACAGAGGUGAGAAAUAGGUAAUGCUGAGAAUGUUGCGAAGAACUGAAAUGUUUUAAUUCUGACAAAAACAUAUACCUCUCUUUGCAUCAAGAAUUAUAUUGCUGAGAUAAUAUAGAACAAUCGAACAUAUGAGAUAAGACGAUUAUCUGGCACAUGCCAGUGUGUCCGUGAUUUGUUUUCCUUUGGUCGAACAUAGAUGGCAUACUUGAGUAGUGCUGAUGAUGGAGACCAAAAGGCCAUAACUUGCGAAUAUAGUUAUACCAAAGGUUAUAAUUAUUAUCAUAUAAACAUUAGAUAAUUUUUCUAGUCUAAAUGACAAUUCUAAUUUUCGAUCUUGAGGAAAUGUAAUACAUGUUGAAGACUACUAUUCCUCAAUUAAUCUACAUCGACACUGAUAAAAUAUUAUAUUUGACAGCCUUUAUAGAGUGGACUCUGGAGACCCCAAAAAGACACACUAGUAGAAAUAAGGGCUUUCGUCCCAGCUCGAAAACACAUUAGUCCCGGUUCCUUUACGAACCGGGACUAAUGUUAGUAUUAGUCCCGGUUCGAGCGGCAAAGGCGCCGGUCGGGCAUUAGUCCCGGUUCAAAUGGGACCUUUAGUUCCGAUUCGUGUCUCGAACCGGGACUAAAGGGUUUGGAGGAUUUAGUCCCGGUUCGUGUCUUGGACCUUUAGUCCCGGUUCGUAUCUCGAACCGGGAGUAAAGGGUUUGGAUGAUUUAGUCCCGGUUGGUGUCUUGAACCGGGACUAAAGGUGUUCAGAUUUUUUUUGUGUUUUUAAAUUCUUGUUUGUAGUUUCUGUUUUAAAUUGCUUAUAUCUUUUAGGAUAUUUGAUGUUUUUUAUUGAUUCUUUUUGCAUUAGAUUCAAAAUUUUGUCUAGUUUCUGUUUGUGCCAUUAGUUUUCAAAUUUGAAUGGUUUAAAUUUGAAUUUGUUUAAAUUUGCUUCAAACCCAGUUUUUGAUUAACUUGAGUUUACAAAUAGUUUUUAAUUUAAUUCUUUUUGCUCCCACUCAUGUGUUAGAUUGUUAUCACAAUAAGAUUUAUUUGGUUAUUUUUAGAAUAAUUUAAAUUAGGAUUUUAAUUAAACAAAUAUUGUUUUGCUUAUAUAGUUGUUUUAGUCAUCUAGUUGUUGUUUUUUAUUAUGUUUAGUUAGUUCUUUCUGUAGAUUUUAACAUGUUGUAGUAUGGUGCAUAUUUAAUGCACAAAAAAAUCUAUAGUUCAAUUAAUUUUAAAAAAAUGCCUUUGUAGCAGAUGGGUUUUCGUCUGAAACCUUGAUACUUUGAGUUUUGUACAAAAUAAACAAAAAUGAUAAAAUCUUCAAAAAAUAAACAAAAAUGAUAAAAUCUUCAAACAAUAAAAUCCUUUGAGAUGUUGUUAGGUUUUAGUGUCUAGUCGGUAUAGAAAUUUUGAGAUAUGAAUUUUGACCAUUUUGGCAAAAAAAGGAAAAAAAUAAACGGCCAUAACUUUUGCAUACGAUGUCAAAACAAAUAAUAUAUCAAAAAAAACUAGAAAAUAUUGGUACUCGAUUUCACCCGGGCUUGCCCGAUGAAGUUUUCUCACAUGCUCAAAAUUCCAAAUGGAAAAAAAGUUAUUUCAAAAAGAAGUUUUUCCAAAAAAAAAAGAAAAAUAGUUUUAUUUAAAAAUAUUAGGUUGUUUUCAUUGAAAUUCACUAUUAUUGUUACUUAUUAAGUGUAUUUUAGUAAUUGUUUUUAAUUCAAAAAAUUAAAUCAUGUGACAUGACAUCAAGACCCAAGUUGUUUAGGAUUGAUAGCUUACUAUUGUCAGGAAAACAACAAGUGCACACUUGGCAACUAGGGGCGAUAGAACCAGAAAGUUAAGGUGCUCGGGCUGAAGCAGUGAAAGUAUGGGUGAUCGGCCGGGAAGUUAGACGAUUUGAAAUGAGUGAUCCACGCUAGAGCAGUGAGGAUGGGUGAUUAGAGAUUAAAUUGUCAAAUAAUUCAAAGAUUAGAAAAUUGGAAUAAAACAUAAAAAAUAUUCAAAAAUAAAAUUUGAAAAAAAUUAAAAAAAACUACAUUUUCGGGUCAAAAAAAACAGACGGAUCCUUUAGUCCCGGUUCGUAAGUAGAACCGGGACUAAGGGUGUGUUUGAUCCUCCCGCGGCGGCCGCCGGCCGCGUCGGCCGCCCAGAGUGGUUGCCACGCCCGCCCAUUGUUGGCGAUUGGCCACAUCCCUUUGUUUGGAGAAUAUUCCCAGCAUCUUGUUGACUCUAUCCCUCCUCGCCCCAGAUCCAAACUCAUGGCAACCACAGAAAAAACUGGUUAUCCCUGUCCGUGGGAGGAUAUCCCUCCAACCAAAUACACCCUAAAGAUACUCCCUCCGAGGCGGCCACGUGGAGCACCUUUGGUCCCGGCUUGGAACAGGGCCGGAACUAAAGGUUAGGCCUUUAGUUCCGCCCCUUUAGUCCCGGUUGAUGAACCGGGACUAAAGCCCCUUACGGGCCGGGACUAAAGGCCCUGUCACCACUAAUGACACUUACUAAACUAUCAAUCUAGCCGUACUUGAUCAAAUAGAAAGGAGCUAUAACUUGCACAUGGAGACAUGGCUAAACAGCAAGAUAGCAAUACACAGUACCCCUCACAGUUUGUACAUCCAGAAGACCUGAUCAAUUUUAACACGUACAUAUGAACAGGAAAUUCUACUAGUCUUGUAUCACACGUGAUAAAAAUCCUUUACUGAUAAUCAAUUUCCCCAUGCGCCUCACACCCUAAUUUUCUGCAAGACCAAGAAACUCAAUUGAUGCGAUACUGAAUAUCCCAAGAUCUACUUUUUAAAUCUUAUUCACAUUGUGCUAGACUCAUCUUGAAGACAUCAAUAGUUUUUUUUUUGCAGUGAUGAAGGCUUGAACAGUUUACUUAUUUACAACAGAUAAAAUAGACGGGCAAGGCUAGCAUUAGCAACGAUCCUGCGUAGCAGUAGCUAUAUACAAUCAAACCUAAACUAACAGCAUGAGUCGACUAAAAAAGUGCCAGUGUCCUCACCUGAGAUUAUGUAUAUUUUGCGUCAUCUCUGAUAAAGAAUUAUGAAUUAUGAUAGACCCGGAGUGUAUGGGGAUGUAUCUGCCUUGCCGAGUAGAAGCCUUCCAUAGACUAUGUAGCUCCACACCUGUAUUUGUAGUACGUCUCAUGUCAUGGCUCAUGGGGCAUGGGCCAUGGGCCAUGGAAUUCGCUUUCUACUGAAAGAUGUCUCUGUCGCUUCUGUCCAAGGCAUCACGACAGCUAUGGGCUCUUGCAUCGUAGCACGGGCCACUGCAUCACCCGCACCUUGAGCAAUGCUACAUCUACGUAAAUGUUUACGUAAGUUUACGGGAUAGUCUUGAUAGAUCCCGUGGAUCUUAGGCCAGAUGUGUUCGGUAUGAUGUGGAGAUUUAUUACCUUUUAGUUUGCUCGAUGAGCUCCCUCCGGUCGUCCAUCGUGAGGUGGUGACGACGGUGGGGAAGGAGAGAGAUGUAGCAGCGGCGGCGGUGGACUUCCCAUCGCUUCAGUGCAUCCCUCUAGAUCGGAUUAGGGUUAGAGAGUGGGGAACCAGUGGCGGCGGCGAACCUCGUGUCUUGUGCCAUGGUCCUCACCUCCUCUUUAUAGCACUGCGCGACAGGGGCCCACCAGCCUUACUUGGGCUGGACGCCCCCGAUCAGGGUGUGAGUCAAGGUCCAAUGGGCCGUUGGGCCCAUUGGGGAAAGAGAUCAACCUAACAUUCUCCCCAUUGAUCUCAUCAUAUACUUUUAACUUUACCCGUUUCGUAACAGAUCAAUACAUAGGGCAUGUUUCAUGUCACGGCUCAAUUGCUGAUGGACUCAGACAGCCACAAUGUACCUCUCUAUUUUGAGACAGAUUCUUUAACCUUGGGCCCUUUAUUGUCCGGAAAUUUUAGACUAUACCAAAAAAAACCAUGUCGAUUGUGUGUUCUCCGAACGCACUGGGCGGUAAGCCUUUGAUAAGAAGAUCUGCAAACACUUGUUUGUCGCUUUUAUGCUUUCAAGCAUUUUUCCAUAAUUCCGGACUUUCUCCUUCACAACACAUAACUCUUUGUCAGUGUGUUUGGCAUCAACACUUGACUCGUUGUGACAGGAGCGAAAGAAUUUAAAAUGGUUAUCGUUGUUGUCAACCAUUAUCAACUCCGGGUACAGGUAGCCUUAACCAUGUUGCCCGUCCCUCAGCCUCAUAUCAAGCUAUGACAUAUCAUUGCAUCAAAUUGAUGACAAUCGUUUUUACUCAUUUGGAGAUUUUCCACACAAAACACCGAGUAUGAAAGUUAGCGACAAUUGUGGAUUUCGCUAUACAUUUCACAAGUCCUCUUUUGUACUCACAAUGUUUUGAGAGCACUUAUUUCUUUCAUCAUGAGGCCGAUAUCUUUGACUCCAUUCCAUUGAUUUAUCUAUGGACUGGACAUUUCCAAAACAACCUGGAUAUAUACGUGAACUGUGUCAGGGUAAUAUCUUGAGCUUCCAACAACUGAAGCAUAUGGUACCAUAUCCGUUUACAAUCUUUCUUAUUAACUUUUGGAACACCAUAGUUUCCACUUCCAUUACCCAUGACUAUAAGAACAGGCAUAGGUUUUCUCGUAUGCAUACUUUAGAGAUCUUUCUUAGCAUGUUCAUGCGACAUUCCUAAUACCCCCUUUUAUUCUUUUGAACUUUGAGGACAAGAACUUCUUUUCUCCUCCUGCAGUAGAUUGACAUCACCACUAGCAAGUAGGACAUCAUCCACAUGCAUAGGAAUUGGGAAACGAAUUUCCCAUUCUAUGACUUUGCAUGAAUGCAAUUGUCCUCUCAUUUUCUUUGCACAAAAUCUUUCGAUUUAAGUCAUGUUUCACACAUUUACAUAUUUCCUUUCGAGUCACAUUUGCCUUGUAGACCCUUCAUAAAGUCUAUGUUAGNNNNNNNNNNNNNNNNNNNNNNNNNNNNNNNNNNNNNNNNNNNNNNNNNNNNNNNNNNNNNNNNNNNNNNNNNNNNNNNNNNNNNNNNNNNNNNNNNNNNNNNNNNNNNNNNNNNNNNNNNNNNNNNNNNNNNNNNNNNNNNNNNNNNNNNNNNNNNNNNNNNNNNNNNNNNNNNNNNNNNNNNNNNNNNNNNNNNNNNNNCUAACAUAGACUUUAUAGUAGUCACAAGUAUCUGAUUUUCACAUACCUAGAGAACAUUAAAAUCUCAGGUACUGGCACUUCUUUCAUAUGGGGUUGUCGUUGCUCUGUCAUUGCCAAGAGGGAAUUAAUUCUAUAGUCACCCAUUUCCAAAAGGCAAUAGGUUUUACAGGAACCUGUAUCACAAGAUCCCUUGUAGAGCUAACAACAGGUGUUGUAUAGGUCAUACAACAUGCUCCCCCAGAAUACUCCAUCUUCACACAAGAAAUGGCGUAUCUUUAAACUUUCUUCUUUAUGGCACUUUAAGCACCACCGUUGUAUUCCUUAGUCUGCUUUCGGAACUAUAAAAGAUCCGAAAAUACAAUUGUUUCUUUUCUUUAGGGGUAUCAUAAUGACGGUACUCCGAUGACUGUCGUACUCCCCUUGACAAUCACAUUCUUCAUUAAUGGAUCACUUUAGAUGCAUAAUGUGCAUCACAUCAUCUGAAGUACAGAGGAGUCAUGAAAUACACUACAAUGUAUUUCAUGUCUCUAUCUCCCCCUCGAAAUGUGGAAAGAACUUUUCUGCCACAAUUUUGAAACCCAUUCAUAGCUCUUUUGAAAUGAGGAAACUUCGAUUAUCUAGCUCAUUCAUCUUAUCACUUCAUGUAAAAUGAAGUUAUAAGUUAACUAGUAUGGGAGUACUUUUUCCUCAUUUCAUUUCGGAAACUCAAUAGAGUUCUUUAUAGUUGUCACUUUUGCAAGUUACACUUGCAUAUCAUUCUUGUCUUUAGGUUCGUCUGUUACUUUUAUCCUUUCUGGAUUUAGUGAUUGCAUAAUGACCGUUACACAUAAAGUGUACGGUCGAUAAUAGGAAAGCUUAAUAGCUACUCCAUACUUUUCUCCCAUAGUGGGACACAUUAACCGCACAUGAGUCAUCAUAACUUUCUCCUGUCAUAUAGGAUAAGACCUUUGCCAAAAUUUCUCCCGCCAUACACGGAUUGUUAACCUAAUACAAUGUCAACUUUACCCGGUGACGCAGGCAUUCUUCCCAGACUUUUCCCACCAUGCAGGUAAUUCCCUUUAAGGGACAUCAUAAAUGCCAUAAUUGGCUCUUUUGACUGCAUCAAAUUCAGAAAUAAAUCUGAAUUAUCUUUGACACACAUGUUUGAUCCGACGUUGGUCAAAUUAAACAUGCAUGUUGCUUGUUUCAUUUCAAUCAUGUUGACUGAAAAAAGGAGACUCCAUCAUAGAGAGUACAUGAAAGACAUUCGUCAACCAAGACUCUCAAUGAUCUAUCUCUUUUCUUUUCUUGAAUUAAUAUCCAAGAGUUCUUUUCUUUUGAAGCCAUUCUUUAGAGAGAAUUUAUUCCCUCAAGUUAUGACCUUUCUUUUCCAUCUUUCAGGUCACUAGUGCCCAAACAUUCGCUUUCAUGAGUGAAAGCUUGAAUAACUUUUAGUCUGAGAAAACAUAGCCAAUAAACAACGGUAAUGAGCAUUAAAAAUAACCCUACGUUGGUCUGAUUAAAAUCAUGCACAUUAAACCUUUUAAAACUUUCUGGAAUAUUCUAAAACACCGUUGUGGCAGAAUUAGAAUAAAACAUCAUUCUUCUGCAUUAAUUCCAUAUCAUCGUUGGGCAGAAAUGGAAAUAAUGCAUAUAACUCAUAAACAAUGUGAUGAUAGUAUUUCUAUUGAACAACUUUGCUAAUAAAUAAUCAUCAUCAUCAUUAACCAUAUUGCAGCAGAAAUAGAAAUAUGCAUUUCUUUAUCUCUACUCCGAAAAAUUGAUCACUUUGAUACAAAAUUUAUCAGAGAUUUAAGCUUUAAACAUAAGAUGACUCAUACAAUUAUGGUAUUGUUAUCAUCAACGUUGGUCACAAAAUAACAAUACCAUAUUUAACUUUAAAACAAACAUCACUCUAUUGUCAUAGCGGAAACUGUUUGAAUCCUAUUUCACCCACAAGGGAAAAACUUUGCUAAUAACAGUUCUUCUAAUUAAAUUUUCCCAUUGGUUUCAAUUUAAUUGGAGGAUUAAACAUUUACCUUGCAGCGGAAAAACGUGAAUAUAAAAUUCAUGCACCUUUACAGAAAAAUAUUCUGUUAAAAUCAAAAUUCAUGAACUUUAUUUUCCUUAUAUAAAAUCCAUGAACUUUUCAUUUUCUGAAAAAACUCUAUUUAUUUCCAGAAACAUCUACUUUUCUUUGGAGAAAUUUUUUGUCUUUUAUUCUGCACACACCUUUUAUUUAAUUUGCAUAAGGAUGCCUUUCCCUUUUCUAUUUUCUAAACAUAAUUUUCCAAGAAAAUUAUGCAUAGAAAAGACUAUUUUUCUACUUUACAGAAACUUUUCUUUUUCUGAAAAUUAUCUUUAAUUUUUCAGAAACUUUUCUGUUUUUCUUAUCAAGAAAAACUGUCAAUACUUUCUGGGCCGAAACGGGCCCAGUUACCCAGCAGCCGAGCGUGCUCCCGUGCAGCUCCUGACCUGGUGGGCCGCCGGCCUCAGCCGCCUCCCUUUUGGCCCCUUUGGCCCGAAAACUGGCCUGGGAGCGUGUCAUGUACCGCUGGCGGCGCUGGCCCGCUCUUUGCGGCCUAGUUGGCCCGGCUGGGCUAGGGUUAGGCACAGGAGCCAUCCUGGCCGCCCAUCUUGAUCCGACGGUCCCCCGUGGAGAUCGGGGAGACCAAAAACGAGACCGAGCCGGCAGGGGGAACCCUAGCGGUUCAUUCCCUCCCCCCAGCGCCGCUCAUCUGUGUCUCCCGAGCGCACAACCCCUUCCUGCCGCCGCGCCGUUUCGUUCGCCGCCGGUGGCCAGGCCACCGCUUCGCGCGCUCGCCUUUUCGUUUCCCUCCUUAUCUUGUGGCACAUCAAGAGUGAGGGACGCACCAUGCCUCAUGUCUUCCCUCGCGCGUUCUGUUACCGAACGGUGACAGCUCGGCCGCUCCGGCCACCAGCAGCGGUUUCCACCGCGCCGAGCGAGCCCUUUUCCCCUUCCUCUAUUCUUUCCUCCGGCGAGCGAGAGUGAGGGCAGCGAGGCGCGGCUGCGCGCCCCCUCUGCCCCCCGUUCCUAUUUUAGAUCCAGUGAUCUUUCUUUCAGCCACCACCGCCCCAGCGAGAAAGAGACGCGAGCAGAGCCUUCGUCUGCUUCUCUUCGCGCCCGACGACGGUUUCCAGAUGUGGCAGUGGCUGCGCCCCUGCCGACCCCUUCGCCGGUCGUGCGUUCCCCUUGCGGUGAGCGCGCCGCCGUCGAAUGGAUCGGUGGUGGUGCUUGUACUUUGCCCCGAAGGGUGGAUUUCUUUGCAUGUUUUUUUUGUUUGCUUUUUUCGGAUCCAAUCUGAUUCCUUUGUUGGUUUUCCUUUUGGAUCUAAUCAGAUCCAUACUUUUCCUCCAAGGAGGUUGGUUCUUCUUCCCCACACCUCGGCUUGCCGAUGCGUGCGGGGAUCGAGAGGAACAGGCGCGGCCGAGGCGGCACUCUUUGCCGGAGAGGACUCCGGUGAAACCUUUCUUUUCUUUGAUCUUUGCCCUUCUCGGGUUCAUAUCGGGGAGGGGGAAACUUUUCUUGUACAUGUUUCAACCGAAACUCAUCUAAAGCCUCGUGGCUCAUGAUACCAUUGAUAGAUCCCGUGGAUCUUAGGCUAGAUGUGUUCGGUAUGAUGUGGAGAUUUAUUACCUUUUAGUGUGCUCGAUGAGCUCCCUCCAGUCGUCCAUCGUGAGGUGGUGACAACGGUGGGGAAGGAGAGAGAUGUAGCAGCGGCGGCGGUGGACUUCCCAUCGCUUCAGUGCAUCCCUCUAGAUCGGAUUAGGGUUAGAGAGUGGGGAACCAGUGGCGGCGGCGAACCUCGUGUCUUGUGCCAUGGUCCCCACCUCCUCUUUAUAGCACUGCGCGACAGGGGACCACCAGGCUUACUUGGGCUGGACGCCCCCGAUCAGGGCGUGAGUCAAGGUCCAAUGGACCGUUGGGCCCAUUGGGGAAAGAGAUCAACCUAACAAGUCUCACUUGACAAUCAUUGAUUGGAUUAUGAGGAGGAUGAGGCCCACCCACCCCUGAAAAUCAGGGGGGCAUAUUUAGAUUAGUUGAAAGGUUUAGUAAACGUAAGUAAGAUUUAGUAGGUCUAGCAUUUUCGCCCGCACCAUACGUGAAGCCAUGCAUAAUCCUGCUUUUGAUCUCAUCUACCGCCAGGGAGAGUGAGGACGUUUCAGGAGGAGAAGAACACACCAUCAGCCACAGUCGGGCUAGUGCAUCUCCUACUCGAGCGAUGCGGACUUCACAUGGGAGAUGUGCUCCGAGAGAAAUGCCCAAUCGUGGGUGUGUGUCCAUGCCGCAUGGCACCUGGAAGCUAGGGCGCUGCUCCUGUAUGACUGGAAGAUGAGGAGGCCGAUGGAUGGAGACAUGCUGAAUAGUAAUCUCGUCCGCACCAGAUCAAGAAGGAAUCAACAAAGAAGUGGUUUGCAUAUGUACCUUGCAUCUGCACAGCACAAACCAAUCAGAGGCAUGGCUAGCUGCUUGGCCGAAUAAUAGGAGAUCGUUUGUUUUCUAGAAGAAAAAGAAGAGAGAUGGGUUUUCUGUAGGGAGAGAAAGGAGAGAGAUGGACGAUAGGAAUCGUGCCGCACAUGGCUACCCAAAUGUACGCGUUCAUGUAUUCAAGAAAAAAUAAAAAAAGGUAUGCGUUUAUCAUACAACUUUAGAUAGAUCAAUGGUUCUGCUAAAAGAAGAUACAUUAUGGGUUAAAAGAAACUAAUCCUAUUGAAAUAUUUGCACCAUAAAAACUUGGUCCCACCCGAGGAAGGGAUCUCCGAUGAAAAACUUUUUUAACCCUGUCGAAAGAUCUCCACCGUAAUAACUUGGUCCCACAAAAUAAACGGCUCCUAAUUUCUGAUUAACAUGAGAAUUUCUAGAGAGUCCAUAAUUAGUAUAAGUAUAAAUAUAGAUUAUGCAUGCCAUAAACUGAUGCUCAAUAAUAAAACCAACUGAUCCUCUUGUAAAAUUUGAAAGAUUUGUAGGCCAAAUCAUAUUAAAUCAAAGCAUAUUUCCACUCACCAAUUUUGCUAUGAAUUGAUCUAUGCGACGUAUUUUGAAUGGCGACAGGCAUAAUGUCUCAACUCCAUGCAAGCAUAAUACAGCUAUACGUAUAAAUUUCCACUAACACAUACCUUGUCUCACUCUCCAGUUGAACUAAGGACAAUGCUAGAAUACUGCACCAUAUUUUUUGAUACAUUCUUAGGGCGAUUGAUAAACAUUGGUGAUUACCAUAAUGUCCAUGUAAACUUCAUCCACCAAAGCCCGUAUAGCCGAAAUAAACAAAUGAAGUGAUAAAUCAAGUAUUUCGGCCCUUUGGAUCAACAACGAACUUAUAGAUAAUCAAAUGUAUAGUGAUUUGGUAAUACCCCUUCAUGAUAUAAGAAAUUAUAUUGCAUCCAUCAAUCUAAAUAAGCCCAUACAGGGUAACCGAUCAUACAUCUGACGUAAUUGUUUUUGCUUCCAUCCUACUAUUUCUUUCCUUUUGUAACACUUGUUGGAAUAGAAGGUUGCACAUCAUUUUUAUUUUUCAAAACCCAAGUCAUGUUGUUGUGUCUCAGCUCUUGUGCACUAAGCUUUUAUAGUUCCUUCAUUUUCCAAUACGUUAAGCCGAGUGGACGCCUCGACUGUGGUUUUUUUUUUCAAGCAAUGGUAACUCUUUUUUGGCCUUGUAUACUCUCAACUUCUUCCCUUCAGAUUUUGCACUUUAAUUUUAACAAUUGAUUGCUUCACUUCUUUACCUUUUGUAGCCAAUACUAACUCUUUAAGUGGUUCCUUAUAUUUUUCGACCAAACCUGAAUUGGCACUCUUGAGACCAUCUUUUUUACUCGAUAUACUUGUUUGAUCACCUUUUCUUUUUUCUUGAGCUCCGAAUUAUUGAAAUGAUUUUGAACAUAUGACUACUCAUUGAAUGUUAGUAUUCUUGGAGCUGUAUAAUAUUGGUGAUAUGGUUAUAAGAAGAUGGAGAAUGUGCCCUUGAAUCAUACCUAUCCCAUGAUGGAUACAGAUUUACGCGAGCAUAGGGAGGCAUCCACGACACUGGCAUUGGCGGCCCAAAUUAAGGAUAUGAAUAUGUUGCAUUGAAAUUCUCGCUUUCUCAAACCGAUCCUUGGUUCUGCGCCUAGGGGGUGAUCUUGAUGCUUUUACAUUAUUUAGUCGAUAAGCCCUUUUUAGCACAUUCAAUUCUUAUAUUUAAAGUUUUGAUUUUUUUUAUCCUUUUGCUUAUUUUGACCUUUUUUCUCCUUUCUUGCAUCAACCUUUGGAUUUUCUUGCUUCCCCCAGAGCUUGACGUCUUCAUUCCAGCUUCGGUGGAAUUCUUGUCGUCAAUAAUAUCUUCAAUGUGAAGUUGAACAAUCUCUUUAGAAAGCUUGAUUCCAUCCCCUGAAGUUUUUGCCUUCUCUUUAAAUGGAUGGUUUGAAGAAACCCAAGAAAAAACUUUUUGCCAUCAUGACCCAUCGGAAUAGACUGGUCAUCCCAUGUUCUUUCAACAAAUUUCAAUUUUCCUUUUUCAAUGGCCGAUUUAGCUAUUUGACGAAACAUGUUGCAAUCCUCAAAACUAUGUUUGAAUGAAUCGUGCAACUUACAAUACAUUUGUCCUUAGAUAGAUGGCUUUACAUGGUGACCAAGAAUUCUAAUAUAAUCAUUUUUAGCAACAAAUCAAAGAUUUGAUCACACAUCCUUGAGUUAAAUGUAAAUCUCUUAUUUUGCCGAUCUUUCUAUGAGAAUGGCUUUGGAAGUAAGAAAAUGAAUGGUUUCGAUUUGGCAUCUCCCCAUUCGCCUAUGAAUUUCUUUCGCAUUCUUUUUCCGAUGUCAUUGUGUAAGAAAUUAUACUAGCAUCGGUUUUCUCAAAAGUAUUUAACCUUGGCUUCAAGUUACUGGAAAGAAAAUAGCUAGAACAUACAUGCCUCAAUUGAGGCCAAGUGUAAGCCAAGUAUGAAACAAGCAAAGCUACCCAUGUAGAUAUAAACUCUAAAUAAAACAAAAGGGAAAGCUUCAAUUGUAAUAAUUUUUCACUAUCCGUCUUUUUGAAUGGUGCGAUAUGUUGACCAAUAUGCUUUGUCAUAAUAUGAUUGCUAACAAUAAAUUACCCUUAUUCAUUGGUCUCUCAGUAUUACUUAUGAAGAUUUUUCUAAUAGAUGCAUCAACAACAAAGUUAUGAACAAAUUGUAAUAGAGGUAAAUUACUUGCUAAACGUACCUCUUCGGUUAGGUUGGGAGAGAAUGAUGGUUGCAUGACAUGAAUAAUAUCAUGCUUUGUUUAUGGAUGGCUUCCCAACACCUCAAAUCCCUGAUUUUCUUGGUUUGUGCAUCAUUACAUUGAAGAUGUUUGUCAACUGAACUUUGUUCAGCUACUUGUUCUUGUCCUUGAAGCUCGUCAAUUUGUAUGGCACUAGACUCAUAGGGCAGGAAGUAGGUUCCAUUAACUUCAAAAUAAUCAAACAUGGUUACUAUUCUAUCGUUGCCAUGACCUUUCUCAAUAAUCCUUUCCUCUUUGGAUUUGAUGGAUUCAUAAUAUAUACUACUUGAUUUGGCUUUUUCAACCGAGCACUUUCAUGUUCAGAAUCAUCCUUAUUUUCAUUGAUUCUACAAACUCGCAAUAAUUAUUGAAAGGAUCGAUAUGGUUGACUAUAGGGGUGGCUAAUAGAUAACUAACAAUUUUUAAGCUUUACUUAAUCAAUUAAACUUUAGCAACAAAUAGGUUUUCUAAAUAUGCAACUAAGAGAAUGACCUAUAUGAUGCUAGCAACAUGAAUAACAAGUAAGUAAAUAAUGCAAGUAAGGGAAAGAAGUAACCACAAGUGGAACUGAUGAAGACGAGGAUGUGUUCCCAAAGUUCCUUCCCACAUGGGUAAGUACGUCUCCGUUGGAGCGGUGUAGUGGCACUAUGCUCCCCAAGAUGCCACUAAGACCACGAUAUUCUCCUCACUCCCUCACACAAUGCGAGGUGCCGUGAUUCCACUAGUGGUGCCCUUGAAGGUGGCGACCGAACCUUUACAAAAAUGGUUGGGACAAUCUCCACAGCUGAAUUGGAGGCUCCCAACGAUACCACGAAGCUUCACCACAAUGGAAUAUGGCUUCGAGGUGACCUCAACCGUCUAGGGUGCUAAAACACCCAUGAGUAACAAGAUCAGCGAGGGAUUAGUGGGGGGAUCAAAAAUUUCUUGGUGGAAGUGUAGAUCAAGGCCCUCUCAACCAGACCCUCGAGUAUCAAGAAGUUUUGUUGACUAGGGAGAGAGAUCGGGUGAAAAUGGAGGAACAAUGGAGCUUAGGGUUAGGAAAGGUGAGGUUGUUUGGGAAGAAGAACCCCUUUAUAUAGUGAGCGAAAGAACCUGCCCGUAACCCACCUGUUCUGCCCGUACAAGAGCGGUGCUACCGAUGAUAAGAGGUAGUAUCGCUCCAAAGUGAGCGGUACUACCGCUCACGCACAGGACAGCCGAUCCGAGUGAGCGGCAGGGGCUAGUAGUACUGCCGGAGUGGUACUACCGUUGCCAGAAGCGGUACUACCGCUCAUAAGAGUUAGUACUGCAUCCUACAUCCGCUCGGGGAUCAGUUGCGGUCCUAGCCCAGAAAAAAAAGGACUCCCGACAUGGUAGUAACAAGCGGUAAUACCGCCCAACGGGCGGUACUACCGCACAGUCCGACACAAAAAGUGUCGAGAUCCGCGGGCAGCAGUACUGGCCAACGGACCAAGCUCGGCAACAUCCGCCCUGGAGCGGUACUACCGCCAGCCUGUGUGGUACUACCGAUGACAAGAGGUAGUAGCGCUACCAGGAACGGUACUGCCGCUUGGGUAUUUAUGGACAUUGUUGGGCAAGGGAAGAAGCUCCAUUGAGGUGGGAAAGAUGUUGCGAGGGAAAGUGUACGUGAUGAUUCCACCCAGACCUUUCCGAGGCGGACCCUCUGUUAAUAGUAUGGCUUUUCGUGCGACUCAAGUCCACCGACAACGAAACGUAAGAGAGAAAGCCGUCUUCAUAUCAAUACACCGAGGGGCAUGCAUCGUCUUUGUGCCAAAUGAGGAAAUACCUGAAAGGCUUAGGGCACAUGAUUAGUCCGCAAAAGUAUUGUCAUCAAUCACCAAAACCACUAGGGUAGAAAUAUGCCCUUACACUUAUUUUAUUUCAUCCAAUUAUUUUCCUUCUUAUUUCUAACGGCGAGCGGCAAUUUUGGUUUUAAGUUUUUUCUCAAUUUCAGCCCGCUCAAGAUAUGAUUGCCUCCAAAUCUUUUAGAUUCUUUCGCAAUGACACACUCGUGUUGUCGAAAGUUGGCAAUUGUGUAGCGCGUGUAUAAUAUGACAUAGGACUAGGUGAAGGUGUAUGUAUUGUUGCAAAACCAUAUUUUUGCUCGCCAAUUUUAUCAUUUGGAAAAGAUUCAUCCUCUUAUAAAACUCUACUUUUAUUGCAUUAUAAUGAGGAACUAGCCCCUUAUCAUGCUCUUCAAGGCAAAGAGCACUUCCCUUGUUGUUUCAGGACGUGUCUCUUUUUAAUAUAGGUACUUCCAUCCCGGCCGUAAGGGAUUGCUCCACAAUACUUUUAGAUCUCGACAAUGCGAUGUUGCCAAAAUUGUGCAAUUGCGUAGAGGAUGCAUUAUAUGCUACAAUAUUAGAUGAUGUCAUGUGCACUCCUGCACAAUUUUCACUUAUUCAACUAUGACCAUGAAGCUUUGAAGUUGAAUUGUGAGCAUCUACAGUUGUGUACGGUGCCAAAAAAUUACUAACACAUGAGGUGUAGCAUAUGACGGUUGACAGUAACUGGUCGAAUAGUUAGUGGUAGCAUGGCCAAUUCUCCCAUCCAUCAGCAAUGGGGUAUUUAUUCCAGGCCGGCGGUAUCAUUGUUGAGCGAUCGCUCGGUUGAACUAGUACAUUGUAAAUUAGCUGUCCAAGAAUAAAAAGGUCAAACACUUUGUUGCAUGCUAUUGGAACUUCCUACACAAUGUGUUUCAAUUUGAUUGACCAAACUCAUCAUGUUGUUCAUCCGCAUAACGAUUUGUGGAGUUGCUGAUGGAUGAGAGUUUAAAUACAUAUGGUGCAUGUUACUAGUAUCAUAAGUUGAAGCACGUAUAUAACCUUGAAUUGGCCUUUGCAUGUGAUUAGAUGCAUGAUUGAAACAACUAGGGAUGGUCGAUAGAGUAUACUCAUUGAACGAUCUAGUAAUACCAUAUGAAUUAUUUGUAUGUACACUAGGGAAUUGGGUAUUCGUAUCACCUUUGUAGAUUUCAAACCCUAGAUGACGGUCUCUUCAUACCAAGAACGGGUUAGGGAUUGUUCGAAGUUUCGUCCCUAGCAGAGUCACCAAAAAGUGUGUUCGCACACGAACACAUUACUGUGCACCCUUACUGUCGAGGGUGACACAUUAAAGGAGACCAGUUUGAAAAAGCGGUUCACAAGUAGUCCGACGAGCACUUUUGUAGAUCCGAAACUCCCACAUGGCCGAAAGGGACCCCGUCAAAGCGCAUGGUGGCUAUGGGCUACAUUAGGUCGACCUGACCGCCCCUAGGGCCUUGUGGUUCGCCCAAUAGGAAGAACGAACAAAAGAACGAGGAAGAAGAAGAACUAGGGUUAAGGAGAAAAGUUAAAGGUAAAAAUUGGUAGAUUGAUUUUGCAGUUGUGUGUUGUUCAAUCGUCUGUCAUCUCUUAUCUAUUUAUGAGGCGAUUGGACUUUCCAUACAAGAAAAGGACAAAAAAAAUCCGUUUCAAAUAUCUAAAAUCCUAACCUAACUCGGACAGGAAUCUUUUGUAAUUUUCCGUCUUAAUUCGGGCCCUCCAAGUGGUUUCGUUCAGUCUCACCGAGUGGACGUUGCCAACUUUCUGUAAUCUUUUGUAUCUCACUCGAAAGUUCCAAAUGGGUUUCACUCGGUCUCACCGAGUGCACUGGAUGCUUCGUGAAUUUUUUUUCCAACACCAACUCGGUCUCACCGAGUCAAAUACACUCGGUCUGUCCAAAGUGACUCUGCGGUUUUUGUUCUUGACCUUAUUUUGACUCCACAGGUCGCAUACGAUCUAAGAUUAAGAUAAUUUUUCUAUCAAAUUCAACCAUUUCGAUGAGCCAGACAACUUUGAUGUUGAACACAUUUUCAUCAGAGUCCAUCUUAAUUAUGUUUCAUGACAUAUUAUAAUCUAAUAUCAACACGAGCAUGUGUAAAAUUUCAUAACUUUUGCAUCUGAACUCCAUUUUGGCCCAUCCUCGUAUCCAUCUUUGAUCUCCUUGAAUAGAACAGAACCAUCCGAAGGUGACUUUCAAUCGUAAGUUUGAAUUAAUUUUGACAUAGCUUAAGUUACUUUUAUGACUGUCACUUUUGAGCGCCGACAAUGGCCUAGUAUUUUCCUGGAGUUGUUGCCACUCUCUUAUACUUCUCCCGGAAGAGUUUUUCUGAUAGCCAUUCUGUCCAAAUCGUUCUCCAGGCUUUCUUCACUGUCUUAUUCUUUAAGAAGGCAAUGAGUUGUAUCUGUGAAAUUCUGUGUCAGCAAUUAGUUAUAUCUGUGAAAUUCUGUGUCAGCAGUGCUAUAUCGGGCUCUAGUGCGCCGCCCAUACUUGACAGCGAACCCAGCCUGUGCCAUGGUAUACCAUGAAGCGGAGACGUGCUCAUGGGCCCUGCGCUGAUCGCCGUCCAUAUCCGAUUCCAGCGAUUUGACACCGAAUCAGCCUACCUAUCUCACUGGGCAUGUUGGACCUCCGGUAGGCACACGUCGACAUUGCUUUCCAUAUAUUGUAUGUUGUCAUCCUCACACCACGAAAUUGUACUCUGCACAUUAGUUGAUGGGUAAUAAAGCAACGAAAAGGACAUGCACAACGCUGCACCCUCGCAGAUUCACCCAAAGGCUAGGUUGUUCACGCAUCAGGUGGACACGCUCUAGCUCUCGAACUUUCAGAAGACCAGAUGGUAUGUCAGUUGGCAAUCCUUUUCCCUUUCUGUCGUUUCUACGGACACUGUAACUUGCAUGGUUAAUUAUCUGCCGCGGUAUACCUUUAUUCUUGAGGUUGGUCCGUAGUAUGGGUUGGAUCAAUGGUGUUCCCAUUGCGUUGGUCAUAUUUCCGUUGUUCCUUUUCCUUCGUAGUACCUGCUCACGAAUAUACACGUCGAACAGAAUGCAUAAAACAGAAGCGCUUACAUCCAAGUUGGCAUAGAUGCACGUACUCCAGACUUAACUAAUCACACCAUCAUCACCAUGCAUAAAAGGGUUAUGCACUACCAGCUUUGAGCGGUGCCCAUGAUCCAUUGUCAUCGGCUUCCGCUUUUCAAAGUAUAAUAGACCAAACGGGAGAUCAGCUCAUAUGCCGUAAUUAUUGUUGCCCACGGAGCUGACAGCACAUCUUAGCUUCAUGUUAUCUGUAAAACUCUAACUCGUCUCGAACGUAGCUGUGAUGUCCUCUGUUUUCACGGCAUGCACGCAUGAAUAAGAAUAGAAUGUACUCCAUACGUGCUAGCUCGUUGUACAUCUAAUUAGUUUAUUACUAGACCACUCUUCGAUUAAAAAGUAACAUUAUCAGGCCCUUCCCGAUUGAUGAUCCUAGGCAGUAGCACUGGCGUAUUCCGCGUUCAUCUCACGCUAUGCACUAUGAUUAUCUCACGGCUCUCAAUCGGUAACAGUUUCCAGUAGUACCAAAUCAAGUCCAAUGUUCUGAACCUAACGCUAUUGUAGCUGCAAUGUUCGUAGCUAGCUAGUGUCCACGCACAUCAUUGCGCUCUUGCACACGAUUUGGUCAUGUGGGAAUCAUCAUCCUUAACCUGUGCACCUCAGUCCACUCAACGUAGCUGCAUUCAUUCAGGCUAAACACAGUAGGAGUAACUUAGAGCAUCUCUAACAAACCUCGUAAAAGGACACCACCCGUAUAAUUCUGACGAGUAUCUGGUUCUGGUGUGUUUUUCUUAUCAGGACAGACUCCAUAUCCCGUGCGCGGCCCCUAAAAAGUUUAGGGUGGCCUGAAAAAAGGCCCUCUCCAUCAUUAUUUAUGUGGUUUCAUUGUUCGGAUACGGGUCAAACCCUAUCCGCCUUCGCCGCCGCUCCACCACGAUUCCCCUCCCCCUUCGCCCCAAUUUCUCGUCAUCGACGAGCCUAAAAAAAGUCCUAGCGACCCUUCCCGACCCAUGAACGACUACGGAAGUGGUGGGGAUGACGCGAAGCGCCGCCGACGCCGCACGCAAACGGAAGGGGGGGAGUGGAUCAACUAUGGGAGCCGGCUACCACCGACGUUCGAACAUCGCGAGGUCGACGAGUACGAGCGAGAUCUCGCGGUCCACGUCCAAGGAGAUCUUCCUCGAGCAGGGUGUCGCGGCGUCGCACGCGCAAGCGUCCAAGGAGACGGACCUGAUCAUCGACCUCAACUCCGACGAGGACUGAGCACAUCUGGCUCCUCCGUCAUAUCAUGGCCGACGCAGGCUCGUGUACACUGCACGGCCCGCAGAUCUCCCCCUAUGUAGCACUAUGAUGUAGUAUGAUAAGCAACUUCUAUGAUGCAGUAUGAUAAUCAACUAUGUAUGAUGAAUGCCAUUGUAAGUUUCUCCCAUUAAUGUUUUUUCCCAAAUUUUAUAGUUUCAUAUACGGGGUCUUUAUCUGCAGCGCAUAAAUUAGCCCCGCAAAUCUGAUCUGUGGCGAACUAUAAACGUGCUUUUCGGGUCCAACUUUUACGGGGUCUGUUAUACAAGUACAUAACACACUUCAAGGCAGGUUUAUUUAUGUGGCAAGCAGUUUAUAAUGCAAGAGGUGAUUCUGCUAUAAUAAUACACUACCAAAAGAGUUGGGCGAGCUUUACUGCACCAUUAGUGUUGUUGGGUUUUCAUGUUUUAUUGUCUCAAUCUGUUUCAAAAUAUAAGGUCUAUUAGUUUUUUAAAAGUCGAACCUCUUUAAGUUUCAUCAAAUCUGCAGAGAAGUAUAUCAAAAUCCAUAAUAUGAAUUUGGUAUCACUAGAUUCAUCAUGAAAUAAAUUUCUAUAUUUUAUUUUAUUUUAUUUUGUAUUGUGGAUGUCGAUAAUUUUGGCUGUGAACUUGAUCAAAGUCAAAGAAAAUUGACUUUUCAAAAAACUAUUACACCUUAUAUUUUGGAAGUGAGGAAAUAUUUGUUUUCGCGAGUGGGAAAGAUGGUGGCGUGUGUUUUAUUUUAAUUUAUAUAAUGUGGUGUUUUGGUGUGUCUUUCGCACUGUGAUUCUUUGUUAUCUGCGAAUCAACUCAUAUUUAUGUGAGGAAUUUUUUUGCGUCACUGAGUGCAUGUACUAAAUUGGUUCUAGUGUAUCACAUGGUGGUGCUUCUUUUGUCUAGGUGAUGAGAGGAAGCGCGGAAUUGAUGUGUUUUAUAGGCUGGUUGUUGCUAAUUGAAUUGAAAAAUCGUUGGCCGGUAAAAUCAUGAAUCAAAUUCAAAACUGAAUACCUCAUUCGAAUGGAAGAGUUUCAAAUUUAGGAAGCAUGGUGAAUUAAUUGGAAUGAGAGAACUCCUUGAGAAAUUGAAUGAAAUCGGAUGACCCAAUUCUAAAUUGGGGACCUCAAUUGAUUAUGAGCGCUUCAAAAUCAGUGAGCCUCGUGUAUUAAAAGAAUUGAAUGAGUGAACUCCUUAAGAAAUUUUUGACCCUAUCAAAAUCGUAUGACCCAAUUUUAUUGAUUGCGAGGCCUUAAAAGUUAGGGAACAUAGUCUAUAGUACUAGAAAGACUGGACGUGAUUUGCUGCAUCGUUGGUGUUGUUGGGUUGUUAAAUAAUUACCCAUUCUGUUUCAAAAUAUAAGAUGUAUAUUAUUACGUUUUUGAAAAAUCAAACCUUUUAAGUUUGAUCAAUUUUGUAGAGAAAUAUGUCAAAUCACAUAAUAUUUAAUCAGUGUGAUUAGAUUCAUCAUGAAAUGAUUUUCUAUUAAAAAAUAAUAUUGUGGAUGUUGAUAUUUUUUGCUCUCGUUGUUGGUGAAAUUUGACUUUUCGAAAAACUAAUACCCCUUAUAAUUUGAAAUUGAUGGAAUUUACUUUGGCCGAUGAAGGAGAUGAUGGACUGAGUUUUAUUUUUAUUUAUAAUGCGUUGAUGUGAUGACCUUUCAUGGUGUGAUUAUGUGUUAUCUCGUAACUGAUACGUCUUCAACGUAUCGGUUAUUUAUGAAGUAUUCAUGUCAUGUUUGUCUAUGUUUACAACACUUUUAUAUGGUUUAGAUGCACUUUAUAUGAUUUAUUUAGAACUAACCCGGACUGACGCUAUUUUCUGCAGAAUUAUCGUGGGUUUUUUUGUGUGUGUUGAAAAUGAAAGUUCUCGGAAUCACCCAAAACAUUUAUAUAUUUUUUCUGGAGGAAAUAAGCAACAUUGGAGCGAAGAACUACCGGAGGGGAGCCACCUGUGGGCUACAAGCCAACAGGCCCCCACCCCCUAGGUCGUGUUGUGAUGGCUUGUGGGACCACAUGGCUCCGUUUGGCGUGAUUCCAACACUGAAAAAUCCUAUAUAUACUAAAACCUCCAGAAAUAAAGAAAGACCUUCUGCUCGGCUGGCACAACUCUCACUACUAGGAAAAACCUUAUAGGCAUUAUGUUGCAUAUUAUCGUUCAAAUUAUGUUGCAUAUUAUCGUUCAAAUCAUGCCUCUUUGUUUUCUUAAGUACAUUAUGUUGCAUAUUAUCGUUCAAAUCAACAACUCACGAUGCAGGUACCUAGAUCAGAGAUGGCGAAGGACUACUACGCCGUGUACGUUGGGAGGGUUCCAAGAGUCUACGACCACUGGCCAGCCGCUCAGGCCCAGGUGCACAGGUACCCGGGUGCUAGCCACAGAGGGUUCGACACCAGAGCCGAAGCGGAAAGUAGUUACUUGAGGUGGGGUACUACAUAGCCGCGCUCUUCAUCAUGCUGAUUGCUCUUCACUUCUACAUCAUGUUGUAGAUAGAGAUGAUGAAACUUGUGGGUGUGUCAUGACCAUGCAGUUGUACUUAUUCGAGACAUGACAUGAUCGCACUUAUGUAUUGCUAUUUUUGAGAUGAUGUGAUGAUAUUUGUGUUGAAUGAUGAUGAUGAUGAUGGUAUGACGAGACUACUGUAUGUCUAUGAUAUGUGAGAAUAGUGUAUGUUUAAUAUGAUGUGAUGAAACUAUUGUAUAGAGCAUGUAUAAAUACACCACAAAUACGUAGAGGGUGCAAAUCUGUGAAAGCAGAAAUACUUACCAGUAGCGCUUAAAAAUACUUACCAGUAGCGCGGCUUAGCAGCAACGCGCCAUAUGAACAAGCGCUACAACUAUAGUUAUCAGUAGCGCUGGACAAGGAAGCGCUACUACUAACACUACUUACCAGUAGCGCUGCCCAUACCAGCGCUACUACUAGGGUUUAGCUGUAGCCGAUAGCAGUAGCGCUUGGCCCAGCGCUACUACUAUGCAUAUUUCAAGCGCUACUACUAGGGUUUUCCCUAGUAGUGUCUGUGUAUCGACGAGAAACCAAUCUGAAUAGAAAAAACAGUAGCGAAAACAGGAGAGAAAUAGAGAGAGGGGUCCAAUCUUGGAGGGGCUUUCGCCCCUCCGGGAGCCAUGGUGGCCAAGGACCAGAGGGGAGAACCUCUCCCCAUCUAGGGAAAGGCCAUGAAGGAGGAAGCCUAAGGGGGAGACACUCUCCCCUCUGUUCCUGCAGCGCUGGACUGCCUUUGGAGGAACCAUCCCCGUGGUGAUCGUCUUCAUUAACAUCACCGUCUACAUCACCUUUGCUCAUCUAUCUAUGGCGGUUCACUCUCCCACAUCCCAUUGUAAUCCCCUACUUGAACCUGGUAUUUCACGCCACAUAUUAUUAAUCAAUGAUGUGUUUCCAUCCUAUGAUGUUUGAGUAGAUUUAUGUUGUCCUUUGGGUUGAUUGAUUUUUGUGUAUGUUUUAUUUUGUGUUGUCCUAUGGUGCCCCUCGUGUAGCACGCACGUGAGGGAAUUCUUGUUGUAGGGUUUGCAAUAUGUUCAUGAUUCGCUUAUAGUGGGUGGCUAGUGUGACAUGAGAUUACAACCGAGUAAGGAAGUUGUUUGCCUACGGGAGUAAAGGAGACUUGAUGUUUAAUAUUAUGGUUGGGUUUACCUUCAUGAUCUCUAGUAGUUGUCGAUGCUUGCUAUAGAUCAAGUCAUAAGUUCAUAUGAUCCAAGUACGGAAAGUAUGUUAGCUCAUGCCUCUCCCUCAUAUAAAAUUGUAAAAAAGAUUAUCGAUCUUUGUUAUCUAUUGCCUAGGAUUAUUCCGCACUCCAUACCAUCAUUCUUCCACACUAACUAUUUGUAAUAUAUUCUAAGUUUAUUUAAUGGAACAACUAUUUUCAUAUUUUUGUUCCCCAAUAUCAUGCAAAGUUACCCUCUUUAUACCCAAAAACAUACUUUUAAAUAGCGAAGAUAGCAUCCGCUAUUGCGUCCGCAACAGCGCUAGCGCCAUAGCGACCGCUAUCACUAAAAUUAAAUGGCAUUAGCUUUUCUUCAUGUUCUAGUGAUAUAAACAAGAAUUUAGUGUUUUUACAAAUCUGUUGCGCAGACAAAGCACCUGCAGUCUCGCGUGCUAUCCUCAUUCCACCAUGCUUAACCCAAUCCGCUACGAGUCCGCUAUCCGCUAUUUAAAACCAUGCCCACAACGCAAUUUUAUUUCUUGUUACUAGAUAGAAGCAAACGUUCGGUGUAUGUAGGGUUUGGUAAAUAGGACUUGAGAUAAUAUUGAUCUUACCUUUAGCUCCUUGUGGGUUCGAUACUUCAUACUUAGAAAUUCCUUGUGUAGAAAAUGCUAUGAUGAUUUCUUGCACUUGGGGAUUAUCAGUAGCCAACAUAUAUUUAUACAGGAAAUUUUAUGUGUCGGCAACUGCAUUGGUAUGUUGAUGUUACAUUAUCACAUGAUGGUGUUUAUUUUUAUGGGUGGUGGGAGGGUGCAUGGAAUUGACAUGUUUUUUAGGCCAGUGGUGCUCACUGAUUUGAAAAUCGAUGGUCCGACGAUAUCGCAAACCGAAUACAAAAUUGAAUACCUCAAUUAAAUGAAAGAUGAUGAGGAUAUGGCUACCUUGGGUACGAUAAAUAAUAUUUUAUAUUUGCAUAUUUAUGUGGUGAUUUAUUAUAAUAAUUAUGUAAUAAUUUAUUUGUGUUAUCCGGAACAAAAAUACUUCACCUAUUUUUACUCCAUGCCUAAAUGUAGAAUUAUCGAACGUUUGCACGAACCACAUGUGAAGAUAAAGAAAGAGGAAAUAAUUAGGUGUUGUUAAAGAAGUCGUUUCACAUCAAAGGAAAUUAUUAUGUGUUGUUCAAGAAGUUCUCUCACAUUACUUUUGGGCCAAGAGAAGAUAAAGUUCAAGUCUCUGACGUUCUUGACUCAGAUUCGGACUGCACACACAUACGUGUCUCAAAACAUCAACAACUUUUUCAUACGGACUCUGAAUUGGGUGAUUCUUUUUUUUGUAAAUUACAUUUUAUGUGCGUUCCAUCCCAAUUAGAAUCGCCUUAAAAUUCUUUCGGACCGUGGAGAUGUCGACGAAACAAUCUGACGUUGCACGAGAAUUCGAGUCAAACUACAAGUCCAAAGGUGUCGCAUCACCUCCACUUGGGCCCAUAGGCCUUGUACGACCUAUGGUUAGUUUUAGGCUGCCUUGGGUUGUCCUCCCACCUCCAUGACCGCCACCCCUUGAUCCUAUAUAAGUAGAUCUACCUAGUAUCUUUUUUAUGGGGAUUUGUUUAGUUAAAUUUAAUGGUAUUUCCGCGGCAGAUGCCAGGAGUGGCUUAGAAUGUGGUUUGGGGUCGAUGGACGCCAGCGACGUCUAGGAACGGGUGAUGGAGCGAGACAUAUGACAUCGAUCUAUCCAGGUUCAGGGUCCUCCGAUGAGGUAAAAAUCCAUAGUCCUGCCGGUUUGACUAUAUGAGAUCACAAUACAAUGGUCCUCCUUGAGCUAUUCGUGAGGAGGGACACGAAGCUCUUGCUGCCUCGGUGGUAUGUGUCUAAGGGUUCGCUAGUUUUCUUCUCCCAUUCUCUUAGGGGAUUGGGGUUCGGAUUUAUAGUGUAGCCAAAUGUAUGCAAUAAUGGGUAGAAAUGGGGUGCGGGGCCCGACUUUCAGCCUCUCUACCUGGCUGUGAGGCUCGCCGGCUGUCGGAUCUUGUCUGGCGCGGGUCCCGUCGGACGUGUGCUGCGGCGAAUAAUGCACCGGCCGCCAGGGAGUUGGUAGGGGUAGGCCCUAGCGGCCACCUCGCUCGGUCAGCCUCGGGCGUAACCGGUGGUGCUGUAGCCACGCCGAGCCUUGCAUGAUGACGCGUGUAGCUGCGCCGGCACUGUCAACAUGCACUGUAGCCAUGUGCGCCCCUGCGCUGAGGGUAUGGUCUUGUUCAUCGUACCUCAAUAUGACCGGAUGGGAUUGGCGCUGACCCACUUGCUGCUGCCAGCCGACCCGUCGUGCGCUGGCCAAACGAGCCGUCUGUGGCCAUCCGGCCAAGGGCGCCCAGCCAAAAGGGUCAAACGCCAAUAUUCGGCCCGUCACACGGUGGCUAGGCGAGCCGCGUGUAUCCAGCCGCCUAGGGGGGCAGACGGCCCGAAUGUCAAGCAGAGGGAUUCCCUCUGCUUUGGUAUACCCAAGGGCCAUAACCCCGUUAGUAGCCCGCAAAACCGUUGGGGUCUGGAGGCCUCCAGGCGAGGGGCCAGUGGUUUAUCCCUCCCCUCCGCCUGAAGGUGUUAUCGAAGUUGAUACGCCCGCCGGAGCCGGCGAGCGGGGACGCGUGUCCCCAGCCGGCUGUGGUGGCAGCCGGUUGUGUCUUAGUCGAACAUUGCGGCGCCUCGGAGGGUCGGAGGUAGAUAAGAGGCCCACCACCACGCGCGCGAUGGGACAUCGCUACAUGCCCGACCUGGCACACCUCAGCCCACGCGCGGUAUCAUUUGUGGCCGUGGACCGACGGUUGUGGUUACCCACGCUGUUUAAUGCGCGUGGGGAUCAUGUGUUAGUGGGGGACGUGGGCGUAACCGAUCGCACGCCCCCACGUCUCCCCCGAGGCUUUAAAAGGGGGGAGACCCGUUUCGCCAUUGCCUCCCCUCGUCCCACCUUCAUUUUUCCCUUGCGAUGGUGCUCUCCGUCGUCGUCCUUACUACUCACGCCUGGAGCACUCGCCGCUGCCGCCACCCCUCCUCGCGGGCGGAGCGCACACCGCCAUCUUUCCUCCAUCCUUCGCAUGUAGUGCCUCCCUGUGGUCGAUCCUAUCGGGAGUUGCAUCUCUCGCCUCCUUUUCUCCGCUUCAUUGCCGGCGACCGACGAGAUGGUCGGACCACCCGCCGGCUCGUGGGAGGGCUCGAUCAUGACGGAUGAACACAUCGACUACCUCCAGCGGACGCGGAAACUCCCGCCCGCGGAGCUUGAUACGUGUCCAACGUAUCUACAAUUUACGAAGUAUUCAUGACAUGUUUACAAUAAUUCUAUAUGAUUUUGGUAUGAUUUCAUUAGAACUAACCCGGCUCAUGUUGUUUUCAGUAGAGCUACCGUGGUGUUGUUUCUGUGCAAAAAUAAAAGUUCUCAGAAUAGGCUGAAAAUUUACGGAGAAUAUUUUUGGAAAAUAUGAAUAAAAUGGAGCAAAAAGAUAUCAGAGAGGAGUCCCAAGGCAGUGAUAAGCCACCAGGCCCCCCCCCUAGGGCACUCCCCUCGCUUAUAAGCCCCUCGAGCACUCCCCUGACGUGAUUCCAACGCCAAAUAUUCUUAUAAAUACAGAAACCCUCGAAAAGAAACCAAGAUCAGGAAUUCCGCCGUCGCAAGCCUCCACAGCCACGAAAAACCAAUCUUGUCCCUCUCUGGCACCCUGCCGGAGGGUGUCACCAUGACCGGAGACCAUGGACGAGGAAGACGGAGGGGCCAUAAUCACGAUGGAGGCCAAGGACCAGAGGGAGAACCUAUCCCCGCCUUGGGGCGGCCAUGGAGGAGUAGGCACAAGGGGGAGACCCUCUCCCCCUCUAUCAGGGUGGUCCCGGAGUGCCACCAGGACAACAAUCGCCGCAGUGAUCGUCUUCAUCAACAUCACCUUCUUCAUCACCAUCCUCAUGUUCUUUUAGCGGUCCACCCUCCCGCACCCCGUUGUAAUCUCCUACUUGAACAUGGUGCUUUAUGCCACAUAUUAUGAUCCAAUGAUGUGUUUCCGUCCUAUGAUGUUUUAAGUAGAUUCCCUUUGUCUCAUGGGCCGAUUGAUGAUCUAGAUUGGUUUGAGUUGCCUGCUUUAUUAUUGGUGAUGUCCUAUGGUGCUCUCCAUGUCGCGCAAGCGUGAAGGAUUCCCGUUGUACGGUGUUGCAAUACGUUCAUGAUUCACUUAUAGUGGGUUCUUGAGUGACAGAAGCAUAAACCCGAGUAGAUGGGUUAUUGCGUAUGGGAUAAAGGGGACUUGAUGCUUUAAUGAUAUGGUUGGGUUUUACAUUAAUGAUCUUUAGUACGAUUGCUUGCUAGAGUUCCAAUCAUAAGUGCAUAUGAUUCAAGUAGAUAAAACAUGUUAGCUUAUGCUUCUCCCUCAUAUAAAAUCGCAAUAAUAAUUAUCGAUCUUGUUAACAAUUGCCUCAGACAAUUCCGCACACCGACCCAUCCUCAUUCCACACUCACUAUUUGUAAUAUAUUCUAACUAUACGAUAACAGCACCUAUUUUUAUAUUUUAGUUCUUCGAUGUCAUGCAAAGUUAUUCUCUUCAUACCCACAAUGUAUUUUUAUUUCUCGUUCCUAGUUGGAAGCAAAUGUUUGGCAUACGUAGAGUUGUAUCAGUGGCAGAUAGGACUUGAGAGAAUAUUUCUCUUACCUUUAUCUCCUUGUGGGUUCGACACUCCAUACUUAUCACUUCCACCUUUGAAAAUUGCUACGAUGAUUCCUUGCACUUGGGGAUUAUUAAGCUCUUUUCUGGCGCCGUUGCCGGGGAGCAAUAGCGUGGGGUUGAUAUUCUUGUGUGUGCUUGUUUUCUUUCUUCACUAAGUAGGUUUUGUUUUCCAUUUUUUCUUUGUUUAGUUGUGGAUUAAAUAAAAAAUUACUUGCCUCUUAUAACUAAGAAUUUUUCAAAAAGAGAAGUGAUUGGAAGGUUGUGCAUUGGAGAAGUGACGGUCGACCUUGAGCACUUGUGUUCAUGAUCAUGGAAGCAAUGUAGAAUUUUUCAUGGAAGUUUAUCAAAAAUAAUUAUGCCCUUGUAUAUAUCCAUUGUAUUAUAAAAUAAUGUGCCAAGAUUUUCCUUUAGGAUGAUUGGAUUGCUUGUUUGGUGUGUUCAGUGCAAAAACAGAAAUUUUGGCUGUACUGCGUGAAUUUACGUUUUUUACUAGAAGGUCGCAAGUUUCUGAAUUUUUUACACAGUACUCCUAUGCAAAAAAAUUAUUUAUUCCUAAUUAUUCAGAAUUUUUUUAGUUACAUAAGUAUACGAAGUUUCCAGAUUGCUAAAAACUAUCUUGUUUUUGAUAGGUUCUGUAUUCUAUGCAUUGUUCUCUUAUUUUGAUGAAUCUAUGGGUAGUACCAGGGGGUACGAACCAUGGUGAAGUUGGACUACAGUAGAUAUAAUGUUAAUAUGAAUUUGGAAUGAGUUCACAAUAGUACUUAAGUAGUAUUUUUCUUUAUUAUACUAACGGAUCUCGCGAGGGUUUUGUUAAGUUUUGUGUGAAUGAAGUGUUCAAAGAUCGAGGAUGUAUCGAUAAAAGAAGAAUAUAGAGAGACAAUAGUUCAAGCUUGGGGAUGCCCAAGGCACCCCAAGUAAAUAUUUCAAGGAUUUUCAAGAAUAUAAGCUUGCGGAUGCCCCGGAAGGCAUCCCAUCUUUAUUCUUCAACAAUUAUCGGUAUACCUUGGUUUUUGUUUUGUUCACAUAAUAUGCUUCUUUAGUGUUUUUGUUCUCUUUUUAUGGACACUUCUAGUAUGAGAUAGUCCUUCAUUGAUUUAUAAAAUUCUUCAUGCUCUUCACUUAAAUAUUUUGAGUAUUUCUUUGUGGAAUGCUCUUUGUGUUUCACUUAAAUCGUUUGAGUAUGGCUCUGUAGAAUGCUCUUCGUACUUCACUUAAAUCUUUUGAGUAUAGCCUUAUAGAAUGCUUCGUGUGGUUCACUUAUAUAUUUUGAGCUUGGAUAUUGGUUGAUAUAUAUUAAUUGUAUAAUUCCCUAUGAACUUCACUUAUAUCUUUUAGAGUAUGAAUAAAAUCAUCAUCGGAAUUAGGCUUGGAAGGGAAUCAUUGAAAUAACCAUGCCUAACUAAAAGGCAUUAAAGAAAAGCGCUUGUUGGAAGACAACCCAACACUUUUACCUUCUGUUUUAAUGAGUUCACAAGAUUAAGCUACUGUAUUAAUCAUGUUUUGUGUCUUUUGUUGCUAUAAACUGCCAAGUAAAGCCUUUGGGAUGACUCACAAGAUGACUAGAAUUGAUGUUGAACCAAAACAGAAACUUUUGACUCCGGUACAGGAAUUUUUAUUUUUUACCGGAGCAUGAUAAUGAUCUUAAAUUUUUACAAAUUCUUUAUAUAUAAAUUAUUCUGGUUGUCCUAAUUUUUUCAGAAUUUUUAGAGACAGGUACGUAUGGCUAUACUACAGAUCUUCACAGACUGUUCUGUUUUUGACAGAUUCUAUUUUGCAUGCAUAGUAUGGUUAUUUUAGUGUUCCCAUAGCUUAUAUUCAGUAAUAUAAAUUAUGGUAAUGAUAGAAUAAAGUAGGUAUCAUGUGGUAACAAUUAUGAAUCUUGUCUUGACAGUACCUAAGUGAAUGAUCUAUCUUUUUUACACUAACCCUUCUCACGAAGUUCCGUUAAGUUUUGUGUGAUUGAAGUUUUCAAGUUUUGGGUGAGACACCGAUAUGAGGAGAACAAGGAGUGACAAGAACCUAAGAUUAGGGAUUCCCAAGGAACCCCCAAGGUAAUAUCCAUGGAAUACUCAAGUGCCUAAGCUUGAGGAUGCCCCGAAAGCAUCCCCUCUUUCGUCUCCAACGCUAUCGGUAAUCUUACUUAGAGCUAUAUUUUUAUUCAUCACAUAAUAUGAGUUUUUAUUGGAGCAUCAUUUUAUUUUGUUGAUUUAUGUUAGGUGCUAUAUAUAAAAAAAAUCAAUAAAAAAGUUUCAAGAAUUGCAUUAGGAUGCUUGCAUUGCAUGGUUUGAUGUGUGUUAUGUAAAAACAAAAACUCUUUAUGUAGUUUUUGAAUUUGCAUAUUUUACUAGAACAUGGAAAGUUUAUGAAAUUUUUACACAGUGUUAUCAUACAAAGUUUAUAGCAUGUCCUAAAUGUUCAUAAUUUUUUGAGUUACACAAGUACAAUGUUUUCAUAUAUUGCUACACACUGUUCUGUUUGGACAAAUUGUUGUUAUAGUUUUGUUAUCUACUUAUCCUAUAGUUUCCAUAGCCUAUAUUGGUAGAUAUAAAUUGUGGAAAUGAUAGUAAACAGUAGAUGAUGUUUGAAAAUUAUUAUACAACUUGUCUUGGCAGUAAAUGAAGAGUUGAUUUAUUAUUGUGUGGACUAACCUAUCUCACGAGUUCUUUUCGAGUUUUGUGUGGAUGAAGUUUUUGAGAAUAGGUGAAACCAUGAUAUGAGAGGAUUGAACGAGAUACGAAAGCUCAAUCUUGCGGAUGCACAAGGCACCCCAAGUAAAUAUUUCAAGGACUCUCAAGCAUCUAAUCUUGGGUAUGCUACGCAUCCCACCUCUCUUCGUCAACUAUCGGUUAGCCUAUGUUGAGCCUAAAUUUUUAUUCGUUCACAUGACACAUCCUAUUCUUGGAGUGUUAUUUUUCUUUUGCUUGAUGUUUAAAUAAAAUACUCAGAUCUGAAAAUCUUUAUUGAGGGAGAGGGUGAAAGUCCUCACAUAGCUACUUAAUUGUUUGACUACUCAUUCAUCUUCACUUAUAUGUUUUGGAGUAGUUUUGUCAUUUACUCUCGUGCUUCACGUAUAUCCUCUAAGUAAAUAGUUGAGUGAAUUGAAUAUCGUAAAUCUGAAAUUAUAUAUAUUUUAAAUUAUAGGUGGUAAAAUUUAUUGAACGUUAGCAAACAAUGCAUUGGCCACUUGAUCAAUUCAUGAAAUAAUAUUGAAGGAAGAGAGAGUCCACAUAUAAAUAUACUAUCUUGGACAUCUUCUAUGAUUGCGAGCCCCAUUAAUUAUUUUCAAAAUUCAUCAAAUUAGUUGAUGUUCGGCAAGGAAGACAACUUAAUGAGUUAUGUUUGGGUAUAUUUGCAUAGAAAUUAUAUUGUUAUGGAUCCUCCAACAUGUGGUGCUUGUUUAGAACCUUUUGCUAGCCAACACUGCGUACUAAGUAUAGAUACUACUUGUGCAUCCAAAAAUCCUUAAACCUAGUUUCUUGCCAAGAGAGUCCACUAUAUCGACCUAUAUGCCGUAUUUACCUGCCGUUCCAAGUAAAUUUGCAUGUGCCAAACUCUAAACCUUCAAAUAAUAUUAUGUUCUGUAUGCCCGAAUCGCUCAUGUAGUGACUAGGGGUUGUGAGUAUCUUCCAUGCUAGGUGGGUUAUUCUCAAGAUAUGUGUUGAUUCACUAUCAUUCACGAGAAAGUGGCUGGUAUUCGGGAUGCUGAGUUCCAUGCUCAAAAAUCAAAUCAAAAUAUAAGGAAACAAAACUCCCCCAAGAUUGUUGUUUGUAUGGUUGGUACCCGUGGAUUCGGCUCACUAUGGAGUGUGAUUGAUUUGUGAAGGGGGAGUAAAAACUUUACCAUUCUGUUUGGGAACCUCCUAUAAUGUAUCUAGCAUGGCAGAUACCAAUAUCUCUUGGUUGUUAUGUUGACAAUGAAAGCAUACUUCUGAAAAUUAUUAUUCAUCUCUAUUUUAAAAACUCGAGCUCUGGCACAUAUGCAAAUCACUACUUCCCUCUGCGAAGGGUCAAUCUAUUUACUUUCAUGUUAUUUACUAUUCUUGUUGAGUUAACUUAGUUUUCCAACCUCAAAGUAUUAGUUGGCAAGCAUCAUGUGGUGGGGAAAGAUCCACACAUAUAUAUGCGAACAAAUAUAUUUGAUCAUGAAUUAUAAUUGUUGACAAUUAUAAAUAUGAUAAAUAAGUUGUGAGGCGAAACUUUAAGCCCCUAUCUUUCUCCUUGUUAGAUGGAUGUUAUUUGUUCUAAAAAUAUGCUUUGAAUGUCAAUAAUCAUGGAAUCCUUCCUAAAAAUAAGAUGAAUUGCAAUUAUUCGAUGACUGAAAGCAUAGUUUGUUAGUUUUCAAGAAACUUUAUGGUCUACACUUUAACACGUGAAUAGCUUGUUACUUCAUCAUGAUAAGUUUUAUGAUAUGAGCUACUGUUUAUGAUAUAUAAUGAUGCUAGAAAAAGUGUUUGGAACUAUCAUUGAUCAAAUUUAUACACUAUGCUAGCAUUCACACUUCCUAAAUUAUUUCUUUCAUCAUUUACCUACUCGAGGACGAGCAGGAAUUAAGCUGGGGGGUGCUGAUACGUUUCCCAUGUAUCUAUAAUUUAUGAAGUAUUCAUGCCAUGUUUACAAUAAUUCUGUAUGAUUUUCGGUUGAUUUUAUUAGAACUAACCCGGACUAAUGAUGUGUUCAGCACACUAUCACGGUAUUGUUUUUGUGGAGAAAUAAAAGUUCUCGGAAUGUGCUGAAAAUUUACGGAGAAUAUUUUUGGAAAAUAUGAAAAGUAAUGGAGCAAAAAUAUGCUGGAGAGGAGUCCUGAGGCAGCCACCAGGGCGGCCCCGUAGGGUGCGCCCCCUGGCUUGUGGGUCCCUCGAGCACUCCCCUGGCGUGAUUCCAAUGCCAAAUAUUCUUAUAAAUAUAGAGGCCCCCAAAAAGAAACCUAGAUCGGGAGGUCUACCGCUGCAAGCCUAUAGAACCACGAAAAAACAAUCAGGCCCUCUCCGGCACCCUGCUGGAGGGGGUCACCAUCACCGGAGAACAUGGAGGAGGAAGACGGAGGGGCCAUCAUCACCAUGGAGGCGACGAACGAGAGGGAGAACCUCUCCUCACCUUGGGGGCCAUGGAGGAGGAGGCACAAGGCGGAGACCCUCUCCCCCUCUCUCCCGGUAGUGCCGGAGUGCCACAGAGGGAACCAUCGCCGAGGUGAUCGUCUUCAUCAACAUCACCUUCUUCAUCACCAUCCUCAUCUUCUUUUAGCAGUCCACUCUCCUGCACCCCGCUGUAAUACCCUACUUGAACAUGGUGCUUUAUGCCACAUAUUAUGAUCCAAGGAGGUGUUGCCAUCCUAUGAUGUUUUGAGUAGAUUCCCUUUGUCUUAUGGGUUAAUUGAUGAUCUAGAUUGUCUUGAGUUGCAUGCUUUAUUAUUGGUGUUAUCGUAUGGUGCUCUACGUGUCGUGCAAGCGUGAGGGAUUCCUAUUGUAUGGUGUUGCAAUACGUUCAUGAUUCGCUUAUAGUGGGUUGCUUGAGUGACACAAGCAUAAACCAGAGUAGGUGGGUUGUUGCGUAUGGGAUAAAGGGGACUUGAUGCUUUAAUGCUAUGGUAGUUAGCUUAUGCUUCUCCCUUACAUAAAAUUGCAAUAAUGCUUAACAAUCUUGUUAACAAUUGCCUAGGACAAUUCCGUACACCGACCCAUCAUCAUUCCACACUCGCUAUUUGCAAUAUAUUGUAAUAGAUUCUAACUAUAUAAUAACAUCACUUAUUUUCAUAUUUUAGUUCUCUGAUGUCAUGCAAAGCUAUUCUCUUCAUACCCACAACGUAGUUUUAUUUCUCUUUCCUAGUUGGAAGCAAACGUUCGGCGUACGUAGAGUUGUAUCAGUGGCAGAUAGGACUUGGGAGAAUAUUGCUCUUACCUUUAGCUCCUUGUGGGUUCGACACUCCAUACUUAUCAAUUCCACCUUUGGAAAUUGCUAUGAUGAUUCCUUGCACUUGGGAAUUAUAAGAGCUUCUCGAGGCCUGCGCGCUCGGCGGCGAGCAAGUGCCGGAGCCUCGAGUCGGCGAGCGUAUCGUCUUCGGCACACACUUCCUCGUCGGCUUUGGGCUUCCGGGGAGCUGCUUCUUGUGGAAUUUUCUUGAGGUCUAUGGGAUCCAGAUGCAUCAUAUGGGGCCUAACUCCGUUCCGUACCUCGCGUGCUUCGCAUUGCUAUGCAAGGCAUAUAUGGACUUCUGGCCCUUUCCCUCCUUCUUCCGCCACUUCUUCCAUUUAUGUGCCCACGCGCACGAUAGUGUGUCGUACUCCUGUGGUGGCGCGGUGGUGUACAAGAAGCGCGGCAGGCCGUUUCCGCAGAUGAAGUGGAAGGAGUCCUUCAAGAAAUGGCAGCACACCUUCUUCUACGUCCGCAACAUCGGCCUGGGGCGGGACUGGUUAACCUCCCGCCCUUUGCUGACGAGCCAACGACUGGGGAGAACUAAAAUCUCGAGUUGUGCAAUGACUUGCUGGUGUCGAUUGGCGGCCAGCUGCAGGAGCUCAUGGGCUCCCUAGGGCUGGUGGCCCCGGACCUGGUGGCGGCCUUUGUCUCUCGCCGAGUGCUGCCUCUGCAGGCACGGCCGCACCGGAUGUGCGACAUGAGCAUCCGCAAGGAACCGUGCUGGCUGUUAGUGGUGGACCUGCCGUUGAGCAAGGUUGCCGCCAGGGUGAACAGAAUCACCGACUUCCAUCGUGGCAACCAUGGACCGCUGGUAAGAUUUCGUCCAACUGAGGUCAUCCCCUUUUUUCCUUUCCCGUAGUAUGUGACACAUGGUCAUGUAUUUCCUCAGCUUUUUGUUCGGCAGAACACAUCAAACGGACCGAAUCCGGAGCGCUUUUCCCCAUAUUAGGAUGAAUCCGACGCCGAGGACUACGAAUUGAACGGGGACGGUCCUGAAGGCCCUGAAGAUUUGUACGCGACGGAGGCGGCGGAGGAUGAUGAUGGUGUUGAGGAGGACGAGGAGGAGGCGGCCGGUGCCGUGGCUGGCAAGGUGGGGACGUCAAGUACUAAUGACCCACAAGUGUAGGGGAUCUAUCAUAGUCCUUUCAAAAAGUAAGAGUGUCGAACCCAACAAGGAGCGGAAGGAUCUGACGAGUGGUUUUCAGCAAGGUAAUAUCUGCAAGAACUGAAAUUAUCGGUAACAAGUAGUUGUGUGGUGAGAUGAUUCGUAGGAAGUAGCAAGUAAGAAAAGUAACAACGGUGCAGCAAAGUGGCCCAAUCCCUUUUGUAGCAAGGGACAAGCCUGGACAAACUCUUAUAGGAGGUAAAACGCUCCCGAGGACACAUGGGAAUUUCUGUCAAGCUAGUUUUCAUCAUGUUCAUAUGAUUCGCGUUCGCUACUUUGAUAGUUUGAUAUGUGGGUGGACCGGCGCUUGGGUACUUCCCUUACUUGGACAAGCACCCCACUUAUGAUUAACCCCUCUCGCAAGAAUCCGCAACUACGAAAGAAGAAUUAAGACAAAGUCUAACCAUUGCAUUAAACUAGUGGAUCCAAAUCAGCCCCUUACGAAGCAACGCAUAAACUAGGGUUUAAGCUUCUGUCACUCUAGCAACCCAUCAUCUACUUACUACUUCCCAAUGCCUUCCUCUAGGACCAAAUAAUGGUGAAGUGUUAGGUAGUCGACGUUCACAUAACACCACUAGAGGAAAAACAACAUACAACACAUCAAAUUAUCGAACGAAUACCAAAUUCACAUGACUACUUAUAGCAAGACUUAUCACAUGUCCUCAGGAACAAAAGUAACUACUCACGAAGCAUAAUCAUAUUCAUGCCCAGGGAGGUAAUGAGUAGCAUCAAAGAUCUGAACAUAUAAUCUUCCACAAAGUAAUCCAACUAGCAUCAACUACAAAGAGUAAUUAACACUACUAGCAACCUUACAAGUACCAAUCGGAGUCGCGAGACGGAGAUUGGUUACAAGAGAUGAACUAGGGUUUGGAGAUGAGAUGGUGCUGAUGAUGAUGUUGAUGGUGACGAGUCCCCUCCGAUGAGAGGAGUGUUGGUGAUGACGAUGGCGACGAUUUCCCCCUCCGGGAGGGAAGUUUCCUCGGCAGGAUCGGCCUGCCGGAGCUCUAGAUUGGUUCUGCUCACGUUCCUCCUCAUGGCGGCGUUGAACCCUCCGAAAAGCCUCUUGUUGAUUUUUUUUUCUGGAACAAAACCAUUCUUGUAGCAAAAUGGGUGAGCCAGAGGGCUAAGUGGGAGCCCACAAGCCCCCUAGGCGCGGCCAGGGGGAGGUCGCGCCUAGCGGGCUUGUGGCCUCCUGCUGGCGCCCCUCUGGUACUUCUUCGGCCUAGUAUUUUUAAUAAAUCCCAAAAAAAUCCACGUUGAUUUUCAUGACUUUUGGAGUUGUGCAGAAGAGGUAUCUCAAACUUGCUCCUUUUUCAGGCCAGAAUUCCAGCUGCCGGCAUUCUCCCUCUUCAUGUAAACCUUGCAAAAUAAGAGAUAAAAGGCAUAAGUAUUGUACCUUGAAGUGUAAUAACAGACCAAAAAGCGAUAAAUAUAAACAUGAAAGCAUGAUGCAAAAUGGACAUAUCAACUCUCCCAAGCUUAGACCUCGCUUGUCCUCAAGCGAAAGCCGAGAUCAAUAAAUAUGCCCACAUGUUUAGAGAGAGAGGUGUCGACAAAACAAGAUACGGACAUGCAGGCAUCAUGAUCAUAAUCAGAAUAGCAAUACCAACAUAUAAUCUCUCAUGCUAAAGUGAUAAUUCCUUCACAAAGUAAAGCAUGGAUCAAGAACCUUACCGAGAAUUAACAACCGAUAGCCUUUAGUCAUUGAAGCAAUUGCAAUUUAUCACAAUAUCAGAAAGAGUCAAAUAAGAGCUUGUAAAGCAAAUCCAAAUACUCAAUCAUCCUUUCGUUCUCUACAAUUUCUACAACUCACGUGGUACUCAUGAGAUCAAAGUUUCAGCUGGACACAAAGAAAGAUAGGGAUUUAUAGUUUCGCCUCCCAACCAUUUACCUCAAGGGUAAUGUCAACAAUAAUAAUUCAUGAAUACUUACUUCCAAGUUGACAUAUGAAUAUAGAUCUUUCCCAAGCAUAUGACAUUAGCCAAGAUAAAGGCGAAACAAGGAAUUGGUGAAGAUCACCAUGACUCUUUCACGGGAAAAAUUAAAGGUACAAGAUAGGCCCUUUGCAGGGGGAAGCAGAGGUUGUCAUGUGCUUUUGAGGUUUGGAUGUGUGUCCUCUUAGUGUGGAGGAACGUCACUUUAUAUUGCCUCCUGUGAUAAAGAACUUUAUUAUGCAUUCCGUCGCUUUUAUCUAUUCCUCAUCACAGGUUCGUACAAAGCUUAUUUUCCAUGCACUAAUAGAUCAUACAUAUUAGGGGGGCAAUUUUUAUUGCUUGCAUCGAUGACAACUUACUUGAAGGAUCUUAUUCAAUCCAUAGGUAGGUAUGGUGGACUCUCAUGGAAAAACUGGGUCGAAGGUUUAUGGAUGCACAAGUAGUAUCUCUACUUGGUGCGAGUGUUUUGGCUAAUACGAGGUGGAAGCAAUCUUCACAUGCCAAGGGAUCUCUAGUCAUAUAACAUUGUUCGGAACCAAGCAAACACAAUUCAUUAUGUUGUCUUCCUUGUCCAACAUCCACUUCUAAGCAUGUAAUAGUGUAGUGAGUGUUCACAAUCAUAGAUGGUGUCAAAGAUGAUAUAUUUAUAUGUGAACCUCUCCUUCUUUAUCACUUCCUAUUAAUUGCAACAAUGACCAAGGUCUACGUUUGUCUAUCCUCAACAAGUUUCAAUCAACAUUGUUUUCAUAUGUGAAGCCAUCACUUCCCAUAAGAUCAUUACAUGAUCUUUCAUGCUUUUGUUCUUUUCUCAUUCUCUUGAUCAUGGCAUGAGGCAACGCCCUUAACUAAGACACUCUUUAUUAUAUGGCUCACGAGCUCGAAUACAUCGGGGGUGGCACAAAUAAAAACUCAAGCCUAAAACACUAAGACCUUUAAUCUACUAGAGAAAGAGAAAACUGAAAAGGAACAAACUAAAACAAAGGUAAAGGAAAAAGAUGUGAUGGUGAUACGAUAGCGGGGCAACUCCCCCAAGCUUGGCACAAGCCAAGGGGAUUGCCCAUACCCAUGCUUAGUUGUCUUCCUUUGGAGGUGAUGGUGAUGGAGUUGUUGCAGAGGUCUUGAACUUGUUUAAUUUCCACUUGAGCGUAAAAUUCUGCUCCCUCAGAUCAUCAAUUUCCUCUUCAAGCCUCAACAACCUUUUGCAUAAUUCCUGCUUACUCUCCUGCAAGAAAUGAGAAGGGAUAAACAAUGUUUUAGGCUUCUUCCUUGAGUCAGGGAGGCUCGAUUUCUUGAACUCCACAUGCGUGUGUCCAAGUUGAGGUAGAGGAGCCUCCUCCUCAUCGGAACUUGUUCGUUCCUUCCCCUUGGGAUCAUAAUCUUCUUCCUCAUAAGUGGUCCACCGAUAAGGAUACAAGUCCCCAUAGACCUUGGGGUUGGCAAGGUAAUCGGCCACAUAGCUCUCCCCCUCUAAAUCUUGAGAAGACAUCUUGCCCUAAAUCUGCGCCAGAAAAUAGGCUCGAAACGAAAACAGAGGAAAAUUGCAUGAUACGAGGGUCAGACCUUUCGAGAGAAUAUAUAAUGAUUUUUUUCUGACCAGAAGGAGUACUCCGCAAGAAAACGGAGUCCGGGAGGCACACGAGGUGGCCACAAGCCUCCCAGGCCCGGCCAGGGGGGUGGCUCGCGCCUGGCAGGCUUGUCUCCUCCUCGUUCUUUUUCCGGGCUGCUUUAAAUUUUUCUAUUUUUUCAAAAAUUCCAAAACGGAGAAAAAAUCCUACUGGAAAAGUUUUGGAGUCUAUUUACUUACCGAAUCACAUACCUCUUCGUUUUCGGAGUCUGAAAGAGGCUGAUAAAUAUCCGUUAGGUACUCCUCCUUAGUUAUGGUAUUCAUAAUAUUGCUUUCAACAUUUAUGGGAGUACCUGAGAUAUAAUGCUUGAUUCUCUGCCCAUUUACAACUCUCGGACAAUUAUCUUCCGUGUUGUUGAUCUUGAUAGCACCGGAACGAUAUAGUUCCUCAAAAAUGUAAGAAUCUUCCCAUUUAGAGAGAAGCUUCCCUGCAAAAAAUCUUAAACGAGAAUUAUAUUGCAAGACAUAAUCACCUACAUUUAACUCACGCUUUUUUAUCCUUUUAUCAUGCCACCUCUUAACCUUUUCUUUGAACAACUAGGCAUUUUCAUAUGCCUGAGUUCUCCACUCAUCAAGCAAGCUAAUAUCAAAUAACCUCUUCUCACCAGCAAGUUUGAAAUCAAAGUUAAGCUCUUUGAUUUCCCAAUAAGCUUUAUGCUCUAGCUCAAGAGGUAAAUGACAUGCUUUACCGUAUACCAUUUUGUACGGAGACAUGCCCAUGGGAUUCUUAUAGGCAGUUCUAUAAGCCCACAGUGCAUCAUCGAGCUUCUUAGACCAAUUCUUUCUAGACCUGUUGACAGUCUUUUGCAGAAUUAGUUUAAUAUCUCUAUUUCUUAGCUCUACCUGACCAUUGGACUGAGGGUGAUAGGGAGACGCAAUUAUAUGGUUAACAUCGUACUUAGAAAGCAUUUUACGGAAAGCACCAUGAAUGAAAUGUGAACCACCGUCGGUCAAUAGAUAUCUAGGGACUCCAAAUCUAGGGAAAACAACUUCUUUAAGCAUCCUGAUAGAGGUGUUGUGAUCAGCACUACUAGUGGGGAUAGCUUCUACCCACUUAGUGACGUGAUCAACAGCAACUAGGAUAUGAGUAUACCCGUUGGAUUUUGGAAGAGGUCCCAUAUAAUCAAAGCCCCAAACAUCAAAUGGUUCAAUGAAAAGUGAAUAAUUCAUAGGCAUUUCCUGACGUUUACCAAUAUUACCUAUUCUUUGACAUUCGUCACAAGACAAGACAAACUUACGGGCAUCCUUGAAGUGAGUGGGCCAAUAGAAACCUUAUUGCAAUACCUUGUGCGCAGUUCUAUCUCCCGCAUGGUGUCCUCCGUAGGCCUCGGAGUGACACUUCUGUAGCAUCUGUCCCUGUUCAUGUUCAAGUACACAACGUCUAAUAAGACCAUCUACUCCUUCCUUAUAAAGGUGAGGAGCAUCCCAAAAGUAAUGUCUCAAGUCAAAGAAGAAUUUCUUCUUUUGCUGGUAUGUGAAACUAGGUGGUAUAUAUUUGGCAACGAUAUAGUUUGCAUAAUUAGCAUACCAAGGUUCACUAGGUGAAGUAUUGAUGACAUUCAAUUGCUCAUCAGGAAAGCUAUCAGGUUGUGGGUCAUCAAGAACAUUCUCCAACCUAGACAAGUUAUCUGCUACUGGGUUAUCAGCACCCUUCCUAUCGACAACAUGCAAAUCAAAUUCUUGUAGCAAGAGAACCCAUCUGAUAAGUCUAGGUUUAGCGUCUUUCUUCUCCAUUAGGUACUUAAUAGCAAGAUGAUCAGUAUGAAUGGUGACUUUGGAAUCAACUAUGUAAGACCUGAACUUUUCACAUGCAAACACGACUGCUAAAAAUUCAUUUUCUGUAGUAGCAUAGUUUCUUUGGGCAUUGUCUAGAGUUUUACUAGCAUAGUGAAUAACAUUCAACUUCUUAUCAACUCUUUGCCAUAGAAUAGCACCAAUAGCAUAAUCACUAGCAUCACACAUGAUUUCAAAAGGUAAGUUCCAAUCAGGUGGUUGAACAAUAGGCGCAGUUAUCAAGGCCUUCUUAAGUAUUUCGAAGGGUUCCUCACAAUCAUCGUCGAAAACAAAAGGAAUAUCCUUUUGCAAGAGAUUGGUAAGAGGCCUAGAAAUGUUAGAGAAGUCUUUAAUGAACCUUCUAUAGAAACCAGCAUGACCAAGGAACCUUCUAUAGAAACCAGCAUCACCAUCCUAUAGCCAGUAAUAAUCCUCUGUGGGAUCAAUUCAUCCUUAUCAUUAGGGACAACGGUAAUGCCUCCCUUCUUAGCGACGGAAUGCACCAUACUAACCCAAUCACUAUGAGCAACAUGAUAGAUAAUACCUUCUUCCAGGAGCUUUAGUAUUUCUUUUCUUACUACCUCUUUCAUCUUAGGAUUUAAUCUCAUUUGAUGAUUAGCAACUGGUUUGGAAUCAGGAUCGGUUUUAAUCUUGUGCUGGCAUAGAGUGGGACUAAUGCCCUUAAGAUCAUCAAGAGUAUAUCCAAUAGCAGCACGGUGCUUCCUUAGAGUUUUUAGUAACUUCUUUUCUUCAUGCUCUGAGAGGCUAGCACUAAUUAUAACAGGAUAUAUCUCUUUUUCAUCAAGAUAAGCAUACUUAAGAGUAUCAGACAACUGUUUAAGCUCGAACACAGGAUCACCCUUUGGUGGGGGUGGAUCUCCAAGCAGUUCAACAGGCAAGUUAUUCUUAAGGAUAGGAUAUUGUUCUAAGACAACUCUAUCUAUCUCAUCCCUUUCAUCCAUAUGCAUAUCAUUUUCAUGCUCAAGCAAGUAUUGCUCUAAGGGAUCCGUAGGAGGCACGACAAUCGAAGCUAGGGAAAUAAUUUCAUCCUUACUAGGCAACUCUUUUUCAUGAGGUUGUCUACUAAACUUGGAGAAAUUGAACUCAUGUGACACACCUUCAAAGCCAACAGUGACAGUUUGCUUCUCAUAGUCAAUAUGAGCAUUGACGGUAUUGAGGAAGGGUCUGCCAAAUAUGAUGGGACAAAGGCUAUCUUGUGUGGUAGCAAAAACGAGGAAAUGAGGAGGAUACUUCGUUUUACCACACAAGACUUCAACAUCCCUAAUAAUUUCCACAGGGCAGAUAGUAUCUCUAUUGGCAAGCUGAAUAGUGACAUCAAUGGGUUCUAUCUCGACAGGUGCAAUCUCGUCUUUAAUUUCAUCAUAUAGGGAUUGAGGUAUUGCACUAACACUAGCACCCACAUCACAUAAACCAUGAUAACAAUGAUCUCCUAUCUUAACAGAAACAACAGGCGUGCCAACAACAGGCCUAUGUUUGUCUCUAGCAUGGGGUUUAGCAAUUCUUGCAGCAUCUUGAUACGUCUCCAACGUAUCUAUUUUUUUUUAUGGUUUCAUGCUAUUAUCUUGUCAAACUUUGGAUGUUUUGCAUGCCUUUUAUAUAUUUUUUGGGACUAACUUAUUAACUCGGUGCCAAGUGCCAGUUCUUGUUUUUUCCAUGUAUUUGACCGCUUUCAGAGGAGAUUUUGAAACGGAGUCCAAACGGAAGAAAAUCCCCGAAAAGAUUUUUUCUGAAACCGAAGAAGAUCAGGAAGCUUGAGAGCCAAGGCAGGGGGGCCCAGGGGCCCCACAAGCCCUCACCCCGCGACCAGGGGAAAGGUCGUGGCCCACAGGCUUGUGGGCCCCCUGGACGCCCUCUGCCCUAGGGUUUGCACCUAUAUAUCCCCAAAAGUUCCACAAAAAAUCAAGAGAUCAUCGAAAGUACUUUUCCGCCGCCGCAAGCUUCUGUCUCCGCAAGAUCCCAUCUGGGGCACGUUCCGGUGCCCUGUCGGAGGGGGGAUUCAGAUAUGGAGGGCUUCUUCAUCAACACCAUGACCUCUCCGAUGAUGCGUGAGUAGCUCACCAUAGACCUCCGAGUCCAUAGCUAGUAACUAGAUGGCUUCUUCUCUCUCUUGGAUCUUCUAUACAAAGUUCUCCAUGAUCUUCAUGGAGAUCUAUCCGAUGCAAUCUUAUUUUGCGGUGUGUUUGUCGAGAUCCGAUGAAUUGUGGAUUUAUGAUCAGAUUAUCUAUGAAUCUUAUUUGAGUUUCUUCUGAUCUCUCUUAUGCAUGAUUUCAUAUCCUUGUAAUUCUCUUCGAGUUGUGGGUUUUGUUUGGCCAACUAGAUCUAUGAUUCUUGUAAUGGGAGAAUUGCUUGGUUUUGGGUUCAUACCGUGUGGUGACCUCACCCAAUGACAGAAGGGGUAGCGAGGCACGCAUCGUGUUGUUGCCAUCAAGGGUAAAAAGAUGGGGUUUUCAUCAUUGGUUUGAGAUUAUCCCUCUACAUCAUGUCAUCUUUCUUAAGGCGUUACUCUAUUCGUCAUGAACUCAAUACACUAGAUGCAUGCUGGAUAGCGGUCGAUGUGUGGAGUAAUAGUAGUAGAUGCAGAAAGUAUCGGUCUACUUGUCUCGGACGUAAUGCCUAUAUGUAUGGUCAUUGCCUUAGAUAUCGUCAUGAGUUUGUGCGGUUCUAUCAAUUGCUCGACAGUAAUUUGUUCACCCACCGUGAUAUUUGCUAUUUUGAGAGAAGCCUCUAGUGAACACUAUGGCCCCCGGGUCUACUCCACACCAUACUUUCAGCCUUACACUUUUUACUUCGUUGCACUUUCCGCCUUUAGAUCUCACUUUGCAAACAAUCUUGAAGGGAUUGACAACCCCUUUGAAGCGUUGGGUGCAAGAUCGUUUGUGUUUGCGCAGGUACUCUGGACUUGACGAGACCCUCCUUCUGGAUCGAUACCUUGCUUCUCAAAACUGAGGGAAAUACUUACUACUCAUGUGCUGCAUCAUCCUUUCCUCUUCAAGGGAAAAACCGACGCAAACAAGAGAAGUAGCAAGAAGAAGUCCUGUCGUUGCUUGGGAAGGGCUUUUGUUGCUGUAGCAGAAGGAUUUCUGGUGCUGUUGCCGGGGAGGAAGAUCAAGUCAAGAACUCAUCCAAGUAAGUGUCGCAAACUCAUCUCUUGCAUUUACUUUUGUUUGUCAGUUGCCUCUCGUUUUCCUCUCCCCCACUUCACCAAUUUGCCUUUUUCAUUUGCCUUUUUCGUUUGCCUUUUUCGUUCGCCCUUUCUUCCGCUUUCUUUCUGUUUGCUUGUGUUUUAUGUGCCUUCAAUAUGCUUGCAUCUUCGCUUGCUGAAAAUAUAUUGAUAUGGAUCCUCAUCCACUUGCUAAUCUCUUUAAGAGAUCCAAUUAUGUUGAUAAAAUUGCUAUUGAGUUGAGUGCACUUGACUUUCUCUAUGGAGUUUUGCUUGAGAUGCGUGAAUCUGAAAAUUGUGAUGAAGAAAUUCAUGAAGUGAUUCACGAGGGCUCCUUGAAUGAAAAGCAUGAUUGCAAUGAUUUCAUUAUAAAUUCUAUUAAUGACAAUCAUGCUAAAAAUAUGCAAAACCCUAAGCUUGGGGAUGUUAGUUUUGCUAUGUCCACUACUUGUUGCAAUGAUCAUGAGUGGGGCAAUGAUUUUUCUUAUGAUCAUGAAAAUUUGUUUAAGCCUCAUGAUGAAUAUGAUAUUUGCAAUAUUAUUGAAAGUAGGUUUGGAGACGUCAUGACUUUAAUUGAUGAUAAUCCCAGUAUUUUUGAAGAGCAUCAACUUUGCAUGCAUGUGGAUCAUGAAAAGAAUAUCCUAUGUGAUAGUUACAUUGUUGAAUUCAGAUAUGAUCCCACAUGUAAUUAUUAUGAGAGAGGAAAAUAUGGUGGUAGAAACUUUCAUACCACUAAAUCACCUCUCGUUAUGUUGAGAUUGCUCUUGUCUCUUUCUUCUUCCUUGCAUUUGAUAACUAUUGGUUGUCUUGCCAAUUUUUUCCUAUAAAAUGCCUAUGCAUAGGAAGUAUGUUAGACUUAGACGUGAUUUUCACAUGCUUUAUGAUGCUCACGUUGUGCAUCAAUUUCUAUCUUCUAUGUGAGCAUCAUUGAAUUAUCAAUGCCUAGCUAAGGGUGUUAAACAAUAGCGCUUUUUGGGAGGCAACCCAAUGAAUUUAUCUUUUUCUUUCUGUUUUGUUGUGUCCACGCCAUCAUAAUUCUGUUGUGAUUGUGUUUUUUGGGUUUCUUUUUGUGUUUGAGCCAAGCAAAACCUUUAUGACUAGUCUUGGUAAUGGUUAUUUGAUCCUUCUGGAAAAAGACAGAAACUUUUCGCUCACGAGAUGAUUUUUCAUUUUUAUUCAGAAAGAGCUUUUGAGUUGAUUCUUUUUGCUGAUGGUUGAUAUGUAUUUUUCCCAGGCAGUCGUAAUUGUUCAUAUUUUUGUAGGUAACAGAAGUAUACGAAGUAUAUAGAUUGCUACAGACUGGUCUAUUUUUGACAGAUUCUGGUUUUGUUGAGUUGGUUGCUUGUUUUGAUGAAACUAUGGUUAGUAUCGGGGGGUACUAGCCAUGGAAAAGUGAGAAUACAAUAUCCCAACACCAACAUAGAUGGAAUUCAAGUUUCCUACAGUACCAAAAGAGGUGUUAGUUUAUUUUCUUGUGCUAAUGUUAUCACGAGUUUCUGUUUAAAUUUUGUGUUGUGAAGUUUUCAAGUUUUGGGUGAUGUUCUCAAGGACAAAGAGAUAAGGAGUGGAAAGAGCUCAAGCUUGGGUAUGCCCAAGGCAUCCCAAGCCAAAUUCAAGGACACCAAAAAUCCUAAGCUUGGGGAUGCCCUGGGAAGGCAUCCCCUCUUUCGUCUUCAGUUCAUCGGUAACAUUACUUGGAGCUAUAUUUUUAUUCACCACAUGAUAUGUGUUUUGCUUGGAGCGUCUUGUAUCGUAGGAGUCUUUUCUUUUUUUUGUUUCACAAUCAUUCUUGCUGCACACCUUUUUGAGAGAGAGAGAGAUGCACUCAUCGUGAUUUUGCUAGAAUGCUCAUAGUGCUUCACUUAUAUCUUUUGAGCUAGAUACUUUUUCUCUAUGUGCUUCACUUAUAUCUUUUAGAGCACGGUGCUGCGUGACUUGGUAGUUGGCUUAUGCUAUGAAAGUAGUCCCAAAGGUGAUAGGUACCCAAAGAGGAUGCAAAAACCUCCAUCUUGAUGUGCAUUGAGUAGAAAGAGAAGCCUUGAUUCCUCUCAAUUAGUUUUGAGACGUGGAUUUGGUAAUAUUAAGAGCUAUGUUAGUACGGUGUUGUGAAUCUAGAAGUACUUGUGUUGAAGUUAGUGAUUCCCGUAGCAUGCACGUAUGGUGAACCGCUAUGUUAGGAAGUCGGAGCAUAAUUGAUCUAUUGAUUGUCAUCCUUUGUGUUGAGGUCUUGAUCGCGUGAUGGUUAACACCUACCAACCCUUCCCCUAGGAGUAUGUGUUUAGCACUUUGUUUCGGUUACUAAUAAAAACUUUCGCAACAAGUAUGUGAGUUCAUCAUGACUAAUGUGAGUCCAUGGUAUAGAUGCACUUUCACCUUCCACCAUUGCUAGCCUCUUUAGCGCCGCGCAAUUCUCGCCGAUGCAAAAACCCACCAUAUGCCUUCCUCAAAACAGCCACCAUACCUACCUACUAUGGCAUUUUCAUAGCCAUUCCGAGAUAUAUUGCCAUGCAACUCCCACCGUUCCAUCUCAUGACUUGUGCCGUCACUCUCAUAUUGCCAUUGCAUCAUCGUAAGAUAGCUAGCGAGAUGUUUCCAACGUCAUACGCCAUGCUAGAUCGUUGCACAUCCCAGUACACUGCCGGAGGCAUUUCCUAUAGAGUCAUCAUCGUUCUAAGCUUUGAGCUGUGAGUAAAUAAAAGUGUGAUGAUCACCAUUAUUAGAGCAUUGUCCCAUGUGAGGAAAAAAAGAGAAGAAGAGGCCAAAGAGAGGGAAAAAAAGAGAAAAAAAGAGGCCUAAGAGCCCAAAUGAAAAAAAGAGAGAGAAAAAGAGAGAAGGGACAAUGCUACUAUCUUUUUCCACACUUGUGCUUCAUAAUAGCACCAUGUUCUUCAUGAUUGAGAGCUUUUUGCUUUGUGACUACCAUAUACUAGUGGGAAUCUUCAUUACAUAACUUGGUUUGUAUAUUCCAAUGAUGGGCUUCCUCAAAAUUGCCCUAGGUCUUUGUGAGCAAGCAAGUUGGAUGCACACCCACUAGGUUUCCUUUUGAGCUUUCACAUACUUAUAGCUCUAGUGCAUCUCUUGUAUGGCAAUCCCUACUCAUUCACAUUGAUAUCUAUUAAUGGGCAUCUCCAUAGCCCUUUGAUACGCCAAGUCAAUGUGACCAUCUCCUCCUUUUUGUCUCACAACCACCACCACACUCUAUUCCACCUAUAGUGCUAUAUCCAUGUCUCAUGCUCAUGUAUUGCGUGAUAGUUAUAAAAAGUUUGAGAAAGUAAGAGUGUGAAAACAAUUACUUGGCCAAUACCGGGGUUGUGCAUGAUUUACAUUGGUUGUGUGAGGAUGAUGGAGCAUAGCCAGACUAUAUGAUUUUGUAGGGAUAACUUUCUUUGGCCUUGUUAUUUUGAAAGUUCAUGAUUACCUUGCUAGUUUGCUUGAAGUAUUAUUCUUUUCAUGUCAAUAGCAAACUAUUGUUUUGAAUCUUACGGAUCUGAACAUUCAUGUCACGUGAAAUAAGUUGCAAAGGACAACUAUGCUAGGUAGCAUUCCACAUCAAAAAUUCAUUCUUUAUCACUUCCCUACUCGAAGACGAGCAGGAGUUAAGCUUGGGGAUGCUUGAUACGUCUCCACAUAUCUAUAAUUUUUAAUGGUUUCAUGCUAUUAUCUUGUCAAACUUUGGAUGUUUUGCAUGCCUUUUAUAUAUUUUUUGGGACUAACUUAUUAACUCGGUGCCAAGUGCCAGAUCCUGUUUUUUCCAUGUUUUUGACCCCUUUUAGAGGAGAUUUUGAAACGGACUCCAAACGGAAGAAAAUCCCCGAAAAGAUUUUUUCUGUAACGGAAGAAGAUCAGGAAGCUUGAGAGCCAAGGCAGGGGGGCCCAGGCGCCCCACAAGCCCUCACCUUGCGGCCAGGGGGGAGGCCGCAGCCCACAGGAUUUUGGGCCCCCGGGACGCCCUCUGCCCUAGGGUUUGCGCCUAUAUAUCCCCAAAAAUUCCACAAAAAAUCAAGAGAUCAUCGAAAUUACUUUUCCGCCACCGCAAGCUUCUGUCUCCGCAAGAUCCCAUCUGGGGCACGUUCCGGUGCCCUAUCGGAGGGGGGAUUCGGAUACGGAGGGCUUCUUCAUCAACACCAUGACCUCUCCGAUGAUGCGUGAGUAGUUCACCAUAGACCUACGGGUCCAUAGCUAGUAACUAGAUGGCUUCUUCUCUCUCUUGGAUCUUCAAUACAAAGUUCUCCAUGAUCUUCAUGGAGAUCUAUCCAAUGUAAUCUUCUUUUGCGGUGUGUUUGUCGAGAUCCGAUAAAUUGUGGAUUUAUUAUCAGAUUAUCUAUGAAUCUUAUUUGAGUUUCUUCUGAUCAUGUCAUCUUGCUUAAGGCAUUACUAUGUUCGUCAUGAACUCAAUACACUAGAUGCAUGUUAGAUAGCGGUCGAUGUGUGGAGUAAUAAUAGUAGAUGCAUAAAGUGUCGGUCUACUUGUCUCGUAUGUGAUGCCUAUAUGUAUGAUCAUUGCCUUAGAUAUCGUCAUGAAUUUGCGCGGUUCUAUCAAUUGCUCGACGGUAAUUUGUUCACCCACCGUGAUAUUUGCUAUUAUGAGAGAAGCCUCUAGUGAACACUAUGGCCCCCGGGUCUACUCCACACCAUCUUUUCAGCCUUACACUUUUUACUUAGUUGCACUUUCCGCCUUCAUAUCUCACUUUGCAAACAAUCUCGAAGGGAUUGACAACCCCUUUGAAGCGUUGGGUGCAAGCUCGUUUUUGUUUGCGCAGGUACUCUGGACUUGACGAGACCCUCCUUCUGGAUCGAUACCUUGGUUCUCAAAACUGAGGGAAAUACUUACUGCUCUUGUGCUGCAUCACCCUUUCCUCUUCAAGGGAAAAACCGACGCAAACAAGAGAAGUAGCAAGAAGAAUUCCUGGCGUUGCUUGGGAAGGACUUUUGUUGCCGUAGCACAUCUUCACAGAAGUGAAUAUCAUGGCCAUCAACAUUGUCGGACAAGAGAUAUUUGAUAAUAGCAAUGCUAGGUUCAACUCUAAUUUGCUCAGGGGGUGUAGGUGUUCUAAUGUAACCUCUACGUCUCACAUUUGAAGCUUUAGAAUGAUCUUUUAUCCUAACAGGGAAAGGUGGUUGCUCAAUGUAAGCACUAGGAACAAUAGGAUAAUUAUAGGCAAUGACUUUCUCUUCAACUGGAUUGGGUUUAACUACAUUGACUUCUAAGGGAGGAUGAUAUUUAAACCACUUCUCUUUGGGGAGAUCAAUAUGAGCAGAAAAUGAUUCACACAAUGAGGCUACUAUCUCUGAGUCAAGUCCAUAUUUAACGCUAAACUCACAAAAGGUAUUUGUUUCAACAAAGGAUUUAACGCAAUCAACCUUGAAAUUCAUACCUAACUCCUUACCUUCAUCAAGCUCCCAAUCUUCAGAGUUGCGUUUAAUUCUUUCCAAUAAAUUCCAUCUGAAGUCAAUAUCUCUCUUCAUAAAAGAACGGGUACAAGAAGUGUCAAGCAUGUUGCGAUCAUCAUGAGAAAGCCGAGCAUAGAAGUUCUGAAUGAUAAUUUCUCUCGAGAGCUCAUGGUUGGGUCAUGAAUAUAACAUUGAUUUAAGCCUCCCCCAAGCUUGAGUGAUGCUUUCUAUGUCAUGAGGCCAACAAUUAUAAUUAUAAUUCCGAUCACGAUGUACUAGAUGCAUAGGAUAAAUUUUUUGAUGAAAUUCCAAUUUCAACCGAUUGUAGUUCCAUGAUCCAGUAUCAUCACAUAGCCUAUACCAUGUCAACGCCUUAUCCCUCAAAGAUAAGGGAAAUACCUUCUUCUUGACCUCAUCCUCGGGCAAACCUGCAAGCUUAAAUAAACCACAAACUUCAUCUACAUAGAUUAGAUGCAAGUCUGGAUGUGAUGUUCCAUCUCCUACAAAAGCAUUAGCCAGCAGUUUCUCAAGCAUACCCGAAGGAAAUUCAUAGCAAAUAUUUUUAGUAGGUGCGGCAGGUUGAGGAGAAACUCUUUGUGCUUCCGUUCGAGGUGAAGAUACCCCGAACAAGCUCCUCAAAGGAUUAGUUUCCAUAGUAACAAGUGACAGUAAAUUUCAGCACACUAUAUAAAUGUUUCCUUUCCAAAUUCCACUUACGAAAGGCCCUUCACUCCCCGGCAACGGCGCCAGAAAAGAGUCUUUAUGACCCACAAGUAUAGGGGAUCUAUCAUAGUCCUUUCGAUAAGUAAGAGUGUCGAACCCAACGAGGAGCAGAAGGAUCUGACAAGUGGUUUUCAGCAAGGUAAUAUCUGCAAGCACUCAAAUUAUCGAUAACAAGUAGUUGUGUGGUGAGAUGAUUCAUAGCAAGUAGCAAGUAAAAAAGUAACAACAGUGCAACAAAGUGGACCAAUCCCUUUUGUAGCAAGGGACAAGCCUGGACAAACUCUUAUAGGAGGUAAAACGCUCCCGAGGACACAUGGGAAUUUCUAUCAAGCUAGUUUUCAUCAUGUUCAUCUGAUUCGCGUUCACUACUUUGAUAGGUUGAUAUGUGGGUGGACCGGCGCUUGGGUACUGCCCUUACUUGGACAAGCAUCCCACUUAUGAUUAACCCCUCUCGCAAGCAUCCGCAACUACGAAAGAAGAAUUAAGACAAAGUCUAACCAUAGCAUUAAACUAGUGGAUCCAAAUCAGCCCCUUACGAAGCAACGCAUAAACUAGGGUUUAAGCUUGUGUCACUCUAGCAACCCAUCAUCUACUUAAUACUUCCCAAUGCCUUCCUCUAGGCCCAAAUAAUGGUGAAGUGUUAUGUAGUUGAUGUUUACAUAACACCACUAGAGGAAAAACAACAUACAACACAUCAAAUUAUCGAACGAAUACCAAAUUCACAUGACUACUUAUAGCAAGACUUAUCCCAUGUCCUCAGGAACAAAAGUAACUACUCACAAAGCAUAAUCAUAUUCAUGACCAGAUACGUAAUGAGUAGCAUCAAAGAUCUGAACAUAUAAUCUUCCACCAAGUAAUCCAACUAGCGUCAACUACAAAGAGUAAUUAACACUACUAGCAACCUUACAAGUACCAAUCGGAGUCGCGAGACGGAGAUUGGUUACAAGAGAUGAACUAGGGUUUGGAGAUGAGAUGGUGCUGAUGAAGAUGUUGAUGGUGAUGAGUCCCCUCCAGUGAGAGGAGUGUUGGUGAUAACGAUGGCGACGAUUUCCCCCUCCGGAGGGAAGUUUCCCCCGCAGGAUCGUCCUGCCGGAGCUCUAGAUUGGUUCUGCUCAAGUUCCGCCUCAUGGCGGCGGCGAAUCCUCCGAAAAGCCUCUUGUUGAUUUUUUUUCUAGAAUGAAACCCUUCUUGUAGAAAAAGGGGGGAGCCAGAGGGCCAAGUGGGAGCCCACAAGCCCACUAGGCGCGACCAGGGGGGAGGCCGCGCCUAGCAGGCUUGUGGACUCCUACUGGCGCCCCUCUCGUACUUCUUCGACCCAUUAUUUUUUAUAAAUACCAAAAAAAAAUCCACAUUGAUUUUCACGGCUUUUGAAGUUGCGCAGAAUAGGUAUCGCAAACUUGCUCCUUUUUCAGGCCAGAAUUCCAGCUGCCGGCAUUCUCCCUCUUCAUGUAAACCUUGCAAAAUAAGAGAGAAAAGGCAUAAGUAUUGUACCUUGAAGUGUAAUAAUAGCCCAAAAAGCGAUAAUUAUCAACAUGAAAGCAUGAUGCAAAAUGGACGUAUCACGUACCCCUCCCGACGGGUCCGUGACAGACUGGAUAGAUGAUGAUGGUGACGACAACGUGUAGGUGCUUGAGGCGAUGCCACGUGUGACGGGGCCGCCUCGGGGCCAUCGUCGUGGAAAGAGCGAGGAGCUGUCGGCCGGGGGCCAGCUGGCCGUCAGCCAACUAGCCAGUUGCCACACGGAAGAGGAACGCCGUAGGGACACGCGGUCGGCCGAGGACUCGAUCGACACCCCAGCCACCAAGAAGGUUCAGUCGGCGGCGCUGCCGGCGGGCGCCCCUUGGUGCUGGGUAAGGUUUCUUUAAGGCUCAUGCCCCUUCUUUUCUUGCUUUCUUUGUCGUGUGGCAUUUGAGCUCGUGCUCUCUUGUCUUGUUUUGCUUUCUCAGUGAGGCUAUUCAGCUACCGGCGCCGGAUGCAUCGGCCCUUGGGGCCGAACAAGUAACGCCGCUUGCCAUGGAGCAUGCGACGAGGGCGCGGCUUGAACGGGAGUGUGUCGUUCAGCUUCGUGCGGCCAAGCCGAAGGCCUCGUAGGCUAUGACGACCGGAAUAAGCGUCCCCGUGGCUGGGGCAACAAGUGAUGCCACUGCUCCACAACACCGCCGGUCAGUUUUAUCGGUACUUUUGCUUGUCUUAGUCAUUUUUCCUGUGCACCCUGCUCCUUUGUCAUUUCUCCUGCCGGCCAGCCAGCUUGCGGAUUGUGACUGGGCGAAGAGUGGGCUGGUGGAGCCGAGGUGUUUGGUACUUUGGCUUUUGCAAGGCGGGUGUUGAAAAAACCGAGUAGCGUAGCCGGACCUGGCCCGCCCCUUGUCGAUAUUUCCUAUUCGCUCUGACCCUUUGCUUGUGCUCCUGCCAAACGGGCAACUAGGUUGUGGUCUGUAGCCAGCGAGGGUUGGGCUGCCGGUGCGGAGGUAUAGUACUUUGCCGAGCUGGGGUGGGAGUUGGGCGUCUCGUAGUCCCCGGGCCGGCUGGACCGAUCCGGGGAUGACCAAGAAAGUAAAAACAAUUGAAACAUGAGUAGGAUGGAAAAGGCAGUCUCUGAGUCCUGCUCUAGGGUGCCGGCUAUUCAUUGAUUUUCUUGAAAAGGGAACAUACAUAUGUUCACUUGCCUAACUGUAAAACGGGCGGAGGAGUUCCACGUUUCGUGGUCGCUCCGUCUCGGAGCCGGAUGCGUCCUUCUUGUUCUUUCUUGCCUUUUGAGCAUCGAUUAUAAAGUAGGCGUUAUUGCUCACUGACGGAUGUCCGUUGGAUCAGCAAGAGAACAAGGUCACCCUCUCGGAAUGAGAGAGGGCUUGACCCGCUGGCUACGGUAGCGGCGUAGGCCUUGCUGAUAGAUGGUUGUUCUGGACAGUGCCAGCUCGCAUGCCUCUUCGAGGAGGUCGACGUCGUCUUCUCUGGCCUCUUUGGCGUCAGCCUCGGUGUGCAGGGUGACCCGAGGCGAAUCGAACUCGACGUCGUUGAGGAUGAUCGCCUCGGCCCCGUACACCAAGAAGAAUGGGGUGAAGCCGGUCGACCGGUUGAGCGUGGUUUGCAGGCUCCACAACACCGCCGGCAGUUCCUCGACCCAGGCACCGGCCGAGCGCUUGAGUGGCUCGACAAGCCUGGGUUUCAGGACGACCAGGAUGAGGCCGAUUGCCCGCUCUAGCUGGCCGUUUGACUGCGGCUGGGCCACGGACGAGAGGUCCAGCCGGAUUCCGUGCUCGCUGCAGUAGCGGGCGAGCGCAGGCUUGGCGAAGUUGGUCCCAUUGUCGAUGAUGAUGAUGCUGGGGAGGCCAUAGUGAACGGCUAUGUCCUUGAUGAACGUGACGACCGUUGGGCCAUCGAGCUUCUCUAUUGGCUUGGCCUUGAUCCACUUUGUGAACUUGUCGACUGCCACCAGGAGAUGUGUCACACCGCCUCGGGCGGUUUUGAACAGGCCCAUCAUGUCCAACCCCCAGAAGGCAAAGGGCCGCGUGAGGGGGAUGGUUUGCAGGGCCGCGGCCGUCUGGUGGAUGCGCGCUUUGAAAUGCUAGCAGCCAUUGCACUUGUCAAUUAAUGCCUUGGCGUCCUUCAGGGCGGACGACCAAUAGAAACUGUGGCGGAAUGCCUUGGCCGCCAGGGAGCGUGAGGAGGCAUGGUGGCCACACUCGCCCUGGUGGAUGCCGAGGAGGAUAUCGUGGCCUUUGUCUGCCUCGAUGCAGUGCUGGAACACGCCAGUCACGCUGCGCUUGACGAGCUCGUUGUUGAUGAUGGUGUAGGUGGCAGAGCGUCUUUGGAUUAUCCGGGCCACGACUUCAUCGGCAGGCAGGGUGCCAUUCUCGAUGUAGUCGAGGAAGGGUUGCGCUCAGGAUAGGGCUGUGACCACCGUGAGCAUGGCCACCAUGAUUGGGUUUGCUGCGGCGGGGACGGCACGCGGUUGGCCGCCUGCCGCAGUCCCCGAGUCGGGCUGGAGGGAUCCCAGGGGAGGGUCGGCAGCCCUCGGGCCGGCUAGAGUAGUCGAUGCGGUGGCGGUAGUCGGCUGACCAGCUGCCGUAGUCCCCGAGUGGGACGGGGCAGUUCCCGCGUCAGCGCCGGCAGCCCCCAGGGCCGGCGGGGCAGCCCCCGGGUCUGCCGGGAUGAAUAUGUACUCGGAUUCCGGAGAGAGCGUGAUGGAGGGCUUCCGCAGGUUCUCAAGAGAUACGUCGACUGGGAUUGGUUGCCGGGUGGAGACGAUUUGUUGAGUGUGUCGGCGGCCUCGUUGCCGGAUCGGAGGAUGUGGUGGAACUCGCGGCCUUUGAAACCGCCGGUCAGUUGUUGCACCAGAAAGCGGUAGCUGCCCAUGUUUGCGUCUCUCGCGUCCCACUCACGAGUGACUUGCUGCACCACCAGGUCGAAGUCACCUAAGAAAAGGAUUCGUCGGACGCCGAUUUCCCUAGCCAACCGGAGGCCAUGGGUGAGCGCUUCAUACUCCGCCACGUUGUUGGACGCAACAAAGUGGAUCUUCAUGACGUACUGGAGCUGGUUACCCUUAGGGGACGAGAGGAUGAUGCCAGCCCCAAGGCCGGUGCGCAUCUUCGAGCCAUCGAAGUGCAUGCGCCAAUGGGUUGAGUCUGGAGGCGGCCGUAGGUACUCCGUUUCGGCCUAGUCGACGAGGAAAUCCACCAAGGCCUAUGACUUUACGACGGUGCGGGACUCGUAGGCGAUGUGGUGGUCGGCCAGCUGGAGAGCCCACUUGGCGAUUCGGCCGGCUACGUUCCUGUUGCCCACGAUCUCUCCGAGGGUAGCGGUGCUCACCAAAGUGAUCGAGUGCUCCUCGAAGUAAGGCUUGAGCUUCUUGGCAGCCAGGAACACGACGUAGCACAUCUUCUGAUAGUGCAGCUAGUUCUACUUGGAGGCGGAGAGCACCUCGCUCAGGUAGUAGACAGGUCGUUCGACCAGCUGCGCCCGGCCCGGCUCGGAGCGCUCGACGGUCAUGACUAUACUGACCACUCGGAUGGUCGCGGCGAUGUAGAGCAAUAUCGGCUCCUUAUCCACUGGCGAGGCCAGCAUGGGCACGAUGGUGAGUGCACGCUUGAGGUCGCGCACGGCCUCAUCCGCCCGGUCGCUCCAGACAAACUCGUCCGCCUUCUUGAGCAGACGAUAGAGAGGGAGGGCCUCCUCCCCUGGUCGGCUGAUGAAGCAGCUGAGCGAGGCGAGGCAGCCAGUGAUCUUUUGGAUGUCAGCCAAGUUGGCCCGGAUCUUCUCGGGGAUGGCCUCUAUCCCUUGUUCCAAAAUGACGAAACCGAGGAGCUGGCCGGAUGGUAAGCCGAACACGCACUUUGCCGGCUUCAGCCGGAUUUUGAACUCGCGUAGAUUCACAAAUGUCUCCUUGAGAUCAUCCAGGGGGUGCGAUUUUCCUUGGUUUUGACCACAACGUCGUCCAUGUAGACGUGUACAUUGCGGCCGAGAUGCCUAUAGAGGCAUUGCUGCAUGCAACGCUGAAACGUGGCGCCAACAUUUUUCAGCUCGAAUGCCAUCGUAACAUAGCAGAAUGCCCCGAAUGGGGUUAUGAAAGUUGUCUUGAUCCGGUCGGUCGGAUUCAGCUUGAUCUGGUGAUAGCCUGAAUAGGCGUCUAAGUAGGACAGUAGCUCGAAGCCAGCCAUCGAGUCGAUCACUUGAUCCAUACGGGGCAGAGCAAAAGGAUCCUUGGGGCAUGCCUUGUUUAGGCUCGUGUAGUCGAUACUCAUGCGCCAAGUCUUGUUCUUCUUCAGCACCAGGAAUGGGUUCGCCACCCAAUCCGGGUGGAAGACUUCCAUGAUGAAUUCAAAUGCCAGUAGCCGGGUGAUUUAUUCACCGAUGGUUUUUUGCUUCUCCUCUGAGAAGCGGCGCAACGGUUGAUUAACCAGUUUUGCGUCUGACCGGACGUGCAAGAAGUGCUCGGCGUACUUCCUCGGGACUCGUGGCAUGUCCUUUGGGGCCAUGCGAACAUAUCCCGAUUCUCACGGAGGAAGUCGACGAGCUCAAUUUCCUAUUUGCUGCUGAGACCAGCCCCACCACGACGUACUUGCCGGUGGGGUCGGCCGGGUCCUCGGGCCCCUCUUGGUGUCCUUGCCGGAGGCCGGCUGGAACUGGGCCUGUGUGGCGGGCUGCUUAAGCUUCGGCUCUGAGAGGGGCGCCGUCUCACAGGCUAGUGCCACGAAACGAUCGAUCUGUCACUGCUCCUCGAUGAUAACGAAGGAUUCGGCCAACUUGGAGACGGCCAUGGUGCACUCGGUCGAGUUCUUCUAGUCACCGGAGACGGUGACAAUGUCGUGUGGACCCGGCAGCUUCAUCUUGAGAUAAGCAUAGUGGGAGACAACCAUGAACUUGGCCAGGGGGACGGAACGAGAGCGCAUGGUAGCGGCUAGUGAGGUCGACCACCUCGAACCAUAUGGUCUCGCGACGGAAGUUCUUCGGAUAGGCCGAACAACACGUACAGUCGGACCUUGCUGGUCCGGGAGUGAUAAUCCCCAAGUGCAAGGAAUCAUUGUAGCAAUUUCAAAAGGUGGAAGUGAUAAGUAUGGAGUGUUGCACCCACAAGGAGCUAAAGGUAAGAGCAAUAUUCUCUCAAGAGCUAUCUUCCACUCAUACAACACUAUGUACGCUGAACGUUUGCUUCCAACUAGGAACGAGAAAUGAAACUACGUUGUGGGUAUGAAAAGAAUAGCUUUGCAUGACAUCGGACAACUAAAAUAUAAAAAUAGGUGUUGUUAUCAUAAAGUUAGAAUAUAUUACAAUAUAUUAGAAAUAGUGAGUGUGGAAUAAUGAUGGGUCGGUGUGCGGAAUUGUCCUAGGCAAUUGUUAACAAGAUCGGUAAUCAUUCUUGCAAUUUUAUAUGAGGGAGAGGCAUAAGCUAACAUAAUUUCUCUACUUUGAUCAUAUGCACUUAUGGUUGGAACUCUAGCAAACAUCUGCAACUAUUAAAGAUCAUUAAGGUGAAACCCAACCUUAUCAUUAAAGCAUCUCAACAACCCAGCUACUCGGGUUUAUGCUUGUGUCACUCAAGCAACCCACUAUAAGUGAAUCAUGAACGUAUUGGAACACCAUACAACAAGAGUCCCUCAUGCUUGCGCGACACGGAGAGCACCAUAGGACAACACCAAUAAUAAAGCAUACAACUUAAACCAAUCUAGAUCAUCAAUCGACCCAUAAUACCAAGGGAAUCUACUCAAAACAUCAUAGGAUGGCAACACAUCAUUGGAUCAUAAUAUGUGGCAUGGACCACCUGUUGGAGAACGUCGCAUGGGAAACAAAAAAUUUCCUACGCGCACGAAGACCUAUCAUGGUGAUGUCCAUCUACGAGAGGGGAUGAGUGAUCUACGUACCCUUGUAGACCGUACAGCAGAAGCGUUAGAGAACGCGGUUGAUGUAGUGGAACGUCCUCACGUCCCUCGAUCCGCCCCGCGAACAAUCUCGCGAUCAGUCCCACCAUCUAGUACCGAACGGACGGCACCUCCGCGUUCAGCACACGUACAGCUCGACGAUGAUCUCGGCCUUCUUGAUCCAGCAAGAGAGACGGAGAGGUAGAAGAGUUCUCCGGCAGCGUGACGGCGCUCCGGAGGUUGGUGAUGACCUUGUUUCAGCAGGGCUCCGCCCGAGCUCCGCAGAAACGCGAUCUAGAGGAAAAACCGUGGAGGUAUGUGGUCGGGCUGCCGUGGAAAAGUCGUCUCAAAUCAGCCCUAAAACCUCCGUAUAUAUAGGUGGGAGGGAGGGGGCCUUGCCUUGGGGCUCAAGGAGCCCCAAGGGGGUCGGCCGAGUCCAAGGGGGAGGACUCUCCACCCCCAAACCGAGUUGGACUAGGUUUGGUGGGAGGGAGUCCCCCUCCCUUCCCACCUCCUCCUUUUUUUUUUUUUUUNCCGAGAUUCGAUCGUCAGUAUCCGCAUACCUAUUUCAAUCUCGUUUACCGGCAAGUCUCUUUACUCGUUCCGUAAUACAAGAUCCCGAACUUACACUAAGUUACAUUGCUUGCAAGGCUUGUGUGUGAUGUUGUAUUACCGAGUGGGCCCCGAGAUACCUCUCCGUCACACGGAGUGACAAAUCCCAGUCUUGAUCCAUACUAACUCAACUAACACCUUCGGAGAUACCUGUAGAGCAUCUUUAUAGUCACCCAGUUACGUUGCGACGUUUGAUACACACAAAGCAUUCCUCCGGUGUCAGUGAGUUAUAUGAUCUCAUGGUCAUAGGAAUAAAUACUUGACACGCAGAAAACAGUAGCAACAAAAUGACACGAUCAACAUGCUACGUCUAUUAGUUUGGGUCUAGUCCAUCACAUGAUUCUCCCAAUGACUUGAUCCAGUUAUCAAGCAACAACACCUUGUUCAUAAUCAGAAGACACUGACUAUCAUUGACUAACUGGCUAGCCAACUAGAGGCAUGCUAGGGACGGUGUUUUGUCUAUGUAUCCACACAUGUAAAUGAGUCUUCAUUCAAUACAAUUAUAGCAUGGAUAAUAAACUAUUAUCUUGAUACAUGAAUUAUAAUAAUAACCAUAUUUAUUAUUGCCUCUAGGGCAUAAUUCCAACACCACCAUGUUCAAUUAGGGGAUCACAACGGGUGCGGGAGAGUGGACCGCUCAAAAAAGACGAGGAUGGUGAUGAAGAAGGUGAUGUUGAUGAAGACGGUCACCGCAGCGAUGGUUCCCCCGGUGGCACUCUGGCACCACCGGGAGAGCGGGAGAGAGGGUCUCCACCUUUUGCCUCCUCCUCCAUGGCCUCCCCCAAGGUGGGGAGAGGUUCUCCCUCUGGUUCUUUGCCUCCAUGGUGAUGGUGGCCCCUCCGUCUUCCUCCUCCAUGGUGUCCGGUGAUGGUGACCCCCUCCGGCAGGGUGCCAAAGAGGGCCAAGAUUGGUUUUUCGUGGCUCUGGAGGCUUGCGGUGGCGGAACUCCCGAUCUAGGUUUCUUUCUGGGGGUUUUGGGAUUUAUAUGAUUUUUUGGCAUCGGUCUCACAUCAAGGGGACUCUCGAGGGAUCCACAAGCCACGGGUGUGCCCUAGGGGGUGCCCUAGGCUUGUGACUGCCUCGGGACUCCUCUCUGGUAUCUUUUUGCUCCACUAUUUUUUAUAUUUUCCAAAAAUAUUUUCCGUAAAUUUUCAGCCCAUUCGGAGAACUUUUAUUUCUGCACAAAAACAUCAUCACGGUAGUUCUGCUGAAAACAGCGUGAGUUAGGGUUAGUUCUAAUAAAAUCAUAUAAAAUUAUUGUGAACAUGGCAUGUAUACUUCAUAAAUUAUAGAUACGUUGGAGAUGUAUCAGCAUCCCCAAGCUUAAUUCUUGCUCGUCCUCGAAUAGGGAAAUGAUAAAAGAAACAAUUUAUGAAGUGUGAAUGCUAGCAUAGUGCAUAAAUUUGAUCAAUGAUAGUUCCAAAGACUUGUGCUAGCAUCACUAUAUAUCAUAAACAGUAGCUCAUCUCAUAAAACUUCUCAUGAUGAAGUAACAAGCUAUUCACAUGUUAAAGUAUAGACCAUAAAGUUUCUUGAAAACUAACAAACUAUGCUUUCGGUGACCAAACAUUUGCAAUUCAUCUUAUUUUCGGGAAGGGUCUAUGUAAGAGCUUUUGAUUUAGCAAAUUCCACAUACUCAACUAUCAUAUAGUCUUCCAUGAUUCCUAACACUCAAAUCAUAUUUUUAGAGCAAAUGGCAUUCGUCGAACAGAGAGAAAGAUAGGGGCUUAAAGUGUCGCCUUCCAACUUAUUUAUCAUAUAGAUAGUUGUGAACAAUACUAAUUCAUGAACAAAUAUAUUUGAAUGGACAUAUAUGCUUGGAUCUUUCCCCAGCACAUGAUGUUUGCCAAGAGGAAAAGGCGAAAUAUAGGAAGUGCUGAAGAUCACCAUGAAUCUUGUAUAAAGGUAAGUACUGUAAAGUAAAAGAUAGGCCCUUCGCAGAGGGAAGCAUUGAUUUGCAGAGGUGCCAGAGCUCGAGCUUUUAGAACAGAGAUGAGUAAUAAUUUUGAGUGGUAUGAUCUCAUUGUCAACAUAACAACCGAGAGAUCUCGGUAUCUUCCAUGAUAGAUACAUUAUAGGCAGUUCCCAAACAGAAUGUUAAAUUUUUUACUCCCCCUCCACCAAUCAAUCACACUCCACGGCGAUCCAAAUCCACAAGUACCGUCCAUACAAACAACAAUCUUGGGGUGUUUUGUUUCAUUAUAUUUUGAUUUGAUUUUUGAGCAUGGAACUAGGCAUCCAGAAUACCAGCCACUCUCUCGUGAAUGAUAGUGAAUCAACACAUAUCGUGAGAAUAACCCACCUAGCAUGGAAGAUAUCGAUAGCCUCUACUCACUACAUGAGCGAUUCAGGCAUACAAAACAAAAUAUUAUUUGAAGGUUUAGAGUUUGGCACAUGCAAAUUUACUUGGAAUGGCACAUAAAUACCGCAUAUAGGUAGAUAUAGUGGACUAUCAUGGCAAGAAACUGAGUUUAAGGGUUUUUGGAUGCACAAGUAGUAUCCCUACUUAGUACGAAGUGUUGGCUAGCAAAAGGUUCUAAACAAGCACCACAUGUUGGAGGAUCCAUAACAAUAUAACUUCUAUGAAAAUAUACCCAAACAUAACUCAUUAAGUUGUCUUCCUUGUCCAACUUCAACUAAUUUUGUGAAGUUUGAAAAUAAUUAAUGGGGCUCACAAUCAUAGGAGAUGUCCAAGAUAGAAUAUUUAUAUGUGGAAUCUCUCUUCCUUCAAUAUUCUUUCAUGAAUUGUUCAAGGGACCAAUGCGGUGUUUGCUAACUUUUAAUAAAUUUUAGCACCUAUACUUCUUAUAUGUGAAGUCAUUACUACCCAUGGGAUAAGAAUUCAAAACAUAUAUAAUUUUAAAUUUAUGAUAUCAAAUUUAAUCAACUAUUUACUCAUAGGAUAUAAGUGAAGCACGAGAUUAAAUGACAAAGCUACUCCCAAACAUAUAAGUGGAGAUCAAUGAGUAGUCAAACAAUUAAGUAGCUAUGUGAGGAUUUUCUCCGUCUCUCGCAAUAAAGAUUUUCAGAUCUGAGUAUUUUGUUUAAACAGUAAGCAAAAGAAAAAUAGCACUCCAAGAAUAGGACGUGUCAUGUGAACGAAUAAAAAUUUAGGCUCAACAUAAUCUAACUGAUAGUUCACGAAGAGAGGUGGAUUGCGUAGCCUCCCCAACCUGAGUGUUCUUGAAAUAUUUACUUGGGGUGCCUUGGUCAUCCCCAAGCUUGAGCUUUCGUAUCUUGUUCAAUCCUCUCAUAUCAUGGUUUCACCUAUUCUCAAAAGUUUCAUCCACACAGAUCUCGAAAAUAACUCGUGAGAUAGGUUAGUACACACUAUAAUAAAUCAACUCUUCAUGUACUGCCAAGACAAGUUGUAUAAUAAUUUUCAAACAUCAUCUACUGUUUACUAUCAUUUCCACAAUUUAUAUCUACCAAUAUAUGCUGUGGAAACUAUAGGAUAAGUAGAUAACAAAACUAUGACAGCAAUCUGUCCAAACAGAACAGUCUAUAGCAAUUUAUGAAAACAAUGUACUUCUGUAACUCAAAAUAGUUUGAAAAUUUUGGACAUUCUAUAAAAUUUAUAUGAAAACACUAUGUAAAUAUUUCAGAAACUUUCCACGUUCUAGUAAAAUAUGAAAAUUCCAAUACUAUAAAAAGAGUUUCUGUUUUUACACAGCACACAUCAAACCAUGCAAUGCAAGCAUCCUAAUGCAAUUCUUGGAACUUUUUUAUUGAAAACAAAAUUAUAAAUAACACCUAACAUAAAUAAACAAAACAAAAUGACGCUCCAAGAAAAACUCAUAUUAUGUGACGAAUAAAAAUAUAGCUCUAAGUAAGAUUAUCGAUAGCGUUGGAGACAAAAGAGGAGAUGCUUCCGGAGCAUCCUCAAGCUUAGGCACUCCAGUCUUCCAUGGAUAGGACCUGGGGGGUGCCUUGGGCAUCCCCAAGCUUAGGUUCUUUUCACUCCUUCUUCUCCUCAUAUCGGUGUCUCACCCAAAACUUGAAAACUUCAAUCACACUUAACUUAAUGGAACUUCGUGAGAAGGGUUAGUGUAAUAAAGAUAGAUCAUUCACUUUGGUACUGUGAAGACAAGAUUCAUAAUUGUUACCACAUGAUACCUACUGUAUUCUAUCAUUUCCAUAAUUUAUAUUACUGAAUAUAAGCUGUGGGAACACCAAAAUAAGCAAACUAUGCAUGCAAAACAGAAUCUGUCAAAAAUAGAACAGUCUGUAAAGAUCUGUAGUAUAGCCAUACUUUCCUGCAUCUAAAAAUUCUGACAAAUUAGGACAACCAGAAGUUUUUGGAUAUAAAGACUGUGUCAAAAUUUCAAAUCAUUAUUAUGCUCCAGUAAAAAAUUAAAAUUCAUGUACUAGAGUCAAAAGUUACUGUUUUGGUUCAACAUCAAUUCUACUCAUCUUGUGAGUCAUCCCAAAGGCUUUACUUGGUACUUUAUUGAAAUAAAAGACACAAAACAUGAUUACUACAGUAUCUUAAUCAUGUGAACUCAAAAAAACAGAAGGUAAACGUGUUGGGUUGUCUCCCAACAAGGGCUUUUCUUUAAUGUCUUUUAGCUGGGCAUGGUUAUUUCAAUGAUGCUCUUCCAAGCCUAAAUACGAUGAUGAUUUUAUUCACACUCUAAAAGAUAUAAGUGAAGUUCAUAUAGAAUUCUACAAUUAAUAUAGAUCAACCAAUAUCCAUGCUGAAAAUAUAUAAGUGAAGCACACGAAGCAUUCUAUAAGGCCAUACUCAAAAGAUUUAAGUGAAGCACGAAGAGCAUUCUAUAGAGCCAUACUCAAAAGAUUUAAGUGAAGCACAAAGAGCAUUCUACAAUGCCAUACUCAAAAGAUUUAACUGAAGCACAUGAAGCAUUAUAUAAAUCAAUAAAGGACUAUCUCAUGCUAGACGGGUGCAUAAAAGGAGAAGAAAAACACUAAGGACACAUAUCAUGUGAACAAAACAAAAACCGAGGUAUACCGAUAAUUGUGGAAGAAUAAAGAUGGGAUGCCUUCCAGGGCAUCCCCAAGAUUAGAUGCUUGAGCCUCCUUGGAAUAUUUACUUGGGGUGCCUUGGGCAUCCCCAAGAUUGAACUCUUGUCUCCGUGUAUUCAUCUUUUAUUGAUACCUCCUCGAUCUUCGAAAACUUCAUUCAUACAGAACUUAACAAAACCCUCGUGAGAUCCGUUAGUAAAAUAAAGCAAAAUACUACUUUAAGUACUGUUGUGAACUCAUUCCAAAUUCAUAUUAGAAUUAUAUCUACUGUAGUCCAACUUCACAAUGGUUCAUACCCCCAGUACUACCCAUAUAUUCAUCAAAACAAGAGAACAAUGCAUAGAAAACAAAAUUUGUCAAAAAGAGGAGAGUCUAUAGUAAUCUGGAAACUUUGUAUACUACUGUAAAUCAAACAAUUCCGAAUAAGUUGGAAGAAAUAAAAAAUAUUCAUAGAAGUAGUGUGUAAAAAGUUCAGAAACUUUUUACAUUCCAGUAAAAAACGUAAAUUCACGCACUACAACGAAAGUUUCUGUUUUUGCACUUCACACACCAAACAAGCAAUCUAAUCAUCCUAAUGGCAAAUCUUGGCAUGUUACUUUUAUAAUACAAUGGAUAUAUACAAGGGGAUAAUUAUUUUUGAGAAACUUCCAUCAAAAAUUCUACAUUGCUUACAUGAUCAUGAACACAAGUGUUCAAGGUCGACCCUCACUUCCCCAAUGCACAACCUUCCAAUCACUUCUCUUUUUGAAAACUUCUUAGGCAUAAGAGGCAAGUAAAUAUUUUUGUAUUUUUAAUUAUUUUUUUAGUUUCACCCACAAAUAAAUAAAUCAAAAUGGGAAAAAAUCUACUUAGUGAAGAAAUCAAACAAGCACAUUCGAGAAUAUCAACCCCACGCUAUUGCUCCCCGAAAACGGCGCCAGAAAAGAGCUUGAUAAUCCCCAAGUGCAAGGAAUCAUCGUGGCAAUUUCCAAAGGUGGAAGUGAUAAGUAUGGACUGUCGAACCCACAAGGAGCUAAAGGUAAGAGAAAUAUUAUCCCAAGUCCUAUAUGCCACUGACACUACUCUACGUACGCCGAACAUUUGCUUCCAACUAGGAAGGAGAAAUAAAACUACGUUGUGGGUAUGAAGAGAAUAGCUUUGCAUGACAUCGAAGAACUAAAAUAUAAAAAUAGGUGCUUUUAUCAUAAAGCUAGAAUAUGUUACAAUAUAUUAUAAAUAGCGAGUGUGGAAUAAUGAUGGGUCGGUGUGCGGAAUUGUCCUAGGCAAUUGUUAAGUAGAUUGGUAAUCAUUAUUGCAAUUUUACAUGAGGGAGAGGCAUAAGCUAACAUACUUUCUCUACUUGGAUAAUAUGCAGUUAUGAAUGGAACUCUAGCAAGCAUCCGCAACUACUAAAGAUCAUUGAGGUAAAACCCAACAAUAGCAUCAAGUCCCCUUUCUCCCAUACGCAACAACCCACCUACUCGGGUUUAUGCUUCUGUCACUCUAGCAACCCACUAUAAGAGAUCAUGAACGUAUUGCAACUCCCUACAGCGAGAAUCCCUCACGCUUGCACGACACGGAGAGCGUCAUAAGACAGAACCAAUAAUAAAUCACGCGACUCAAACCAAUCUAGAUCAUCAACCAACCCAUAAGACAAAGGGAAACUACUCAAAACAUCAUACCAUGGCAACACAUCAUUGGAUCAUAAUAUGUGGCAUGAAGCACCAUUUUCAUGUAGGGGAUUAUAGCGGGAUGCGGGAGAGUGGACCGCUAAAAAGAAGAUGAGGAUGGUGAUGAAGAAGGUGAUGUUGAUGAAGACGAUCACCGCGGUGAUGGUUCCCUCGAUGGCACUCGGCACCACCGGGAGAGAGGGGGAGAGGAUCUCCCCCUUGUGGCUCCUCCCCCAUGGUUUUCCCCCCAAGGUGGGGAGAGGUUCCCCCUCUAAUCCUUGGCAUCCAUGGUGACGAUGGCCCCUCCGUCUUCCUCCUCCAUGGUCUCCGGCGAUGGUGACCCCUCCGGCAGCGUGCCGGAGUGGGUCAAGAUUGAUUUUUCGUGGCUCUAGCUUGCGGUGGCGGAACUCCCGAUCUAGGUUUCUUUCUGGGGGUUUUGGGUUUUAUAGGAAUUUUUGGCGUCAGUCUCACGUCAAGGGGACUCCUGAGGGACUCCUCGGGAGUCCUCUCUGGUAUCUUUUUCCUCCAGUAUUUUUUAUAUUCUCCAAAAAUAUUCUUUGUAAAUUUUCAGCCCAUUCCGAGGAUUUUUAUUUAUGCACAAAAACACCACAUUAGUUCUGCCGAAAACAGCGUCACUCCGGGUUAGUUCUAAUAAAAUCAUACCAAAAUCAUAUAAAAUUAAUGUAAACAUGGCAUGAAUACUUUAUAAAUUAUAGAUACGUUGGAGACGUAUCAAGGAGCAAGAGUGGCUGGGGACGAUGUCGUGGAAAACUGUCCGGGUCGGCUGGAGCUCGGACUCCAGGAUGCCGAGCUUGUCCAUGGUGUCGCGGUAGAGGAUGUUGAUGCUGCUACCUCCCUUGAUGAGCAUCGGUGCGAAACCGGGAGGUGCUCCGUGUGGAGACGAAGGUGGGGUCGAGAACCAGCGCGUAUCCGCCUCGCGUGGGCAUCACAGGAGAAUGGUCUUGGCACCGAAGGUGACGGGCUUGUUCAACCAUUGCAUGUACUCUGGGACAGGAGGAACGAUGAUGUUGACCUACAGCGCGUGACGGCGCUCGCUGUGCUUGUCGUCGUCUUCAGUGGUGAAGACACGUACGUCGCGUCUUGCUGGGGGUAGUCGUCCCGAGCGCCGCCGGCUCCCAGAGCGGGUGGUGGUGGUGGCGGCUGCGACACGGGAGGCAAAGCCUCGUCCCGCACGAUCUUGGUGAACCAGCUGCACUGGCGUCCCGUGUGCGCUGCGGGCUUGGCCCCGUUGUCGAACUUGCAGGGUCCGUCGAGCAUGGACUCGAAUUUGUACUUGCUGUGCCAUGGAUGCUUGCCCUCAUUGGUGCACUGACGCCGGCUGGCGCCUUGGCCGUCAUCCAUACAGCCGUCGGCUGGUGCCUUGGCGGGCGUACGGCUGGUCUGCCUUACGCUUGCCCUGGUCUGGCUGGUAUCGGACGGCAGCCGGGGUGGCAGCCGGCUUGGCGGCGGUCGGCUUGGCGGUCAUGUCGACAUGCACUCGGAGCUUCAUGGAAGACUCGGUCAUGGCGUAUUGGUCGACGAUGGACAUUAGUUGCACCAGGGUCGCCGGCUCCCGGCGCACGAGUUUGCUUGAGGAGGGUGUCGUCCCGGCAGCCGUAGAUGAAGUACUGCAUCGCUUGCAACUCGUGGAUGCCAUCGCAGGAAUUUCGGAGCUCGUCCCAUCGCGUUACGUAGUCGUGGAGAAGCUCGUCCGGCCCGUGCACGCACAACGUGAGCUGGUGAGGCCGGCCCGGACGCUUGUAGGUGCCGAUGAAGUUGCACACAAACGUCUCCUAGAAGUCCAGCCAGCCGUUGACGCUGUCGGCCGGAAGGCUGUUAAGCCAGGUCCGAACCGAGCUCAGUAGCAUGUGGGGCGCGUAGCACACUGCCACACGCUUGUUGCCGCUGGCGAUGCCGACAGCGGUGGUGUAGUCGAUCAACCAUUCUUCCUGCUUGGUCAAACCGUUGUACUUGGGAGUGUCGCGCGCCAAGGUUAAGCCCUUAGAAAACGACUCCUUUAGGAAGCGCGGCCCGAAGCAGGACCGGCCAGCUGUGCCUUCCUCCUCGGCGGCUUGGGACCCGGCGAUGCACGCCAUAUGGAAGCGGGCAUCCUGGUCGUCCAGCUGACGCACGUCGACACGCUUGGAUACGGGGUGACGGGAAGGCGGAUGCUCGGCCUCCCGGUCGCGGUCCUCGCAUUGAUUCCUCCGUGUGGGCUGGUGGUCGCCCUGGCCAGUCGGCUCCCUCACACGGCUGUCGACAACUGAUGGGUUGUGGUCUCGCCGACCGUGUCUGCCCGCGCCAACUGUCAUGGUGCUGGUCGGUGUUGGCAGGUAAAGAUGCGUGAUUCGGGUCCCGCCGACUGGCCGCAAGCUAGUAGGGGCCAAUGAGGUCGUUGUUGGUCCUCGAGCGGGAGCCAGUCGUGCCGCGGAGCGACUGGCUUGCCUGCUCGUGGUGCGCGUUGGCAGCCUCCAUGAGAGCGCGGAUGUGCUCCUGCUAUGCCUCAAGGGUCGGGCCGUCGAGCCCCCUAGCUAGCCGAGGGCGGCCUCUGCGGCCCUCAUGUUCUUGACGGGGGUAUCGUAGACGGGGCAGCCGCCUACCAGCUACUGGCCAACGGCACCGCCGCAGCGCCGCACUUCCGCCACCCGGCUGGGUGCGAUGUCAGCCAGCGUGAGGCCAUGGGCCACAUUGAAAUCGUGCUGAGCAGCCUCGAACUUGCUUUGGGUCGCCUCCAACGCUUCCGCCUCCGCGAGAAGGCGCUCGCGGUGGUUGUCCAGUUCCGCGGUUGCGGCCGCAGGGUCAGCCACAACCAGGAUGGGCACGCGUAGUGUGUCUAGUGAAGCGCAAAGAGGGGUGCGGUACGCGGACGUACCACCCAGGGAGAUGGCAAUCAUUACCUCCACACGGAUGCAUAGGACGUCGAUGUCGCUAGAGAGGUCGUCGUCGGACGACGACAUGACAUCACCACAUGACGGCAGACGACGGGUUACUCGUCGGAGAUGACGGCGACAUAGAAGCGGUGGGACCCGAAGGCGACGAAGGAGCCGUUGUCGGGGAAGUCUGCAUCCUCGAGGCGAUGGGCGUUGUCCUUGACACAGUUGAGUGCGUCGUAGCACAGGAGCAAGCCAUGCGCCACGCGCUCGCCAGAAAGGGUUACGGGUCCCGCCCAGAACGUCACUCCGGCCUGCAUCGCUGCCGGCCCUACGGUGGGCACCAACUAUCAUAGUAUUUCCGCGGCAGAUGCCAGGGGGUGGCUUAGAACAUGGUUUGGGGCCGAUGGGUGUGAUACAUCUCCACCGUAUCUAUAAUUUAUGAACUAUUCAUGCCAUGUUUACAAUAAUUCUAUAUGAUAUUGGUAUGAUAUUAUUAGAACUAACCCGGAGUGACGCUGUUUUCAACAAAGCUACCGUGUUGUUAUUUUUGUGCAGAAAUAAAAGUUCUCAGAAUGGGCUGAAAAUUUACGGAGAAUAUUUUUGGAAAAUAUGAAAAAUAAUGGAGCAAAAAGAUACCGGAGAGGAGUCCCGAGGCAGUCACCAGGGCGCGACCCCCCCUAGGUCGUGCCCCUGGCUUGUGGGCCCGUCGAGCACUCCCGUGACAUGGUUCCAACGCCAAAUAUUCUUAUAAAUAUAGAAACCCUCGAAAAGAAACUUUGAUCAGGAGUUCCCCCGCAGCAAGCCUCCAGAGCCAUGAAAAACCAAUCUUGGCCCGCUCUCGCACCCUGCCGGAGAGGGCCACCAUCACCGGAGACCAUGGAGGAGGAAUACGGAGGGGCCAUCAUCACCAUGGAGGCGAAGGACCAUAGGGAGAACCUCUCCCCACCUUUGGGGGAGGCCACGAAGGAGGAGGCACAAGGGGGAGAACCUCUCCACCUCUCUCCUGGUGGUGCCAGACGGCCACAUGGGGAACCAUCGCCGCGGUGAUCGUCUUCAUCAACAUCACCUUCUUCAUCACCAUCCUCAUCUUCUUUUAGCAGUCCACUCUCCCGCACCCCAAUGCCAUCCCCUACUUGAACAUGGUGCUCUAUGCCACAUAUUACGAUCCAAUGAUGUGUUGCCAACCUAUGAUGUUUUGAGUAGAUUCCCUUUGUCUUAUGGGUUGAUUGAUGAUCUAGAUUGGUUUGAGUUGCAUGCUUUAUUAUUGGUGUUGUCCUAUGGUGCUCUCCGUGUCGCGCAAGCAUGAGGGAUUCCCUUUGUAGGGUGUUGUAAUACGUUCAUGAUUCNNNNNNNNNNNNNNNNNNNNNNNNNNNNNNNNNNNNNNNNNNNNNNNNNNNNNNNNNNNNNNNNNNNNNNNNNNNNNNNNNNNNNNNNNNNNNNNNNNNNNNNNNNNNNNNNNNNNNNNNNNNNNNNNNNNNNNNNNNNNNNNNNNNNNNNNNNNNNNNNNNNNNNNNNNNNNNNGGUUGCUUGAGUGACAGAAGCAUAAACCCGAGUAGGUGGGUUGUUGCGUAUGGGAUAAAGCGGACUUGAUGCUUUAAUGCUAUGGUUGGGUUUUACCUUAAUGAUCUUUAGUAGUUGUGAUGCCUACUAGAGUUCCAACCAUAAGUGCAUAUGAUCAAAGUAGAUAAAGUAUGUUAGCUUAUGCCUCUCCCUCAUAUAAAAUUGCAAUAAUGAUUACCCAUCUUGUUAACAAUUGCCUAGGACAAUUGCGCACGCCGACCCAUCAUUAUUCCACACUCUCUAUUUGUAACACAUUAUAAUAUAUUCUAACUUUAUGAUAAUAGCACCAAUUUUCAUAUUUUAGUUCUCCAAUUUCAUGCAAAACUAUUCUCUUCAUACCCACAACGUAAUUUUAUUACUCGUUCCUAGUUGGAAGCAAACGUUCGGCGUAUGUAGAGUUGUAUCAGUGGCAGAUAGGAGAGAAUAUUGCUCUUACCUUUAGCUCCUUGUGGGUUCGACACUCCAUACUUAUCAUUUCCACCUUUGGAAAUUGCUACGAUUAUUCCUUGCACUUGGGGAUUAUCAAGCUCUUUUCUCGCGCCGUUGCCGGGGAGCAAUAGUGUGGGGUUGAUAUUCUCAUGUGUGCUUGUUUGCUUUCUUCACUAAGUAUAUUUUGUUUUCCCUUUUUGAUCUAUUUAGUUGUGGUUGAAACAAACAAAAAAAUUGAAUAAUGAAAAAUACAAAAAGAAUUACUUGCCUCUUAUGCCUAAGAAGUUUUCAAAAAGGGAAGUGAUUGGAAGGUUGUGCAAUGGAGAAGUGAGGAUCGACCUUGAACACUUGUGUUCAUGAUCAUGGAAGCAAUGUAGAUUUUUUUUCAUGGAAGUUUCUCAAAAAUAAUUAUCCCCUUAUAUAUAUAUCCAUUGUAUUAUAAAAAUAAUGUGCCAAGAUUUGCCUCUAGGAUGAUUAGAUUGCUUGUUUGGUGUGUGGUGUGCAAAAUAGAAACUUUGGCUCCACUCCGCGAGUUUACGUUUUUUACUGGAAUGUCAAAAGUGUCUGAAAUUUUUACAAAAAAAUUAUUUCGUGCUAAUUAGUCAGAAUAUUUUGAGUUACAGAAGUAUACGAAGUUUUCAGAUUGCUACAAAUUGUACUGUUUUGACAGAUUCUGUUUUCUUACGAUUGUUCUCUUGUUUUCAUGAAUCUAUGGGUAGUACCGGGGGGUAUGAACCAUGGUGAACUUGGACUACAUUAGAUAUAAUUCUAAUAUGAAUUUGGAAUGAGUUCACAACAGUACUUAAAGUAGUAUUUUUCUUUAUUAUACUAACGGAUCUCACGAGAGUUUUAUUAAGUUUUGUAUGAAUGAAGUGUCCGAAGAUCGAGGAGGUAUCGUUAAAAGAUGAAUACAGGGAGACAAGAGUUCACGAUUGGGGAUACCCAAGGCACGCCAAGUAAAUAUUUCAACGAGGCUCAAGCAUCUAAUCUUGGGGAUGCCCUCGAAGGCAUCCCAUCUUUAUUCUUCAACAAUUAUCGGUAUACCUUGGUUUUUGUUUUGUUCACAUGAUAUGCGUCCUUAGUGUUUUUCUUAUCCUUUUAUGCACCUUUCUAGUAUGAUAUAGUCCUUCAUUGAUUUAUAGAAUGCUUCAUGCGCUUCACUUAAAUCUUUUGAGUAUGGCUUUGUAGAAAGCUCUUGGUGCUUCACUUAAAUCUUUUGAGUACGGCUCUAUAGAGUGCUCUUCGUGCUUCACUUAAAUCUUUUGAGUAUGGCCUUAUAGAACGCUUCGUGUGCUUCACUUAUAUAUUUUCAGCUUAGAUAUUGGUUGAUCUAUAUUAAUUGUAGAAUGCUCUAUGAACUUCACUUAUAUCUUUUAGAGUAUGAAUAAAAUUAUCAUCGCAAUUAGGCUUGGACGAGCAUCAUUGAAAUGAUCAUGCCUAGCUAAAAGGCAUUAAAGAAAAUCGUUUAUUGGGAGAUGAUGUCCCACAAGCGUAUGGGAUCACAGCAGUUUUCGAGGGUAGAGUAUUAGACCCAAAUUUAUUGAUUCGCUCACAAGGUGAAGCUAAAGGAUAUUCUCAAGUAUUGGCAGCUGAGUUGUCAAUUCAACCACACCUGAAAAAUUAGUGUCUGCGAGCAAAGUAUCAGUAGCAAGGUAGUAUGAUAGCAACGGCACCAGAAAAAGCUUUGGCAAUGAUACGUCUCCAUCGUAUCUACUUUUCCAAACUCUUUUGCCCUUGGUUUGGACUCUAAUUUGCAUGAUUUGAAUGGAACUAACCUGGACUGACGUUGUUUUCAGCAGAAUUGCCUUGGUGUUAUUUUUGGGCAGAAAUCAAAGUUCUGAGAACGUCCUGAAAAUUUACGGGGAACAUUUUUGGAAAAUAUGAAAAAUACCUGCGCAAAGAUCCACCUCAGGGGGUGGGCGAGUGGGCCACAAGCCCUGCCUCCACCACCCCCCUGGUGGCGGUGGAUAAGCUUGUGGGGCCCACACGACUCUGCCGCCCCCAAUCUCAGGUCUAUAAGUUCACUUUCGUCCCAGAAAAAAAUAAAAAGAGAAGAUUUCGUCGCAUUUGCGAUAUGGAGGCGCCGCCACAACCUGUUCUUCAUCUGGAGGGCAGAUGUGGAGUCCGUCUUGGGCUCCGGAGAGGGGAAAUCGUCACCAUCAUCAUCAUCAACCUUCUUCCCUCUCCAAUUCCAUGAAGCUCUUCGUCGUUCGUGAGUAAUCUAUUCGUAGGCUCGCUGGGCGGUGAUGGGUAGGAUGAGAUCUAUCAUGUAAUCGAGUUAGUUUUGAUGGGGAUUGAUCCCUAGUAUCCACUAUGUUCUGAGAUUGAUGUUGCUACUACUUUGCCAUGCUUAAUGCUUGUCACUAGGGCCCGAGUGCCAUGAUUUCAGAUCUGAAAUUAUUAUGUUGCCACCAAUAGAUGUGUGUUUUAGAUCCGAUCUUGCAAGUUGUAGUUACCUACUAUGUGUUAUGAUCCGGCAACCCCGGAGUGACAAUAACCGGAACCACUCCCGGUGAUGACCAUAGUAUGAGGAGUUCAUGUGUUCACCAAGUGCUAAUGCGUUGGUCCGGUUCUUUAUUAAAAGGAGAACCUUAAUAUCCCAUAGUUUCCUUUUGGACCCCGCUGCCACGGGAGGGAUGGACAAUAGAUGUCAUGCAAGUUCUUUUCCCUAAGCAUGUAUGACGACACACGGAAUGCAUGCCUACAUCACAUUGACGAACGGGAGCUAGCCACAUAUCUCUCCGUGUUAUAAUUGUUGCAUGAUGAAUAUCACCCAAACAAAUCACCGACCCAUUGCCUACGAGUUUGUCCUACUGUUGAUGUUACUUGUCUUGCUCUGCUGCUGUUACUUGUCUUGCUCUGCUGCUACUGUUGCUACUACUGUCGCUUACCACUGGGUUACUUGCUACUUUGCUGUUACUACUUUGCUUGCAGAUACUAAUCUUUCAGGUGUGGUUGAAUCUGACGCAUUCAGCUGCUAAUACACGAGAGUAUUCUCUCACCUCCUGUCUGGCGAAUCAACAAAUUUGGGUCGAAUACUCUACCCUAGAAAACUGCUGCGAACCCACGCGCUGGUGGGCCGUCAACAACAUUCUUCUAGUUUCAUUGCCAGGGAGUGCUGGUAGCAUUCUUCUGGUUCCGUUGCAGGAGAAGGUUUGUUGUCACAGAAUCCGCAUUCGUCUAGCUAUUGCCAGAGAGUGCCAGUCAGCAUUUUUCUGGCGCCGUUGCCGGGGAGGUAUUGCUAUAUUCUCUGAGUCACUUGGGAUUUAUAUCUAAAGAUCACUAUGAAGAAUCUGAAGGAUCCAAAAACCAAAGUCUUGCCCUCAACUACGAGGGGAGGUAAGGAACUGCCAUCUAGCUCUGCACUUGAUUCACCUUCUGUUAUGAGUAAGUUUGCGACAUCACCUCCUUCUAGAAAUCUUGAUAUGUCGCCUGUGCUUGAUGAUGCUACUACUAGAGAUGCUAUGCUUGAUACUAUGCCUGAUACUGCUUUGUCUGAUGAUGUUAGAGAUACUAUGCAUGAUACUGCUUUGCCUGAUAUUGCUAGAGAUACUAUGCUUGAUAUUGCUAGAGAUGCUAUGCUUGAUACUGCUUUGCCUGAUGAUGCUAUGCUUGAUACUGCUAGAGAUACUACUUUGCCUGAUGUUCCACUAGGGGUAUUCCUUGAUGCUCAUAUUGCUAGAGUUACUUCCAAUGAUCGUGAUGCUUCUGAAACUGCCGAUACUAUUGAGAUAGAACCUGCUUUUGCUCCUGCUAGAUCUAGCUUUCCUAGAUAUGAAUUGCCUGAUAUACCUGAGGGUUACGUUAUGGAGGGAGAGAUAGCUGAGGAUUUUCUUGCAUGUAAGGAUGCCUAUGACACUGAGAAAUUACUUCUCAAGUGGAAGGAAAAAUCUCUGAAAGCUAGGAUGAAAUACGACCCGAAGUUUGCCACUUCACCUAUCUUUAUCACCCAUAAGGAUUAUGAAUUCUCUGUCGACCCCGAGAUAAUCUCUCCAGUCGAAUCUGAUCCUUUCCACGGUUAUGAGUCUGAGACGGUCGUAGCCCAUCUUGCCAAACUACACGAUAUAGCCACCCUUUUCACUAAUGAGGAGAAGAUCCGCCACUACUAUAUCCUUAAGUUGUUUCCUUUUUCCCUGAAGGAUGAUGCUAAAGCCUGGUUCACCUCUCUUGCUCCUGGAUGUGUGAGUAGUCCCCAGGAUAUGGUCUAUUACUUCUGUGAGAAAUAUUUUCCUGCCCAUAAGAGGCAAGCUGCCUUGCAGGAAAUAUACAACUUUGCUCAACUCCAAGAAGAGAGUCUUCCACAAGCUUGGGGGAGGCUCGUCCAGCUACAGAAUGCUUUGCCUGAUCACCCUCUUAAGAAGAACGAGAUACUUGAUAUCCUCUAUAACGGACUUAUCGAUGCCUCUAGAGACCAUCUAGAUAGUUGUGCCGGUUGUGUUUUUAGGGAACAAACUGCAGAACAAGCUGAGACCCUACUGAAUAACAUCUUGAUCAACGAUAAUGUUUCGACUAUUCCCGAACCACGUCCUAAGCCAACUCCUAAGAAAUAAGGUAUUCUAUUCCUCAGUCCCGAAGAUAUGCAAGAAGCCAAGAAAUCUAUGCAAGAGAAAGGCAUUAGAUCUGAAGAUGUCAAAAAUCUACCACCUAUCGAAGAGAUCCAUGGUCUCAAUAACCCGAUACAGGUAGUAGAAGUAAAUUCUCUGCGUAGGUUUGAUGAGAGUGAUAUUCGUUUUGACGAACCUGCUAGCCUAUGCUUUGAUGAAUUUGACAACUUUGUUGCCAAACAACAGAGUUUCAGUGAUUAUGUUAGCAGACAUUUGGAACAAAGUACUCGUAUGCUUAGCCAUUUAAGUGCUUGUGUAGACAGAAAUGUCAAUGAUCUGAAGCUUCUGACUAAAAAUGCCUCUAUGAUUACUACUCAGGUAGAAAAAGUACUUAAAGCUUAGAAUGACUUGCUCAAUGAAUUAAAUGACAACUCUGUCAGAGUCAUUACUAGAGGAGGCAAAAUGACUCAGGAACCUUUGUAUCCUGAAGGUCAUCCUAAGAGAAUUGAUCAAGAUUCUCAAGGAAUCAAUGCUGAUACACCCAGUCAUCCUAAGGAGAAGAAGAAGGAUGAUAGACACCUACAUGCCAGUUCACCAAAUACUGGCACACCUGAAGAACCUAAUGAUAUUUCUGCGUCUGAUGCAGAAACACAAUGUGGUGAUGAACAUGAACCUGGUGACAAUAUGGAUAGCGAUGUUCAUAAUAAUGCUCAACCUAGCAAUGAUGAGGAUGUGGAGAUUGAACCUACGGUUAAUCAUGAUAAACCACAACCUAAGAGAUACGAUAAGAAUGACUUCACUGCUAGGAAGCAUGGUAAAGAAUGGGAGCCAUGGGUUCAGAGAUCUAUGCCCUUUCCUCCUAAGCCAUCCAAGAAAAAGGAUGAUGAGGAUUUUGAGCGCUUCGUUGAGAUGAUAAGACCCAUCUUUCUGCAGAUGCGGUUAACUAAUAUGCUCAAGAUGUCUCCGCAUGCCAAGUACAUGAAAGAUAUCGUGACUAAUAAACGGAAGAUACCAGAUCUUGAGAUCUCCACCAUGCUUGCCAAUUACACUUUCAAAGGUGGAACUCCUAAGAAACUUGGUGAUCCCGGAGUGCCCACUAUACCUUGUUCCAUUAAAGGAAACUACGUAAGAACUGCCUUAUGUGACCUUGGAGCCGGUGUUAGUGUUAUGCCGCUCUCUCUUUAUCGUAGACUUGAGUUGGAUAAGUUGACACCCACUAAAAUUUCUCUGCAAAUGGCCGACAAAUCAACUGCUUUUCCUAUCGGCAUUUGCGAGGAUGUGCCUGUUGUGGUUGCUAAUACCACUAUCUUAACAGACUUUGUUAUCUUGGAUAUUCCCGAGGAUGAUGCCAUGGCUGUCAUCCUCGGAAGACCCUUUUUAAACACUGCAGGGGCUGUUAUAGAUUGCAACAAAGGCAAUGUCACUUUCCAUGUCAACGGUAAUGAGCACACAGUGCACUUUCCGAAGAAACGAUAUCAACUACAUUGCAUCAAUGCUAUUGAAAAGACUUCAUCGAUUCUUAUUGGGAGCUUUGAAUGCCCUAUUCCUCGUGUCAAGAUGAAGUAUGAUUUGCUUGUUGGGGAGAUACAUAUCCCCAUUGAGGUGACUUAGUGGCUAUUCGAAAAUUCUCCGUUCUCUCUUGCGAUUCGAGAAGGUUUUUUCAUGAGGACUUGAUCAACCCAUUGACGGAUUUCUUUCGAUGACCAUGAAAUGGAUGAAUCAAAGAGUCACAUACCUCUGUUUUGAGCUUUCAUUUUCUGUUGCUUAGAAGAAAAAUGAUGGAAUUAGUUUAGCUUUUCCUGUUUUCUCUUUUAGCGUCCCGGAGAAAAAUACCUCGAAAAUAAAAGUUCUCCGAUGGUCUUGAAAAUUUAGUUUGAUUUUUUCUGGAAUUUUUGAAAAUUACUGGGCCUGAGAGAUGGCCUGGGGGCGAGACCAGUGGGCCACAAGCCCUGCCACCGCCACCCCCCUGGUGGCGGAGAGAAAGCUUGUGGGGCCCACACGGACCCCCUCCACUCAUUCCAGCUCCCAGCCUCUUCUUCCACCUCCAGAAAAAAAUUGUUUCGCAGCUCAAACCCGUGUUCUUGCUCAUUUGGCUGUGAUUUUGGAUCUCCUUGCUCAAAGCACCAUUCUCCGAACCGUUCUGGGGAAAUUACUCCUUGGUAAGUGACUCCUCCAUUGGUCCAAUUAGUUUUUGCUCUAGUGCUUUAUCCUUCGCGUAUUCUUGCUACCUUGGUGACCCUGUUCUUGAGCUAGAAAAGUUUAUUUUAGCUAGACCCAAGUAGUUUUAGCGCGUGAUACGGUCUCUAGGCACUAGUAGGAGUAGUUGCUACAAGUUGGGUUAAUCUUUUUUCACUUUUCUUUCGAAGUCUCUAAACAUUUCAGAAUUUUUCAGAGCUAGAAAAAGGAAAAGAUGAAGAGGUUCUUGAGAGGCUCUUCAAGCCGUAACCCCAAGGAGGAUGAGAAGAACCACCCCAAGUAUGUAGUCCCUCGAGUCACAGAAGUUCGAGCGUGCGAGUGGCCAAGUGAUGAAUUUUUGCGCGCCACCGGACUUUAUGAAGACUUUUACUACUUGGUGGAGAACGCGGGUCUUACCGCGUUCGUUGAAGAUAAGUGCUCACAAUACCUCUUCCUCACCAAUAUUUUUGUUCAAAGCUUCAACUUUUAUCCGAGGAAGAAUCCUCGCAUGGUUGAGUUCAUGAUAUACGACAUCCCCCAGUGCAUGACACUACAGGAUUUUUGGAAUGUAUGCAAAUUACCUUGUGUUGGCGAUAUCCGUGACCCUCGUCCACAGGACUUGGAGGAUUUCAUUGGUUCUACUGCUGUUGGAGAGGAGAGAGGAGUGUCUCGCGCUAGAAUUGUUAGCAUACAUUUUCCUAUGCUCCGGUAGUUCUCACUAUUUGUGGGAAAAUGUUUGAUUGGCCGUGGGGAGGCUGGAUCACUUAGUUCUCCAGACCUUGCAGUUUUACGCGAAGACCUUUAUAACGAUAAGGCUUAUAGCCUAGGUGUUAUAGUGGCCCAGCGGUUGAACACCAACCGUUCCAAGGGUGUCGUCUAUGGAGGUAUCUAUGCUACCCGUCUUGCCAGACACUUUGAGAUACCCAUUAGACUGGGAGAGGAAGGAGAGAUGCUUCUCCCCGAGAAAUAUCUGGAUUAUGACAGCAUGGUUCGCCAUGAUUAUCUGGAUAGAGAUGCUAGUAUAUGGAUGAUUUAUAACCUGGUAUUUAGUCAGGGUACUCGAGAGACUAUUACUUUGCCUGCCCCUUCUUUGUUUGAUCUUCAUGCAGACAGGUACACUAUUAUGCCCUCGGACAUCUACGCAUAUUGGGGCCUGGCCCAACCACACGCGCCCGUGCCCGAGCCGUCAGUCGAGUAUCAGACGCCAGUUUAUCAGUGGGAGCCAGAGGAGCUCACACAGCAGUGGCAUCCACAGUCUGCUCCGGAGUAUCCUGGAGCUGGUGAAUUCCCACCAUGGGAGUAGUCCAAGCUAGGCCAAAAGCCUAAGCUUGGGGGAGUACGUGUUCUCACCGACUUUACAUUCAUGCUUAUGCUUUCACUUUGUUAGCCGGUGUUUACACUUUGCCACUGUAUUAUCCAUGCUAGUUUAUUUUUUUUUCUUGUUUUCUUGUUUUGUGUCCUUUUGAGAAAAUCCAAAAAGAUUUUUCUUUCUUCUUUUGCUUGUUGGGAGCUUUCCCGUGUAAAUAGUGUUCUUUUUCUUUGGGUCAAGGUAGAAGAUAUUGGUUACAAUGUUUAGUGGUUCUUGCAUGCAUACCUGUUUAGCUUUCAAAGAGCCAUAUUACCUUGUCUUCUCCUUUGUGUUUGCCUGCAGAUUCACCUUAGUCCAAUGCGCGAGCACUCUUAUUAUUGUUCACAUCGUUCGGUCAUGCAAAUGAAAGGCAAUAAUGAUGAUAUAUGAUGAAGUGACUAAGACUGAAAAGCUGGUAUGAGCUCUAUCUAUUUUGUUUUUGUAAAUAUGACUAGCUUGUCAUCCCAGAUUCAACUUUGUUGUGAGAGAACCAUGUUUGCAAUGACAACUUUGAGAUCAUAGUUUCUGAUUCCAUGCUUAUUUAGCUAGGAGCUUAUAAUGGUUUGUCUUGAAUGCCAACAUAGAUUUUGAGAUGACUAUGAUGUAGUAUGAUAGGAUGGUAUUCUCCUUUGAAUGUUUCAAGUGGCUUGACUUGGCGCAUGUUCAUGCAUGUAGUUGAAACAAAAUCAACAUAGCCUCUAUGAUGUUCGUUUUCAUGGUGAUUUAUAUCCUAUUCAUGCUUGCAUUCAAUGUUAGUCAAACGCAUUGCAUCUUGAUGACUGUUGUCGCUCUCUAGUUGGUCGCUUCCCAGUCUUUUGCUAGCCUUCACUUGUACUAAGCGGAAUACUGCUUGUGCAUCCACUUCCAUAAACCCAAGAGUUUUUCCAUGAGAGUCCACCAUACCUCCCUAUUUGCGGUAUCUACCUGCCGUUCCAAGUGAAUUUGCAUGUGACAUUCUCUAAACCAUCAAGAAAUAAUCUGUUUUGCAUGUCGGAACCGCUCAUGUGGUGACAGGGGGCUAUUGGUAUCUUCCAUGCUAGGAGUGUUAUCCUCGACAUGUGUUUAUUCACUGUCAUUCACGAGAAAGGGGCCGGUAAUAGGAAUGCCCAGUUCCACGCUUAAAUCAAAAACAUAACUGUAAAACAAGACCCCCCCCCCCCGGGUUGAUGUUAGUAUGGAUGGUACCCGAGGAUUCGGCUAGCCGUGGAUUGUGAUUGAUUGGUGGUGGGGGAGUUAAAACUUUACUUUUUUGUUUGGGAACUGCCUAUAGCAUGAGUAGCAUGGAAGAUAUUGAGAACUCUUGGUCAUUGCGUUGACAAUGAAAGCAUGCCACCCAAAAUUAUUAUCUCUGUUUUCAAAGCUUGAGCUCUGGCACCUCUGCAAAUCAAUGCUUCCCUCUGCGAAGGGCCUCUCUAUUUAUUUUCCUAUUGAGUCAUCCUCCUCUUAUAUAAGCACCAAUUAGAGAGCACUUCUGUCAUUUUUAUGCUUUGCUUUUGAUUGGUAUUGAGUAUGACUAUGACUGGAUCUUCGUUUUUAUGAAUUACAAUGUUUAGUCACCCCUUGAUCUUUGAAAGUGCUCUGCAUUUAUGUUUUGUGGUCUCAGAAAGAGCUAGCGAGAUACCACCUAUUCAUAUUGCUCCAUGCUUGUUUUGAUUGAAGUGUUGGUAUUUGAAACUCAUUAUUAUUUGCUCGUUAGCUGAUUAUGACAUUGAUAUUAGUUUACCGUGAGACCUUUGUGUCACUUGCUUAUGUGGUUAACUUGUGAUAUUGCUGAAAUUGUGGUUAUGAGUUAGACAUAGUUGCAACAACAAGAUCAAACAGAGUUUGUCAAAGUUUUUCUUUCUCUCUCAGUUUGUCAACUGAGUUGCUUGAGGACAAGCAAGGUUUUAAGCUUGGGGGAGUUGAUACGUCUCCAUCGUAUCUACUUUCCAAACUCUUUUGCCCUUGUUUUGGACUCUAAUUUGCAUGAUUGAAUGGAACUAACCUGGACUGACGCUAUUUUCAGCAGAAUUGCCUUGGUUUUAUUUUUGUGCAGAAAUCAAAGUUCUCAGAACGUCCUCAAAAUUUACGGGAACAUUUUUGGAAAAUAUGAAAAAUACCUAUGGAAAGAUCCACCUGAGGGGGUGGGCCAGUGGGCCACAAGCCCUGCCUCCGCCACCCCCUGGUCGCGGUGGGCAAGCUUGUGGGGCCCACACGGCUCUACCGCCCCCAAUCUCAGGUCUAUAAGUUCACUUUCGUCCCAGAAAAAAUAAAAAGAGAAGAUUUCGUCGCGUUUGCGAUACGGGGGCGCUGCCACAACCUAUUCUUCAUCUGGAAGGCAGAUCUGGAGUCCGUCUUGGGCUCCGGAGAGGGGAAAUCGUCGCCAUCGUCAUCAUCAACCUUCUUCCCUCUCCAAUUCCAUGAAGCUCUUCGUCGUUCAUGAGUAAUCUAUUCGUAGGCUCGCUGGGCGGUGAUGAGUAGGAUGAAAUCUAUCAUGUAAUCGAGUUAGUUUUGAUGGGGAUUGAUCCCUAGUAUCCACUAUGUUCUGAGAUUGAUGUUGCUACUACUUUGCCAUGCUUAAUGCCUGUCACUAUGGCCCGAGUGCCAUGAUUUCAGAUCUGAAAUUAUUAUGUUGCGACCAAUAUAUGUGUGUUUUAGAUCCGAUCUUGCAAGUUGUAGUUACCUACUAUGUGUUAUGAUCCGGCAACCCCAGAGUGACAAUAACCGGAACCACUCCCAGUGAUGACCAUAGUUUGAGGAGUUCAUGUGUUCACCAAGUGCUAAUGCAUUGGUCCGGUUCUUUAUUAAAAGGAGAACCUUAAUAUCCCAUAGUUUCCUUUUGGACCCCGCUGCCAAAGGAGCGAUGGACAAUAGAUGUCAUGCAAGUUCUUUUCCCUAAGCACGUAUGACGACACACGGAAUGCAUGUCUACAUUACAUUGACGAACGGGAGCUAGCCACAUAUCUCUCCGUGUUAUAACUAUUGCAUGAUGAAUAUCAUCCAAACAAAUCACCGACCCAUUGCCUACGAGUUUGUCCUACUGCUGUUGUUACUUGUCUUGCUCUGUUGCUGUUACUUGUCUUGCUCUGCUGCUACUGUUGCUACUACAGUCGCUUGCCACUGCCGUUACUCGCUACAUUGCUGUUACUACUUUUCUUGCAGAUAUUAAUCUUUCAGGUGUGGUUGAAUCUGACGCAUUCAGCUGCUAAUACUCGAGAGUAUUCUCUCACCUCCUGUCUGGCGAAUCAACAAAUUUGGGUCGAAUACUCUACCCUCGAAAACUGCUGUGAACCCACGCGUUGGUGGGCCGUCAAUAACAUUCUUCUAGUUUCAUAGUCGGGGAGUGCUAGUAGCAUUCUUCGGGUGCCAUUGCAGGGUAAGUUUUGUUCUCAUAGAAUCAGCAUUCGUCUAGCUAUUGCCAGACAGUGCCGGUCAGGCAAUUCCCAGCAAUGGCGCCAUAAAAAGGCACGUUGACGGGAUGUUAGCGCCAACAAAGUCUUGCAACAAGUAACAGCGGAGUAGGAAGGAACAGUAGUAGCAGCAGCAGCAAAGUAACAAGUAACAGCAGUAGCGACAGCAGCAGCAAAGUGGCCCAAUCCCUCUUGUAGCAAGGGACAAGCCUAGGCAAAGUAACAUAGCGAGGACCAGUAGUAAAAGACUCGUAGGCAGUGGAUCGGUGAUGGAUGAGUAUGACGGAUGUGAUUCAUCAUGUAAUAGCUAUAACACGGAGAGAUAUGUGACUAGCUCCCGUUCAUCAAUCUGAUGUAGGCAUGUAUUCCGUAUGUAGUCAUACGUGCUUAUGGAAAAGAACUUGCAUGCCAUCUAUUGUCCAUCCCUCCCAUGGCAGCGGGAUCCUAAUGGAAGCUACGGGAUAUUAAGGUUCUCCUUUUAAUAAAGAACCGGACCAACGCAUUAACACGCGGUGAACACAUGAACUCCUCAUACCAUGGUCAUCUCCGGGAGUGGUUCCGGCUAUUGUCACUCCGGGGUUGCCGGGUCAUAACACAUAGUAGGUGACUACAACUUGCAAGAUAGGAUCUAAAACACACAUAUAUUGGCGACAACAUAAUAGGUUCAGAUCUGAAAUCAUGGUACUCGGGCCCUAGUGACAAGCAUUAAGCAUAGCCAAGUAGUAGCAACAUCAAUCAAGAACAUAGUGGAUACUAGGGAUCAAUCCCCGUCAAGAACUAACUCGAUUACAUGAUAGAUCUCAUCCAACUCAUCACCGUCCAGCAAGCCUACGAUGAGAUUACUCACGAACGAUGAAGAGCAUCAUGGAAUUGUCGAUGGAGAACGGUUGAUGAUGACGAUGGCGACGAUUGCCCCUCUCCGGAGCUCGAAACGGACUCCAGAUCUGCCCUCCAAAUGAAGAACAAGAUGUGGUGGCGCCUUCGUAUCGCAAAACGCGAUGAAACCUUCUCUCUGAUUUUUUCCGUCGAAACGGAAGAUAUAGAGCUGAGUUUGGGGGCGGUGGAGCCACGUGGGCCCCACAAGACAGCAUGGCGCGGCCUAGGGGGGUGGCCGCAUCGUGUGGGCUUGUGGCCCACUGGCACACCCCCCCCCCCUCACGUGGAUCUUUGCGCAGGUAUUUUUCUUUUAUUCCAGAAAAAAUCUCCGUAAAUUUUCAGGAUGUUCCGAGAACUUUUAUUUCUGCACAAAAACAACACCAUGGCAAUUCUGCUGAAAACACCGUCAGUCCGGGUUAGUUCCAUUCAAAUCAUGCAAGUUAGAGUCCAAAACAANNNNNNNNNNNNNNNNNNNNNNNNNNNNNNNNNNNNNNNNNNNNNNNNNNNNNNNNNNNNNNNNNNNNNNNNNNNNNNNNNNNNNNNNNNNNNNNNNNNNNNNNNNNNNNNNNNNNNNNNNNNNNNNNNNNNNNNNNNNNNNNNNNNNNNNNNNNNNNNNNNNNNNNNNNNNNNAGUCCGGGUUAGUUCCAUUCAAAUCAUGCAAAUUAGAGUCCAAAACAAGGGCAAAAGAGUUCGGAAAAGUAGAUACGAGGGAGACAUAUCAGGAGACAACCCAACACUUUUACCUUCUAUUUUUGUGAGUUCACAUGAUUAAGCUACUGUAGUAAUCAUGUUUUGUGUCUUUUAUUUCAAUAAAGUGUCAAGUAAAGCCUUUGGAAUGACUCACAAGAUGAGUAGAAUUGAUGCCGAACCAAAACAGAAACUUUUCACUCAAGUACAUGAAUUUUCAUUUUUUUACCAAAGCGUGAUAAUGAUUUAAAAUUUUACACAGUAUUUAUAUAUAAAUUCUCCUGGUUUUGCUAAUUUUUUAGAAUUUUGAUAGACAGGGAAGUAUGGCUAUACUACAGAGUUCUAUAAAUUAUGGGAAACAUGGCUACUGUUCUGUUUUCGACAGAUUAUGUUUUGUAUGCAUAGUCUGCUUAUUUUAGUGUUCCCAUAGCUUAUAUUCAGUAAUAUAAAUUAUGGGAAUGAUAGAAUACAGUAGGUAUAAUGUGGUAACUAUUAUGAAUCUUGUCUUGACAGUACCUAAGUGAAUGAUCUAUCUUUAUUACACUAAGCUUUCUCACAAAGUUCCGUUAAGUUUUGUGUGAUUGAAGUUUUCAAGUUUUGGGUGAGACAUCGAUAUGAGGAGAACAAGGACUGACAAGUACCUAAGCUUGGGUAUGCCCAAGUUACCCCAAGGUAAUAUCCGUUGAAGACUCAAGUGUCUAAGCUUGAGGAUGCCCCGGAAGCAUCCCCUCUUUCAUCUCCAACGCUAUACGUAAUCUUACUUAGAGCUAUAUUUUUAUUCGUCUCGUAAUAUGUGUUUUUCUUGGAGCAUCAUUUUAUUCUAUUGAUUUCUGUUAGAUGUUAUUUAUAAUUUUGUUUUCUAUAAAAAUCCAAGAAUUGUAUUAGGAUGCUUGCAUUGCAUGGUUUGAUGUGUGCUGUAUAAAAACAGAAACUCUUGUUGUAGUGUUUGAAUUUUCAUAUUUUACUAGAAUGUGGAAAGUUUGUGAAAUAUUUACACAAAUUUUUCUUAUAAAUUUUAUAGAAUGAACUAAAUUUGCAUAAUUUUUUGAGUUACACAAGUAGACUGUUUUCAUAAAUUGCUACAAACUGUUCUGUUUGGAUAGAUUGUUGUCAUAGUUUUGUUAUCUACUUAUCAUAUAGUUUCCAUAGCCUAUAUUGGUAGAUAUAAAUUGUGGAAACGAUAGUAAACAGUACAUGAUGUUUGAAAGUUAUUAUACAACUUUUCUUGUCAGUACAUGAAGAGUUGAUUUAUUAUUGUGUGUACUAACCUAUCUCAUGAGUUCUUUUCGAGUUCUGUGUGGAUGAAGUUUUUUAGAAAAGGUGAAACCAUGAUAUGAGAGGAUUGAAUGAGAAACAAAAGCUCAAUCUUGGGGAUGCCCAAGGCAUCGCAAGUAAAUAUUUCAAGAACUCUCAAGUAUCUAAGCUUGGGGAUGCUACGCAUCCCACCUCUCUUUGUCAACUAUCGGUUAGCCUAUCUUGAGCCUAAAUUUUUAUUCGUUCACAUGACGCGUCCUAUUCUUGGACUACUAUUUUUCUUUUGCUUGCUAUUUAAAUAAAAUACUCAGAUCUGAGAAUCUUUAUUGAGAGAGAGGAAGAAAGUCCUCACAUAGAUACUUAAUUGUUUGACUACUCAUUGAUCUUCACUUAUAUGUUUUGGAGUAGUUUUGGCAUUUACUCUCGUGCUUCACUUAUAUCCUAUGAGUAAAUAGUUGAAUGAAUUGGAUAUUAUAAAUAUGAAAUUAUAUAUGUUCUAAGUGCUUAUCCCAUGGGGAGUAAUGACUUCACAUAUAAGAAGUAUAGGUGGUAUAAUUUAUUGAAAGUUAGCAAACACCGCAUUGGUCACUUGAACAAUACAUGAAAGAAUAUUGAAGGAAGAGAGAUUCCACAUAUAAAUAUACUAUCUUGGACAUCUUUCAUGAUUAUGAGCCCCAUUAAUUAUUUUCAAACUUGAGCAAAUUAGUUGAAGUUGGACAAGGAAGAGAACUUAAUGAGUUAUGUGUGGAUAUAUUUGCAUAGAAGUUAUAUUGUUAUGGAUCCUCCAACAUGUGGUGCUUGUUUAGAACCUUUUACUAGCCAAUACUUCGUGCUAAGUAGAGAUACUACUUGUGCAUCCAAAAACCCUUAAACCCAGUUUCUUGCCAUGAGAGUCCACUAUAUCUACCUAUAUGCGGUAUUUACCUCCUAUUCCAAGUAAAUUUGCAUGUGCCAAACUCUAAACCUUCAAAUAAUAUUUUGUUUUGUAUGCCCGAAUCACUCAUGUAGUGACUAGGGACUGUAUUGAUUAACGAUGUGUGUUGAUUCACUAUCAUUCACGAGAAAGUGGCCGGUAUUCGGGAUGCCCAGUUCCAUGCUAAAAAAUCAAAUCAAAAUAUAAUGAUACAAACCUCCCCCAAGAUUGUUGUUUGUAUGAACGGUACCCGUGGAUUCGGCUCGUCGUGGAGUGUGGUUGAUUGGUGGAGGGGGAGUUAAAACUUUACAAUUGUGUUUGGGAACCAUCUAUAAUCUAUCUAGCAUGGAAGAUACCGAGAUCUCUCGGUUGUUAGGUUGACAAUGAAAGCAUACCGCUCAAAAUUAUUAUUCAUUUGUGUUUUAAAACCUCGAGCUUUCGCACAUAUGCAAAUCACAGCUUCCCUGUGCGAAAUUUGCAUGACUUGAAUGGAACUAACCGAGACUAACGCUGUUUUCAGCAGAAUUGCCAUGGUGUUGUUUUUGUGCAGAAAUAAAAGUUAUCGGAAUGUCCUGAAAAUUUAAGGAUAUUUUAUCUGGAAUAAAUGAAAAAUACCUGCGCANNNNNNNNNNNNNNNNNNNNNNNNNNNNNNNNNNNNNNNNNNNNNNNNNNNNNNNNNNNNNNNNNNNNNNNNNNNNNNNNNNNNNNNNNNNNNNNNNNNNNNNNNNNNNNNNNNNNNNNNNNNNNNNNNNNNNNNNNNNNNNNNNNNNNNNNNNNNNNNNNNNNNNNNNNNNNNNNNNNCAAAGAUCCACCGGAGGGGGUAUGCCAGUGGGCCACAAGCCCCUCGGCCGCGGCCACCCCCUUAGGCCGCGCCGUGAGGGCUUGUGGGGCCCACGUGGCACCACCGCCCCCAAACUCAGCUCUAUUUAUUCCAUCUCGCCCGGAAAAAAAUCAGAGAGAAGGAUUCAUCGCGUUUUACGAUACGGAGGCGCCACGAGCUCGUGUUCUUUAUCUGGAGGACAGAUCUGGAGUCUGUUCGGGGCUCCGGAGAGGGGAAAUCGUCGCCAUCGUCAUCAUCAACCUUCCUCCAUCGACAAUUCCAUGAUGCUCUUCAUCGUUCGUGAGUAAUCUCAUCGUAGGCUUGCUGGACGGUGAUGAGUUGGAUGAGAUCUAUCAUGUAAUCGAGUUAGUUCUUGACGGGGAUUGAUCCCUAGUAUCCACUAUGUUCUUGAUUGAUGUUGCUACUACUUGGCUAUGCUUAAUGCUUGUCACUAGGGCCCGAGUACCAUGAUUUCAGAUCUGAACCUAUUAUGUUGUCGCCAAUAUAUGUGUGUUUUAGAUCCUAUCUUGCAAGUUGUAGUCACCUACUAUGUGUUAUGACCCGGCAACCCCGGAGUGACAAUAGCCGGAACCACUCCCGGAGAUGACCAUAGUAUGAGGAGUUCAUGUAUUCACCGAGUGUUAAUGCGUUGGUCCGGUUCUUUAUUAAAAGGAGAACCUUAAUAUCCCGUAGUUUCCAUUAGGACCCCGCUGCCAUGGGAGGGAUGGACAAUAGAUGUCAUGCAAGUUCUUGUCCCUAAGCACGUAUGACUACAUACGGAAUACAUGCCUACAUUAGAUUGACGAACGGGAGCUAGUUACUUAUCUCUCUGUGUUAUAGCUGUUACAUGAUGAAUCACAUCCGGUAUACUCAUCCAUCACCGAUCCACUACCUACGAGUCUUUUACUACUGGUCCUCGCUACGUUACUUUGCUGCUACUGUUGUCGCUACUGCUGUUACUUCGUGCUGCUGCUACUGCUGUUCCUUGCUGCUGCUGUCACUACUGCUGUUACUUUGCUGCUACUUGUUGCAAGACUUUUCUGGAGCCGUUGCCGAGGAAGAAUAGUCCCCCGUCCACGUGCCAUUUAUUGGCGCCAUUGAUACAACAAGCUAGGAAAAGUCUGCCGUCAACACAUCUUUUUCUGACACCGUUGCUAUCAUACCACUUUGCUACUGAUACUUUGCUUGCAGACACUAAUCUUUCAAGUGUGGUUGAAAUUGACAAACUCAGCUGCUAAUACUUGAGAAUAUUCUUUCGCUUCCCCUUGUGUCGAAUCAAUAAAUUUGGGUUGAAUACUCUACCCUCGAAAACUGUUGCGAUCCCCUACACUUGUGGGUUAUCAAGACCAUUUUCUGGUGCCGUUGCCGGGGAGGCACAUCUAUAUUCUCUGAGUCACUUGGGAUCGACGUCUGCUGGUCACUAUGAGGAAUCUGAAAGAUCCAAGAACUAAAAUCUUGCCUUCCACUACGAGGAGAGGUAAGCAACUUCCAUCUAGCUCUGCACUUGAUUCACCUUCAGUUUUGAGUAAGUUUGCGACUUCGCCUCCUGCUAGAAAUCUUGAUAUGUCGCCUGUGCAUGAUGAUGCUACUUCUGCUGCCCAUGAUGCUUAUGAUGAUGCUAUGCUNNNNNNNNNNNNNNNNNNNNNNNNNNNNNNNNNNNNNNNNNNNNNNNNNNNNNNNNNNNNNNNNNNNNNNNNNNNNNNNNNNNNNNNNNNNNNNNNNNNNNNNNNNNNNNNNNNNNNNNNNNNNNNNNNNNNNNNNNNNNNNNNNNNNNNNNNNNNNNNNNNNNNNNNNNNNNNNNNNNNNNNNNNNNNNNNNNNNNNNNNNNNNNNNNNNNNNNNNNNNNNNNNNNNNNNNNNNNNNNNNNNNNNNNNNNNNCCUGAUGAUGCUAUGCCUGAUACUCCUUUGCCACUAGGUGCAUUCCUUGAUGCACAAAUUGCUAGAGUUGCUGCUAGAUGUGAUGAUACUUCUGAAACUGCUGAUACUAUUGAAGUAGAACUUGCUAGUAUGCCUGAAUUGCCUGUUAUGCAUGAACGCUAUGUUAUGGAAGGAGAGAUAGCUGAGGACUUUCUUGCGUGUAAGGAUAGCUAUGAUGUUGAGAAAUUACUGCGCAAGUGGAAAGAAAAAUCUCUGAACGCUGGGAUGAAAUACGACCCGAAGUUUGCUACUUCGCCUAUCUUUGUGACCGAUAAGGAUUAUGAAUUCUCUGUCAACCCUGAGUUAAUCACUCUGGUUGAAUCUGAUCCUUUUCACGGUUAUGAGUCUGAAACGGUUGUAGCCCAUCUUACCAAACUGCACGAUAUAGCCACCCUAUUCACUAGUGAGGAAAAGAUCCGCCACUACUAUAUCCUCAAGUUGUUUCCUUUCUCGCUAAAGGAUGAUGCUAAGACCUGGUUCACUUCUCUUGCUCCUGGUUGUGUGCGUAGCCCCCAGGAUAUGGUCUACUACUUCUCUGAAAAAUAUUUCCCUACCCAUAAGAAGCAAGCUGCCUUGCAGGAAAUAUACAACUUUGCUCAAGCUGAGGAAGAGAGUCUCCCACAAGCUUGGGGGAGGCUCGUCCAGCUACUGAAUGCUUUGCCUCAUCACCCUCUUGAGAAGAAUGAAAUACUUGAUAUCUUCUAUAAUGGACUUACCGAUGCUUCCAAAGACCACCUAGAUAGUUGUGUCGGUUGUGUUUUUAGGGAACAAACUGUAGAACAAGCUGAGAUUCUACUGAAUAACAUCUUGUGCAAUGAGAAUGCUUGGACUAUUCCCGAAUCACCUCCUAAGCCAACUCCAAAGAAAAGAGGUAUUCUAUUCCUCAGUCCUGAAGAUAUGCAAGAAGCCAAGAAAUCUAUGCGAGAGAAAGGCAUUAAAUCUGAAGAUGUCAACAAUCUACCACCUAUCGAAGAGAUCCAUGGUCUCGAUAACCCGAUACAGGUAGUAGAAGUAAAUUCUCUCUGUAGGUUUGAUGAGAGUGAUAUUCCUUUUGAUAAACCUGCUAGCUUAUGCCUGGAUGAAUUUGAUAACUUUGUUGACAAACAACAGAGUUUCNNNNNNNNNNNNNNNNNNNNNNNNNNNNNNNNNNNNNNNNNNNNNNNNNNNNNNNNNNNNNNNNNNNNNNNNNNNNNNNNNNNNNNNNNNNNNNNNNNNNNNNNNNNNNNNNNNNNNNNNNNNNNNNNNNNNNNNNNNNNNNNNNNNNNNNNNNNNNNNNNNNNNCAAACAACAGAGUUUCAAUGAUUAUGUUAGCAGACAAUUGGAACAGAAUGCUCAUAUGCUUAGUCAUUUAAGUGCUUGUGUGGACAGAAAUGUCAAUGAUCUUAAGCUUUUGAGUAAACAUGCCUGUAUGGUUACUACUCAAGUAGAACAAGUACUUAAAGCUCAAAAUGACUUGCUCGAUGAGUUGAAUGAAAAUUCCGUUAGAGUUGUUACUAGAGGCGGUAGAAUGACCCAGUAACCUUUGUAUCCCGAGGGUCAUCCGAAGAGAAUUGAACAAGAUUCUCAAGGAGUUAGCACUGAUGCACCUAGUCAUCCUAGAAAGAAGAAGAAAGAUGAUAGGAACCUGCACGCUAGCAACCCUGUUGCUGCUACACCUGAGAGUCCAAACGAUGCCUCUGUCUGUGACACUGAAACACAAUCUGGUGAUGAACAUGAGCCUAAUGAUAAUAUCAAUAGUGAUGUUCAUGAAGAUGCUCAACCUAGCAAUGAUAAGGAUGUGGAGAUUGAACCUAUUGAUCUUGAUAACCCUCGGCCUAAGAAUAGAAGAUAUGAUAAGAAUGACUUUGCUGCUAGGAAGCAUGGUAAAGAAAGGGAGCCAUGGGUUCAGAAACCCAUGCCCUUUCCUCCAAAACCAUCCAAGAAAAAGGAUGAUGAGGAUUUUGAGUGAUUCGUUGAAAUGAUCAGACCUGACUUUCUGCAAAUGCGUUUGACAGAUAUGCUCAAAAUGUCUCCGUAUUCUAAGUACAUGAAAGAUAUUGUAACUAAUAAGAGGAGGAUACCUGAGGUUGAGAUUUCCACCAUGCUUGUUAAUUAUACCUUCAAGGGUGGAACUCCUAAGAAACUAGGUGAUCCCGGUGUGCCCACUAUACCUUGCUCCAUUAAAGGCAGGUACGUUAGACCAGUGUUAUGCGACCUUGGAGCCGGUAUUAGUGUUAUGCCUCUCUCUCUUUAUCGUAGACUUGAACUGGACAAGUUGACACCCACUGAAAUCUCUGCAAAAUGGCCGACAAAUCAACUGCUUUCCCUAUCGGCAUUUGCGAGGAUCUGCCUGUUGUGGUUGCUAACGUCACUAUCUUAACAGACUUUGUUAUCUUGGAUAUUCCUGAGGACGAUGCCAUGGCGGUCAUCCUCGGAAGACCGUUUUUAAACAAUGCAGGGGCUGUUAUAGAUUGCAACAAAGGCAAUGUCACUUCCCAUGUCAACGGUAAUGACCAUACAGUGCACUUUCCGAAGAAACAAUAUCGAGUACAUUGCAUCAAUGCUAUCGAAAAAACUUCAUCAAUUUUUAUUGGGAUCUUUGAAUGCCCUAUACCUCGUGUCAAGAUGAAGUAUGAUUUGCUUGUUGGGGAGAUACACAUCCCCAUUGAGGUGACCUAGUGAUUAUUCGGAAAUUCUCCAUUAUCUUUUGUGAUUCGAAAAAGUUUGUCAAAGAGGCUUGAUCAACCUCACUGACAGAUUUCUUUUGAUGACAAUGAGAUGGAUGAAUCGAGGAGUCACAAACCUCUGUUCCAAGCUUUCACCUUCUAUUGCUUAGAAGAAAAAUGAUAGAUUUAGUUUAGUUUUCCCUGUUUUCUGUUUUAGCGCUCGGUGGAAAAGUACCCUGAAAAUAAAAGUACUCCGAACGUCCUGAAAAUCAAGUAUGAUUUUUUUUGGAAUUUUUGAAAAAUUCUGAGACAAAGAGCUUGUCGGGGGGCUGCACGAGUGGGCCACAAGCGCUUGGGGCGCGGGCACCCCCCCUGAGCGCACCACCCAGGCUUGUGGGGCCCACAGGCACCCCCUCCACUCAUUCUUGCUCUUAUCUGGUUCUCCUACCUCCAGAAAAAAUUGUUCCGCAGCUCAAACCCGUGUUCUCGCUCCUCUUGUUGGGAUUUUCGAUCUCUUUGCUCAAAUCACCGUUCUCCGAACUGUUUUGGGGAAAUUACUCCUUGGUAAGUGACUCCUCCAUUGGUCCAAUUAUUUUUUGCUCUAGUGCCUUAUACUCCGCGUAUUUUUUCUGCCUUGGUGACCAUGUUCUUGAGCUUUGCAUGCUAAUUCUAGCUGGUCCCAAGUAGUUUUGAUGCGUAAUAUGGCCUCUAGGCAUUUGUUGGAGUAGUUGCUAUGAGUUUCAUUGAGCCUUGUUCACUUUUCCUUAGAAUCACUAAAAUUUUCAGAAAAUUUCAAAGAUAGAAAAGGGAAAAGAUGAGGAGGUUCUUAAGAGGCUCUUCAAGCCGUGACCCCAAGGAUGAUGGGAGUGAGAAGAAGCCCAAGUAUCUGGUCCCUCGAGUCGCAGAAGUUCGAGCGUGCAAGUGGCCAAGCGAUGUGUUCUUACGCACCGCUGGAAUUUAUGAGGACUUUUAUCACUUGGUGGAUAACGCAGGCCUUACCGCCUUCGUUGAAGAUAAGUGUCCGCAAUACCUCCUCCUCACUAAUAUCUUCAUACAAAGUUUUAACUUCUAUCCGAGGAAGAAUCCUCCUAUGGUUGAGUUCAAAAUUUAUGAUAUCCCCCAGCGCAUGUCACACCAAGAUUUUUGCAAUGUUUGCAAAUUACCUUAUGUUGGGGAUAUUCAUGAACCUCGUCCACGGGACUUGGAAGCUUUCAUCGAUACUAUUGUUGUAGGAGAGGAGAGAGGAGUGUCUUGCGCUAGAGCUACUAGCAUUAAUUUUCCCGUGCUUCGGUACUUCUCAUUAUUUGUGGGAAAAUGUUUGAUUGGCCGUGGGAAAGCUGGGUCACUUAGUUCCCCAGAUCUUGCGGUCUUGCGCGAAGCCCUUUAUAACGAUAAAACUUAUAGCUUGGGCGCUAUAGUAGCUCAACGGUUGAACACGAACCGUUCUAAAGGCGUUAUCUAUGGAGGUAUCUAUGCUACUCGUCUUGCUAUACAUUUUGAGAUACCUAUUAGACUGGACGAGGAAGAAGAGAUUCUUCUUCCUGAGAGAUAUCUAUAUUACAAUAGCAUGGUUCGCCAUGACUUUUUUGAUAGAGAUAUAAAUAGAAGGAUGAUUUAUAACCUGGUAUUUAGUCAGGGUACUCGUGAGACUAUUACUUUGCUUGCUCCUUCUUUGUUCAAUCUUCAUGCAGGUAGGUACAUUAUUAUGCCCUUGGACAUCUACACAUAUUGGGGCAUAGCCCAACCACAGGUGCCCGUGCCCGAGCUAGCAGUCGAGUACCAGACGCCAGUUUAUCAGUGGGAGCCAGAGGAGCUCACACAGCAGUGGCAUCCUCAGUCCACUCCGGAGUACCCCGGAGCUGGUUAUUUCCCUCCUUGGGAGUAGACCAACUUAGGCCAAAAGCCUAAGCUUGGGGGAGUAGGUGUUUCUCAUUUGUGUUUUCCUGCAGAUUCCAUCUUUAGUCCACUACACGAGCACGCUUAUUAUUGUUCACAACAUUCGGUCGUGCAAGUGAAAGUCAAAAAUGACGAUAUAUGAAGUGACUGAGCCUGGAAAAGAUGGUAUGAACUCGAUCUAUUUUGUUUUUGUAAAUAUGACUAGCCCAUCAUGCCUGAUUCAGCUUUGUUGUGAGAGAAACAUGUUUGCAAUGACAACUUAGAGAUCAUAGUUGCUUAUGCCAUGCUUACUUAGCUAGGAGCUUAUAAUGGUUUGUCUUGGAUGCCCACAUGAAUGUUGAGAUGACUGUGCUGUAGUAUGAUAGGAUGGUAUCCUCCUUUGAAUGUUUCAAGUGGCUUGACUUGGCGCAUGUUCACGCAUGUAGUUGAAACAAAAUCAACAUAGCCUCUAUGAUGUUCAUGUUCAUGGUGAUUUAUGUCCUACUCAUGCUUGCAUUCAAUGUUAGUUAAUCUCAAUGCAUUUUGAUGACUGUUGUCGCUCUCUAGUUGGUCGCUUCCCAGUCUUUUGCUAGCCUUCACUUGUACUGAGCGGGAAUACUGCUUGUGCAUCCACCCCCAUAAACCCAACGUUGUUCCAUAUGAGUCCACCAUACCUACCUAUGUGCGGUAUCUACCUGCUGUUCCAAGUAAAUUUGCAUGUGCCACUCUCUAAACCUUCAAGAAAUAAUCUGUUUUGCAUGCCCGAACCGCUCAUGUGGUGAUAGGGGGCUAUUGGUAUCUUCCAUGCUAGGCGUGUUAUCCUCGAUAUGUGUUUAUUCACUAUCAUUCACGAGAAAGGGGGCGGUAAUUGGAACUCCCAGGUCCAUGCUCAAAUCGAAAAGAUAAUUGCAAACAAACCUCCCCCAGGAUUGAUGUUGGUAUGGACAGUACUCGAGGAUUCGGCUAGCCGUGGAGUGUGAUUGAUUGGUGGUGGGGGAGUCAAAACUUUACUUUUCUGUUUGGGGACCGCCUAUAGCAUGUGUAGCGUGGAAGAUGUUGAGAACUCUUAGUCAUUGCGUUGACAAUGAAAGCAUGCCACCCAAAAUUAUUAUCUCUGUUUUAAAAGCUUGAGCUCUGGCACCUGUGCAAAUUAAUGCUUCCCUCUGCGAAGGGCAUGUCUAUUUAUGUUCCUGUUGAGUCAUCCUCCUCUUACAACAAGACCCAAUUAGAGAGCACCUUUGUCAUUUUUAUGCUUUGCUUUUAACUGUGUUGAGUAUGACUGUGACUCGAUCUUCAUUGGCUAGAAUUACAAUGUUUAGUCAGCCCUUGGUCUUUGAAGGUGCUCUGCAUUUAUGUUUUGCGGUCUCCGAAAGAGCUAGCGAGAUACCAUCUAUUCGUACUGCUUCAUGUUGUUUUGAUUGAAGUGUUGACAUUUGAGGCUUAUUAUUAUUUGCUCCCUAGCUGAUUAUGCCAUUGAUAUGAGUUUAUCGUGAGACCUAGAUGUCAUUUGCUUAUGUGGUUUGCUUGUGAUCUUGCUGAAAUUCUGGUUAUGAGUUAGACAUAGUUGCAACAACAAGAUCAAACAGAGUUCGUCAAAGUUUUUCUUUUGUCUCUUUCAGUUUGUCAACUGAAUUGCUUGAGGACAAGCAAGGCUUUAAGCUUGGGGGAGUUGAUACGUCUCCGUUGUAUAUACUUUUCUGAACUCUUUUGCCCUUGUUUUGGACUCUAAUUUGCAUGAUUUGAAUGGAACUAACCCGGACUAACGUUGUUUUCAACAAAAUUGCCAUGGUGUUGUUUUUGUGCAGAAAUAAAAGUUCUCGGAAUGUCCUGAAAAUUUACGGAGAAUUUUUCUAAAAUAAAUGAAAAAUACCUGCGCAAAGAUCCAACGGAGGGGGUGUGCCAGUGGGCCACAAGCCCGUGGGCUGCGACCACCCCCCCCCCUAGGCCGCGCCGUGAGGCCUUGUGGAACCCACGUGGCACCACCGCCCCCAAACUCAGCUCUAUUUAUUCCGUCUCGCUCGGAAAAAAUCAGAGAGAAGGAUUCAUCGCGUUCUACGAUACGGAGGCGCCGCCACCUCCUGUUCUUCAUCCAGAUGACAGAUCUGGAGUACGUUCGGGGCUCCAAAGAGGGGAAAUCAUCGCCAUCGUCAUCAUCAACCUUCCUCCAUCGACAAUUCCAUGAUGUUCUUCACCAUUCGUGAGUAAUCUCAUCGUAGGCUUGCUGGACGGUGAUGAGUUGGAUGAGAUAUAUCAUGUAAUCGAGUUAGUUUUGACGGGGAUUGAUCCCUAGUAUCCACUAUGUUCUGAGAUUGAUGUUGCUACUACUUUGCCAUGCUUAAUGCUUGUCACUAGGGCCCGAGUGCCAUGAUUUCAGAUCUGAAAUUAUUAUGUUGCCACCAAUAGAUGUGUGUUUUAGAUCCGAUCUUGCAAGUUGUAGUUACCUACUAUGUGUUAUGAUCCGGCAACCCCGGAGUGACAAUAACCGGAACCACUCCCGGUGAUGACCAUAGUAUGAGGAGUUCAUGUGUUCACCAAGUGCUAAUGCGUUGGUCCGGUUCUUUAUUAAAAGGAGAACCUUAAUAUCCCAUAGUUUCCUUUUGGACCCCGCUGCCACGGGAGGGAUGGACAAUAGAUGUCAUGCAAGUUCUUUUCCCUAAGCACGUAUGACUUCAUACGGAAUACAUUCCUACAUUAGAUUGACGAACGGGAGCUAGUUACUUAUCUCUCCGUGUUAUAGCUAUUACAUGAUGAAUCACAUCCGGUAUAAUCAUCCAUCACCGAUCCAUUGCCUACGAUUCUUUUACUACUUGUCCUUGCUACGUUACUUUGCUGCUACUGUUGUCGCUACUGCUGUUACUCUGUUGUUACUUGCUACUGAUGUUGUUGAUGUUGCUUGCUACUGCUGUCACUACUGCUGUUACUUUGCUGCUACUUGUUGCAAGACUUUUCUGGAGCCGUUGCCGGGGAAGAAUAGUCCCCCUUCCACGUGGUAUUUACUGGCGCCAUUGAUACAACAAGUUAGGAAUAGUCUGCCGUCAACACAUCUUUUUCUGACACCGUUGCUAUCAUACCACUUUGCUACUUAUACUUUGCUUGCAAACACUAAUCUUUCAGGUGUGGUUGAAAUUGGCAAACUCAGCUGCUAAUACUUGAGAAUAUUCUUUUGCUUCCCCUUGUGUCGAAUCAAUAAAUUUGGAUUGAAUACUCUACCCUCGAAAACUGUUGCGAUCCCCUACACUUGUGGGUUAUCAAGGGCCAAUCUAUUUACUUUCAUGUUAUUUACUAUUCUUGUUGAGUUAACUUCUUAUUCCAACCUCAAAGUAUUAGUUGGCAAGCAUCAUGUGGUGGGGAAAGAUGCAAACAUAUAUAUCCAUACAAAUAUAUUUGAUCAUGAAUUAUUAUUGUUGACAAUUAUCUAUAUGGUAAAUAAAUUAGGAGGCAAAACUUUAAGCCCCUGUCUUUCUUUGUGUUCGAUGGAUGCUAUUUGUUCUAAAAAUAUGCUUUGAGUGUCAACAAUCAUGGAAGACUAUAUGAUAGUUGAGUAUGUGGAAUUUUCUAAAUAAAAUCUCUUACAUAGACCCUUCCCAAAAAUAAGAUGAAUUGCAAUUGUUUGGUGACUGAAAGCAUAAUUUGUUAGUUUUCAAGAAACUUUAUGGUCUACAUUUUAACACGUGAAUAGCUUGUUACUUCAUCAUGAGAAGUUUUAUGAGAUGAGCUACUGUGUAUGAUAUGUAAUGAUGCUAGAAAAAGUGUUUGGAUAUAUCAUUGAUCAAAUUUAUGCACUAUGCUAGCAUUCACACUUCAUAAAUGAUUUCUUUUAUUAUUUACCUACUCGAGGACGAGCAGGAAUAAAGGUCGGGGAUGCUGAUACGUAUCCAACGUAUCUAUAAUUUAUGAAGUAUUCAUGCCAUGUUUACAAUAAUUCUAUAUGGUUUUUGUAUGAUUUUAUUAUAACUAACCCGGACUGAUGCUUUUUUCAGCACAACUACCGUGUUGUUGUUUUUGUGCCCAAAUAAAAGUUCUCGGAAUGGGCUGAAAAAUUACGGAGAAUAUUGUUGGUAAAUAUGAAAAAUACUGGAGCAAAAGGAUACCAGAGAGGAGUCCCGAGGCAACCACAAGCCACCAGGGCACCCCCCUAGGGUGCGCUCCUUGGCUUGUGGGCCCCUCAAGCACUCCCCUGACGUGGUUCGAACGCCAAAUAUUCUUAUAAAAACAGAAACCCCCGAAAAGAAACUUAGAUCGGGAGUUCCUCUGCCGCAAGCCUCCAGAGCCAUGAAAACCCAGUCUUGGCCCUCUUCGGCACCCUGUCGGAGAGGGUCACCAUCACCGGAGACCAUUGAGGAGGAAGAUGGAGGGGCCAUCAUCACCAUGGAGGCCAAGGACUAGAGGAAGAACCUCUCCCCACCUUGGGGGAGGCCAUGGAGGAGGAGGAACAAGGCGGAGACCCUCUCCCCCUCUCUCCCGGUGGUGCCGGAGUGCCACCGGGGGAACCAUCGCCGCGGUGAUCGUCUUCAUCAACAUCACCUUCUUCAUCACCAACCCCAUCUUCUUUUAGCGUUCCACUCCCCCGCGCCCCGCUGUAAUCACCUACUUGAACACGGUUCUCUAUGCCACAUAUUAUGAUCCAAUGAUGUGUUGCCAUCCUAUGAUGUUUUGAGUAGAUUCCCUUUGUCUUAUGGGUUGAUUGAUGAUCUAGAUUGGUUUGACUUGCAUGCUUUAUUAUUGGUGUUGUCCUAUGGUUCUCUCCGUGUCUAGCAAGCAUGAGGGAUUCCCUUUGUAGGGUGUUGUAAUACGUUCAUGAUUCGCUUAUAGUGGGUUGUUUGAGUGACAGAAGCAUAAACCCGAGUAGGUGGGUUGUUGCGAAUGCGAUAAAGGGGACUUGAUGCUUUAAUGCUAUGGUUCGGUUUUACCUUAAUGAUCUUUAGUAGUUGCGGAUGCUUGCUAGAGUUCCAAUCAUAAGUGCAUAUGAUCGAAGUAGAGAAGGUAUGUUAGCUUAUAACUCUCCCUCAUAUAAAAUUGCAAUAAUGAUUACUGAUCUUGUUAACAAUUGCCUAGGACAAUUCCGCACACCGACCCAUCACUAUUCCACACUCGCUAUUUGUAAUAUAUUCUAACUUUAUGAUAACAACACCUAUUUUUAUAUUUUAUUUCUCCGAUGUCAUGCAAAGCUAUUCUCUUCAUACCCACAAUGUAGUUUUAUUUCUCGUUCCAAGUUGGAAGCAAACGUUCGGCGUACGUAGAGUUAUAUCAGUGGCAGAUAGAACUUGAGAGAAUAUUGCUCUUACCUUUAGCUCCUUGUGGGUUCGACGCUCCAUACUUAUCAUUUCCACCUUUUGAAAUUGCUACGAUGAUUCCUUGCACUUGGGGAUUAUCAGGGCGUCGGCAGCGUCUGGGAACAGGUGAUGGCUGAUACGUCUCCAACGUAUCUACAAUUUUUGAUGGUUCCAUGCUAUUAUCUUGUCAACUUUGGAUGUUUUAUAUGCAUGAAUAUGCUAUUUUAUAUCUUUUUUGGGACUAACCUAUUAACUCAAUGCAGAGUGCCAGUUUCUGUUGUUUCCGUGUUUUUGGCCCAUUUUCAGACGAACUCCAAAUGGAAUGAAACUUUACGAUGCUUUUUUUUGGACCGAAAGAGACCCCCGAAGCUUUGGAAGAAGGCCAGAAGAGCCACGAGGGAGUCACAAGCCCUGACGCCGCCACCACCCCCCUAGGUGGUGCCGACCAGGCUUGUAACCUCCUCGUGGGCCCAACCGACGUAAUUCCACCGCCAUAAAUUCCUAUAAAUUCAGAAACCCCCCAAAAGAAACCUAGAUCAGGAGUUGCGCCGCCGCAAGCCUCUGUAGCCACCAAAAACCAAUCUGGAGCCUGUUCUGGCACCCUGUCGGAGGGGCAAUCCAUCUUCGGUGGCCAUCUUCAUCAUCUCGGCGAUCUCCAUGACGAGGAGGGAGUAGUUCUCCCUCGGGGCUGAGGGUAUGUACCAGUAGCUAUGUGUUUGAUCUCUCUCUCUCGUGUUCUUGAGAUGUCUUGGUCUCAAUGUACCAUGGGCUUUGCUACUAUAGUUGGAUCUUAUGAUGUUCUUCCCCCUCUCCUUCUUGUAAUGAAUUGAGUUUAUCCUUUGGAGUUAUCUUNUACAAGGAGAAGGUUGCGUAGUAGACAUCAAGCUCUUUUCUGCCGCCGUUGCCGGGGAGGUUAGCGCUUGAAGGUAUAUCUUUAGAUCUUGCAAUCGAAUCUUUUUGUUUCUUGUUCUUUUGCUAGAAAACUACAAAAAAAAUGGAAUUGAGGAUGUCUCAUAUGCUCCAUCUUUUCAAUGUCUUUCGUGAGCAUGAUGGGAAGGAAAAUUGUGCUCAAGUGCUGAAAGAAGAAUUACAUAGAAUGCUUGGCAUAGAUUAUGUGAAUGAUGAGCAUGAUUGCAAUGUUCUUAGCAUGAAUUCUUUGAAUACCCAUGAUGCUAAUGAUAUGCAAAGCCACAAGCUUGGAGAUGCUAUAUUUGAUGAAGAUGAUCUUUUUAGUUCUUCCACUUUGAAUGAUCAUUGUGAGGAUACUUAUGCUCUGAAGAAGAGGGAUGAUAAAACAUCUCAUACUCUCGAGAACCCCUUUGUUAAAUCUUGCUUUUUCAUUGUGGACACAAUUUGUAGUGCUCAAGUCUUUUACGAUACUCCCACUACUAUUCUUGAGAAUAGAUUUCCUUAUGUGGAGAGUAGUAAAAUUUCUAUGCUUGUAGAUCAUGAAAAGAAUGCUUUAGGUGCUGGUUAUAUUGUUGAAUUCAUUCAUGAUGCUACUGAAAAUUACUAUGAGAGAGGAUGAUAUGCUUCUACUUAUUGCAAUAGUAUCAAGCUUCCUCUCCAUAUGUUGAAAUUUUUGAAGCUAUGCUUGUUCUGCCUUCCUAUGCUAGUUGAUUCUUGCUCCAAUAAAUUGUUUAAUCACAAAAUCCCUAUGCAUAGGAAGUGGGUUAGACUUAAAUGUGCUAGCCAUUUUCUCCAUGAUGCUCUCUUGUGUUUCAAUCCUUACCUUUUAUGUGAGCAUCAUUGAAAUCAAUGCCUAGCUAAGGGCGUUAAACGAUAGCGCUUGUUGGGAGGCAACCCAAUGAAUAAAUUUUUCUUUGCUUUUUGCUUCAUGUUUUGUUUUCUCCACACCAUCAUAAUUAUGUUAUGAUUGUGUCUUUUGUGUUUAUUUUUGUGUUUGUGCCAAGCAAAACCGUUACGAUUAGUCUUGGUGAUGAUUGUUUGAUCAUGCUGGAAAAAGACAGAAACUUUCUGCUCACGAAAAGAAUUUCCAUUUUUAUUCUGUAAGAGAUUUUGAGUUGAUUCUUUUUGCUGCAUAUUCAUAUGCAAUUUAUUCGGAAUUUAGUAAUUGUUCAGAUUUGUUGAAGUACCAGAAGUAUACAAAGUAUACAUAUUGCUACAGACUGGUCUGCUGUUAACAGAUUCUGUUUUUGUUGAGUUGGUUGCUUAUUUUGAUGAAACUAUGGAUAGUAUCGGAGGGUACUAGCCAUGUAAAAGUGAAAAUACAGCAACCCAACACCAAAAUAAGUAGAAUUUAAGUUUGCUACAGUACCUAAGGAAGUGGUGAUUUGCUUUCUUAUACUAAUGAUAUCACGAGUUUCUGUUUAAGUUUCGUGUUGUGAAGUUUUCAAGUUUUGGAUGAAGUUCUUAUGGACAAAAAGAUAAAGAGUGGCAAGAUCUCAAGCUUGGGGAUGCCCAAGGCACCCCAAGAUAUUCAAGGAUGCCGUAAAAGCCUAAGAUUGGGGAUGCCCCGGGAAGGCAUCCCCUCUUUCGUCUUCAAUCCAUCGGUAAUGUUACUUGGAGCUAUAUUUUUAUUCACCACAUGAUAUGUGUUUUGCUUGGAGCGUCUUGUAUCUUAGGAGUCUUUUAUUUUUGUUGUGUCACAAUCUUCCUUCCUUCAAACCUAGAGAGAGAGACAUGCACUCACCGUGAUUUUGUCGAGCUUCACUUAUAUCCUUUGGUAGACAAUUCAGCUCACAUGUGCUUCACUUAUAUAUUUUGAGCUAGAUACUUUUGCUCUGUGUGCUUCACUUAUAUCUUUUAGAGCGCAGCGGUGCGUGUCUUGGUAGUUGAUCUAUGCUUUGAAAGUAGUCUCAAAAUGGGUAGUUAUCCAAAGGGAUACGAAAACUUCCACCUUCAUGUGCAUUGAAUAGUUAGAGAAGUUUGAUUCAUCUCAAUUAGUUUUGAGUUGUGGUUUUGGUAAUAUUGAAGUCAUGCUAGUAAGGUGUUGUGGAUCUAGAAAUACUUGUGUUGAAGUUAGUGAUUCUCGUAGCAUGCACGUAUGGUGAACCGCUAUGUGAUGAAGUCUGAGCAUGAUUAGUCUUUUGAUUGUCAUCCUUUGCGUGGCGGUCGGGAUCGCGCGAUGGUUUAUACCUACCAACCCUUCCCCUAGGAGUAUGCGUUGAAUGCUUUGUUUCGAUUACUAAUAAAACUUUUGCAACAAGUAUAUGAGUUCUUCAUGACUAAUGUUGAGUCCAUGGUUUAGAUGCACUUUCACCUUCCACCAUCACUAUCUUCUUAGUGUCGUGCAACUAUCGCCGGUGCACAAAACUCACCAUUAGCCUCCCUCAAAACAGCCACCAUACCUACCUACUAUGGCUUUUUCAAAGUCAUUCCGAGAUAUAUUGCCAUGCAACUACCACCAUGACAUGUGCCACCACGUCUACAUUGCCAUUGCAUGAUGUUUCCAUUAAUGUCUAUGCCAUGCUAGAUCAUUGCCACGGUACACUACCGAAGGCAUUCCAUAUAGAGUCAUCGUUGCUCUAAGUUUUGAGUUGAAAGUGUGAUGAUCAUCAUUGAUGGAGCAUUGUCCCAUGUGAGGAAAUAAAAGAGGCCAAAGAAGCCCACCAAAAAAAACAAGAGGCCAAAGAGCCCACCAAAUAUAUAUAUAUAUAUAUGAGAGAGAAAAAGAGAGAAGGGACAAUGCUACCACUUUUCCACACUUGUGCAUAUUAAGCACCAUGAUCUUCAUGAUUGAGAGUCUCUCGUUUUGUCACCAUCAUAUAGCUAGUGGGAAAUUCUCAUUAUAUAACUUGGCUUGUAUAUUCCAAUAAUAGGUUUCCUCAAAAUUGCCUUAGUUCUUCGUGAGCAAGCAAGUUGGAUGCACACCCACUAGUUUUCUUUAAGAGCUUUCACAUACUCUUAGCUCUAGUGCAUCAUUUGUAUGGCAAUCCCUACUCAUUCACAUUGAUAUCUAUUGAUGAGCAUCUCCACAGCUCAUUGAUAUGCCUAGUUAAUGUGAUUAUCUUCUCCUUUUUUUGUCUUGCAACCUCCACCACACUCCACACCACUUAUAGUGCUAAAACCAUGGCUCACGCUCAUGUAUUGCGUGAGAGUUGAAAGGGUUUGAGAAAGUGAAGGUGUGAAACAAUUACUUGGCCAAUACCGGGGUUGUGCAUGAUUUAAAUUCGUUGUGCAAUGAUGAUAGAGCAUAGCCAGACUAUACGCUUUUGUAGGGAUAACUUUCUUUUGGCCUUGUUAUUUUGAAAGUUCAUGAUUACCUUGCUAGUUUGCUUGAAUUAUUAUUGUUUCCACGUCGAUAGCAAACUAUUGUUUUGAAUCUAAUGGAUCUGAACAUUCAUGUCACGUGAGAGAAGUUACAAAGUACAACUAUGCUAGGUAGCAUGCAACAUCAAAAAUUCAUUCUUUAUCACUUCCCUACUCGAGGAUGAGCAUGAGUUAAGCUUGGGGAUGCUUGAUACGUCUCCAACGUAUCUAUAAUUUUUGUUGGUUCCAUGCUAUUAUCUUGUCAACUUUGGAUGUUUUAUAUGCAUGAAUAUGCUAUUUUAUAUCUUUUUGGGACUAACCUAUUAACUUAGUGCCAAGUGCCAGUUUCUGUUUUUUCCGUGUUUUUGGCCCAUUUCCACACGGAGUCCAAAUGGAAUGAAACUUUACGAUGAUUUUUUUGGACCAAAAGAGACCCCCGAAGCUUUGGAAGAAGGCCAGAAGAGCCACGAGGGAGUCACAAGCCCCAAAGCCGCCACCACCCCCCUAGGUGGUGGCGACCAGGCUUGUGACCUCCUCGUGGGCCCAACCGACGUAAUUCCACCGCCAUAAAUUCCUAUAAAUUCAGAAACCCCCAAAAAGAAACCUAGAUCGGGAGUUCCGCCGCCGCAAGCCUCUGUAGCCACCAAAAACCAAUCUGGAGCCCGUCCUCGCACCCUGUCGGAGGGGGAAUCCAUCUCCGGUGGCCAUCUUCAUCAUCCCGGCGAUCUCCAUGACAAGGAGGGAGUAGUUCUCCCUCGGGGCUGAGGGUAUGUACCUGUAGCUAUGUGUUUGAUCUCUCUCUCUCGUGUUCUUGAGAUGUCUUGAUCUCGAUGUACCAUGGGCUUUGCUACUAUAGUUGGAUCUUAUGAUGUUCUUCCCCGUAUCCUUCUUGUAAUGAAUUGAGUUUCCCCUUUGGAGUUAUCUUNUACAAGGAGAAGGUUGUGUAGUAGACAUCAAUGGCGCGAGACACAUGACGUCGAUCUAUCCAGGUUUAGGGCCCUCCGGUGAGGUAAAACUCCUAGUCCUGCCGGUGUGACUAUAUGAGAUCACAAUUCAAUGGUUCUCCUUGAGCUGUUCGUGAGGAGGGAGACGAAGUUCUCACUGCCUCGGUGGUAUGUGUCUAAGGAUUCACUAGUUUUCUCCUCCCCUUCUCUCAGGGGACUGGGGUUGGGUUUUAUAGUGCAACCAAAUGUAUACAAUAAUGGGUAGAAACGGAGUGUGGGGUCCGGCCUUCAGCCUCUCCGGCUGGCCGUGGGGCCCGUCGGUUGUCGGGUCUUGUCCUGCGCGGGUCCCGCCGGACGUGUGACGCAGAGGAUAACGCGCCGGCCGUCAGGGAGUUGGUAGGGGUAGGCCCCAGCUACACGGCCGCCUCGCCCGGUCAGCCUAGGGCGUGACCGGUGGCGCUGUAGCCACGUCGAGCCUUGCAUCAUGACGCCUGUAGCCGCGCUAGGUCUAUCAACGCGCACUAUAGCCAUGCACGCCCCUCUGCUGAGGGUAUGCUCUUGUUCGCCGUAUGUUAGUCGGCCGGAUGGGAUGGGCGUUGACCCGUCGACUGCUGCCAGUCGGCCCGCCGUGCGCUGGCCAGGCGGGCCGCCUGUGGCUAGUCAACCAAGGGCGCCUAGCCGGACGGGUCAAACGCCGCUAGCCGAACUGUCACACAGUGGCUAGGCGAACCGCUUGUAGCCAGCCGGCCUAGGGGGGCCAGCCAGCCCGAAUGUCAAGUAGAUGGAUUCCCUCCGCUUUGGUAUACCCAGGGGCCAUAUCCCCGUCAUUAAAACUUAGCCAUUGCAACUUUGUGUACUUCGUUUAUCUCCAAUGACCAGACCAAGACCGCUUUCGGAUCCUCACCCUUAACAAUACUUCAUAUGUAUUCACAAUAUUCAGAUUGCUUUUAUCAUAUUCUUGCUUGUUCUUCGAUUGCUUGGAGGAAGAGACCUUCAUGAUGAGGUUGAUCGUGCUCCCGCGUGAUCAAUAAUCUCUUGAAGUUGGUUUAGUGAUUGCUAAGGCGCAACGUCGUGCACAUUUGUAGUCGGAUCGUCAAAGUCGUCUCCACCAAAUCGGUAGCCACCAUCUCUUUGAAAGAUCGGGACACCCUUGCCUCUAUCAUCUUCAAAUUAGAACACAUAAUGCAUUAAAAGUUGAAUGGGAGAGCUCCUUAAAAAAUUAUUGAUCCAAUCAAAAUCAAUUAACACGACUCUAAAUCAAUGAUCUCAAUUAAUUAUGAGGUCUUACAAAAUAUAAAUCAUAGUGUAUAAUAUACUAAAAAAUUUAAUUAGAGAGUUUUGAAAAAAUUGUUGACCCGUUCAAAAUCAGCUCACACAACUCCAAUUAAAAACCUCAAUAGAAUACGGCCUUCAUAAAACCUCAAUUGAAUAUUUCCGUAACAUAACACAUCACAAGGCAAAAUGAACAUAUAUCUAAAUAACAAAAAUACUUGCAUAAUAUCAUACAUAUAAUAUUAUUUAAUAUGAAGUUAUUAAUAUGGACUAAUAACAUAUGGAUGCUACUAAUGCAAGUUAUUUUCUACUAUGACGAGCCUCAUCUUGAGUGGUUUCUUUGCUUCCAGUCAAUCCCAACAAUGUCUUCACCAGUCCGGAUCCGUCGACUGGGGGGUCGUCCCGUGCAGAGUGGAGGAGGCAAUAGCGGUUCGCGUUGCACUCCGCCGCUCGCGCGAGGACAGCGCCUGACCGACAGAAGGAUUUGUCCGCCGCGACUCUGUAGCAUCUGCACAAAGGGUGCUCGGCUCCUUUGGGGAAUGGCCGGACUACCACCAAAGGUGGAGAAAGAGGUGAGCGGCGAUGAGGACAGUUGUGGCGACGAGAAGAUCCGGCUCGAUCCGUACUGCGUCUUCAACCGGUACUUCCACGACAAGACGGCAAGGGUGUCGGGAAGAACAGAGGCAGCCGUAGAUGAUCUUCACCAUAGCCAAACAUGUAAAAUUUUGAUAGUCCGAUGACAUGUUUAACAAUGAUGGAGUAACUGGACAAUGUGUGUGCGUCGACGUAGUAGUUCGUCUGCGGACGUUUGAAAGAUCGGAUUUGAGGAGUCCGGAGAUGCUCUAAGGCAGAGAAUACACCUAAGUAGCUAGUGGUACUACUUCAGAUGAGGAAGAAAAUGUUAACUAAAUUCCAAAUAUACUGCCGUGCCAUCACACUUUGACAAACACGCACGGCCUUUUUUACACAUAGCUCUAGGUGGCUGCGCCCCUUUCUACUGCAUAUCGAUCAUCUACCAAGAAGAUAUGCACCACUCGAUCUAUAGGGAUCAUGUCACGGCCUUCAAUGGCGGCAUUCGAGCGCACAUUCUUCGGCUCAAGUUGCAUUGUCUCUACGCCACCAUCGAGUGCGCCGUAGAAAACCGAGAUAUAGCGAUCUCCCUGAUAUCUCCGCUUUUGCAAUCCCCAUAAAUAAAUAAUAAUUCAUGUUUGCGAAUGAUGAAGUGCCUGCAAUUUUUACUUCCUGCAUAUCAUAAUAAUUAUAGUGCAAGAAAACUAGUAAACUAGUUCUUUCAACUAUAAUUAUUAUGUUUUUCCUUAACAAUAAUUAUUAUGAUAUACUCCCUUCGUUCUUAAAUAUAAGUUUUUUUAAAGAUUUCACUAAUAGAGUAUAUACGGAUGUAUAUAGACAUACUUUAGAGUGUACAUUGAAUCAUUUUGCUCUGUAUGUAGACCUUUAGUGAAAUCGCUUAAAAGACUUAUAUUUAGAAACGGUGAAAGUAAAUGGAGUAUAAUCAAUUCUACUUCCUCUAAGUCUGAAGGUGAGGACAACACAACCACACAACGCCGCAGUGACAAGCGUUGACUCCGGAUGAGGACCUCGUUGGAGACGGGGACGAUGUUGUGACUAUCAGUGUCUCAAUUGGAAAAAGGGCACACAUGAGAUGAAUUAACAAUACUACCUCCGUUACGGUUUAGAAGACACAUUGAUCACGGUUUAGAUUUCCAGUAUUUUACGGGCAAGAAGAGGAAAAUGAAAAAAAAAUUAAGCAUACAAAUAAAAACAAGAACAAAUGAGAAAAGAAAAAGAAAUGGUGUGUAUUAUCAUUAGAAGGCCUCGCCAUCAGUGAAAAGAAAGAAAGAAAACAGCACUAUCAGUGGGACUAGGGUUAGCUAUAAUUCACAGACUGGAGAGCUCAGACCAUGACGGCAAGUAAAAUGAAUUAAAGGGAGUAGUUUAAUUUGCGUAGAAGAAUAAGAGAUGUGAUCAGCUGAGAAAUGAUGAGAUUAAUCAAGAGGCAAAUCGAAUGAUGAUUUUUCCAACAGGUUUUAUUAGAUAAAAUGUUUGGUCAUGUCUCUAGCCAUUCCAAGAACCAAACUAAAAUAUCCUAAAAUAAAAAUAAAAUAAAAUAACAGUACUAAUAGAUUCUAGCCCAGCAUUUAUUUUUGCACCGAUCUGGACCAAGGGCAGACAGCAGGAUAGUGGUACUAGGAUACAAGGCUGGCACUAUAGAACGUGCAUGGACGUGACGCGAUGUACACAUGUACUGAUCAGGUCGGUGCAUGCAUGCGUGUGACUCAGCGCGAUGGCCCCCUCUUUACAACGCCAAAGGUACGCUUGCCCUCGUGGCCUUGCCAGCCCUCUCCCUUGGCCCUUUUCCCCAAACAUAUCAAAGAAAACCAAACCCGUAAACAUAGCAGUUUGGACCUUAGCCUCCGUGCAUGCGUGGCCACCACCCUAAUUUCGAUACAGCGAUCACCGUACGCAACUUGCUUGCAUCUACAGUACGUACCAGUACUAUAGUUUUGCAAUAGUAUAUUCCCAACCAAGAUCAGAAUGAUGCAGAUCAGUGUUUUGAUUCCUCGAUUUCAUUUUAUUUUCCUGCGUGACGCAAAAGGGCUGCUCGCUUUUGCGUCCUAGCUGUGAAUCUUGUGACCGUUUUGCCCUCCAGAGCCACUAUAUAAGCCCCUCUACCGCAGCACAUUUGCUUCACACAACACAGCCGAUCGCAUACUCUGAUCUGAUCAGUCGCACCAAACCGAGCUAUAGCAUCAGCUCGUCGGAGUUCGGACCGGUCGACUCGGAACUCGUCAUCAAUGGCCGCCGUCCAGGUAGACUGCUCAAUACUGCUUCGUUGCGUUUCGAUCAUGUAGCUUUUGACCUGCUGCCACGGUGCCAUGCCACCUCGAUCUCUUCUGGCACGAGCAACCUGAUCACACGUACGCUGCGUACUGGUACUUCUCUGACAUGAAGGCGUGCAUCAAUGUAAACGCAGGUCCACGCCGCAACCCACGCCAUGCCCGUCGAGGAGGCUCCGGCGCCGGCGGUGGUGGAGGCUGUCGAGCCGGCCGUCGUCGUUGUCGAGGAUACUACCGUGGCGGUGGAGGUCGUCGAGCCGGCCGUCGUCGCGGUCGAGGAGGCUACGGUGGCAGCAGUGGAGAUUGUCGAGCCGGCCGUCGACACAGUCGAGGUGGCAACGGCUGAGGCUGUCGAGCCGGCCGUUGUCGCUGCCGAGGAGGCCGUGAAGGAGGAAGUUGCUGCGCCGGCCGUGACCGAGCUGGCGAAAGAGCCCGAGGCAGCUCCAGCGGAGACCAAGGAGGCCGAGACAGAGGUUGUCCAGCCGGCCGCCGCCGCUGAGGAGGCCCCUGUCACGCCGACAGUGACCGAGACCAAAGAGCCGGAAGCUGCCCCUGCCGAGGGAACAGAGACCGAAGUGGUGGAGCGUGAGGCAGCACCGGCUGAGGCCGAGACCAAGGAACCAGAGAAAGAAGCUGCUCCGGCCGAGACCGAGACCAAGGAACCAGAGCAAGAAGCUGCUCCGGCCGAGACCGAGACCAAAGAGGCAGAGCCAGCCGCUGCCGAGGCCGAGGCCAAAGAGCCGGUGGCAGAGGAGACACCGGCCAAGGAGGAGGCCGCUGUGGCAGUGCAGGAGGAAGCAGCAACUACGGAGGCACCUGUGGAGGCUGCCGUGGCAGCCGAAGCAGCCGUGGAAGAGACAGAAGCACCAGCUGCUGCUGCCGACGUCGAGGCCAAAGCGCCGGUGGCGGAGGCACCGGUCCAGGAGGAGGCAGCGCCCGCAGCCACCGCCGCCGAAGCGUCUUCCGUGCAGGAGGAGGCGGCACCGGCCGAGGCACCCGUGGAUGCACCCGCUGCCGCCGAGGCGGUGCCGGCAGAGGCACCAGCUGCUCAGGCUGCCGCCGCCGCCGACAAGGCCGCCGAGUGAGUUGAUGCGCGCGGGUGCGAUCGUGCUCCUGAGCUAGCCUUUGCCUGGCUUCGCCGUGCGCGUGCCGUGGCAUUGCCAUGGCACGGUACCUUAGUUCGUUUAUUAUUGGAUCCGUAUGUGUGGGCGUAUUUCGUGAGUGGUUGAUCGUCGUCGCGUGGGUGCGCAAUGUACGUCACGUAGCUGCGUACAUGGUCUAGCUAGCAGUCGUAUGUGUGUCGUUCUCAGUUGGCUUCAAUAAUGUGUCAGUGGCGUUCCGGGUCCCACUGUCAGUGAUGUCAUGGGGUCACUGGCUUUGGAGGCUGUUUUCGUCUCUUUGUUUUUUGUUUUUUGUGUUGGUUAAUACAUGCACUAGCUAUUUAUUUGUAUACUGUAUAUGUUGGUACUCCAUCCGUAAAAGAUUUUUGAGUUUUUUUUCCUUUGAGAACCCCUCCGUAAAGAAAUACAGUAUAUGAGUGUUUAGAUCACUAAAGUAGUAAUCUAAAUGAUUUUAUAUUUUUUAGAAAGGAAUACUAAAAAGGCUUGUGAUUUGUGUAAUGCCUCAUCUAUGGGGUCCAUGAUCUGAGCUGCAAUUUAAAAUAAUUAAUUCGGACAUACAUAUUUUUCAUACUAUCCUUGAAAAGGAUCUGGUUCCACUAUCAGCGGUAACGGAAGUUGGGUAUGUGCUCGCCACAAAUGUAAUCCAGG